rnacentral:lncRNA from 1 species
UAGAAUGAUAUGUUCUCUUGGCCAUGCAGAACUUACUGAACAAAAAGGAUGACAAGCCAUGUGUCGCUUGGGAUUGUUGCAUGGUAGGGUUGUCAUAAUUUGGGUUUUUCUUGCUCGGUUCAUAUCUGCAUUAAAGCUACCAGAGGCAUUUUCCAGAUUCAUUGCAAACCAGAUGGGGAAAAAAGAAAUCAAAGAUUCUUUCUACCUAAAAUAAACGGAGGUAUGGUUGAAGUCUACGAAAAGUCAUCCAAUCCCUACAUUGAGGGAUGAUGUACACUAGAAAAUACGAAAGGAGGAAAUUGUUGUGUUAUCUUCUCUGUAUAUUUGAUCUUUAAUUUAACUUAAUAUGACUGAAAUAUGAAUGAUGGCAAGUUUUUUGUAAAAACUUGUAUCAAUUUGAUCAAAAUUCAAUUUUGUAAGUCCGCCUUUAUUUUUUUAUUUUUAUUUUUUGACUUGCACAGCUUUGUCGAGUGCCCAUUUUGUGGCUUGUAGACAAACUGACAAGUGGAUCUAAUUAUGAACAUUUGCUGUUUGCAUUCGAAAAUGUAGCGCAAUAAUUUUUCCUAGUAAAAGAUAGAAAUGAAUGUAAAAACGUUGCUGUCGUUAUCAUAACUCUUCAUUGUAUUAAAGUAUUAUAAUAUUAUAUUUGUCAAUUGCACUGCAUAGUAUUAUAAUGUAGUCAACACAAAAUCUUAUGUGAUAGAACCUGCAUAAACUAAAUCUGAGGGGACGCGGGUUUUAUAACUAUUUUGAGACAAAAGAUUAUUUUUUGCCUUUCGUUCUCACCCUCAUUCUUAGAUUGGCUCAAGCAGUUCUUUCCAUCAUAAACUAAAUCUCAUGUGUUAUUUAUAAUUAUUUUAAUUAUUGUUGUUGUUAUUAUUGUUCUUUAAUAAUAAUAAUAAUAUUAUUAUUAUUAUUAUUAUUAUUAUGGCAUUAUUAAAAUUAUUAUUAUUAUUAUUACCAAAUGAUAAUAAUUAACGAAGGGUAUUUUAAUAAAUUGAAAUAAUUCACGACAAAGUAAACACAAUAAUAGAAAUGAAGUUCAUUUCAAUUCCGAUUCCUACUAUUCAAGUAAAUAAUUUAUUUUGAUUCUUAUUCGUGAUUCUCAUUCCAACCCAAUCCUGAUUCCAGAGAUUAAUAAACGCACCAUAAAUUUUUUGGUGAAUGAAAUGGGGAAUGAAGGUAAGAUUUUUAAUGGGGUGGAGAAGGGGGCAGGUCUCUCUACCCCCACCCCACCCCACCCCACCUCACCUCACCUCACCGCACCGCCAUCCCUAGUGUUAAAUGUCUAAAUUACUCUUAUGAUAUCGUUAAUGCUCAUCAUUAUUAUCCGCACCUUAAAGUUGAAGCUGGGGAUAAUUGGUGCAAGUAAUUUUUUGAACGGAGCUUGUUCACCUUAAAUUUGAAUGAUUUGGCUUGUUACUUUGUUUACAAGUGGCUUUGCUUUUGAUAUAUCUAAAGACUUAUAAGGAAUUGAAGUAGUUGAGUAAUUUCUCAAUUAAGGGUAUGAUGGUUUCUUCAACCGCCAAGUUUCGACUUUCUUUUUCCGUCUUACUCUUCAGGAAUAAGCAGUCACUUGUUUUCUUGUUCAUUUCCAAUUAUACAUUUUUUAUUAAAAAUUAACUUUGGAAUUUUCAGGUUGAUUUGGUUUCUCAUAUCACGGACAAAGAGUACGUUUACUUUUUUUUUUAAUUGUUCGCUUUUGACUGCGUUGUCAAGACUUAUUAUUAUAAUUACCAAGUAUUGGAAGCUAAAAUGCGUGCAAGUCGGAAAUUUUGCUGCCGAAAAUCAGUGUAAAUUAAAAGACUUUGAUGAGCAACUAGUGAGUGCCCGUGAGUAAACCUUGUAAAUUGACUGGUGCUAAUCAUGACUUAAGGGCAAUUGUAAUUUGUAACCCCAAAUGCAGCAUGUUAUGUGGACGAAUUGAGGAAAUAAUCAUGAAAUAUUGGGUAAUGUUUUUAAUUCUUACUUGGUAUAUACUACUGAUUAAUCAAAUAGUCAUCAAAUUAUAAGUACCUUAAAGAAUAAACAGGCAUAGAAGUAGCAUUUUGCCUUUCCCUUAUGAGUGGAAUGGAUAGGUCAAAACCCUAGUGAGAUUUUCCUUCCUGAUGACCAAUGAUUUCCAAUGCUUUUGUUUGUGGGGAUUUUUAUUUUUUUGGCUCAAUUGCUUAUUGCGUUAAUUUUUCCAAUUAAAUCAAUUUUAAAGAUAAAAGUUUAUUUGGGUAGUUACUUUUAAACCCCACCGAAAAAACUUGAACUCUAUGGUUGUCCUUUAUGAGAUGGUAGCUAGCAGGGAGAGUUCAGAAAAUAGAAGAAAUUCCGUAGAUAUGAUGAAGCUCAUAGGUUCACACCACAAGGUUUUAACAUUCCAGAAUGCAGCCAGCGGCAGAUGGCUCGAAUUCUUAUGCUUGAUUUCCAAUUAGACUGUCUUGAUACCAAGCUGAGAAUCGGUACCAUGCAUACACUGAUCAUGAGACCUUCAAGUUACUUCAGGUUACUCAUCUUUUUCUUUCAUGGUCUGUCUCCUUCUGUGUCUUUUUACUGGGAAAGUUACUUAAUACCACUUUAUUGAUUUUCUUCUCAAAUUGAUAUAAUGAACGAGAGCAUGAUUAUGAAGGCAAUCAAGAAUACAUGUUUUUAAGGUACUUCAUUCCUUCGUUCCAUAUUAUAUUCUAUAUAUUAGCCAGGUCAUUCAAGAUGUUUUAAAUAAAACAGAGUAUGAAAAAGUAGGAGAGGGAGCCCGACUUUAGGCGUUUAUAUGUAUAUUCUCCUUGCACUUCCAGGUGUUGACAAAGACUAUAAUUUUAUUGUUAUGUUUAUCUAAAAUAGGAAGUCUAUAGUUUUAAGUCUCUUGGGAUUUGAUGCAUUCUUGUACUUUCUUCUCUUUCAAACUUGGUGCAUUAUGCUCGGUUUGUCAGUGACAGCUGACUUCUACAUCUUAUACGUUUUUGUAUUUCCUUUCAGCUUACAAAGGUGAAAGCCUAUUUACGUUUGCAAGAGACGUGACUCUCAAAUCAACAAAAGCUAUGAUGCAACCUCAAAUUCCAAAAGACCUAGAUCCUUGGGGAUUCAGGCUUUUAAGGGCAUCGUGGACAAAGAGUACGUGUACUUAUAUUAUAAUUUUUUUCUUUUAAAUUUUCAUUUUUUACUGUUGUGACGAAAAAGGUCAUGGCAGCUUGAACUGUCUAUUAGAAGCUUGCUGGAAGAAGCCUGGGCAGUGACCUUCAAUUGGCAAUGUUCCUCUUGUUGCUUUUCAAAUUGCCGUGUCUUUACAAGAAUUCAUAGUCUCUAUUUAUAGUUCCGACCAUUUGAAUUCAGUUAGUGCAGAUGCUUUGUUCUGUUAUUCUCUUCUGCUCUACUGUUCUCUUCUGGUUUUCGAUUCCAUUUUGAUCUUUUGAAGUUACAGUUUUAGUUUGAAUUGACUUCUAGAACUAAUUAAUAAUAAUUCACCAAAUUGUUUUGUUGCUAAUAGAGGAACACCAUUACAGGGGUACUGUCUGGUUGUUCCUAUGACCGCCCGCCGAGCUGCUUAAGGAUUUUCCCUGAUAUUACUCCCCGAAAGUUUUUAAACUUUUGAUGAAAAUAAUCAAAAGUUUUAAACUAAAUUGGCUGAGCUAAAGUUGCGUUUAGUCUUUCUUAUCACCAUUUAUAAAAAAAAAUUGUUUUGAGAUUUUAAAUAUAUGUACGAGAUACAUGGAAUUAUCAGAUAUUUAAAAAUUUCUGUUUGGAACUCAUGACUUCACUUAAGGAAUUUUUAUUAUUCGAAGAAUUUGAGAAUUUUCAUUGAAUGAAUUUUAUGCAUAAGAACUUAAGAUUUUAAUUGACAAAAUUAGGACUUUUGAUUUUUCUUAAAGGGUAUUGGACUAACGAUCUUGCCUAGAGGACUUUUUCUUUGCCUAUGGAGCUUUGGUCUUUGAAUGCAUCAAAAUCCCCAGAGAACUAUUACCCUGUUAACGAUAUUGCAUUAAUGUAUUUAUACCUAAUAUAAAAUAAGUAAAUGGGAAUGCAGUGGUGAUGGGGAAAUUAUUCCCCACAUGGGGAUUCUCCAUCCCCACCCCACUAAAUUUAUUGGGGAAUGGGGUAGGGAAUGGGAUAUGCCUCCCUACCCCUACCCCACCCCAUUGCCAUCCCUAAUUCUAAAUCGGGAGGUUGCCAAUUUUUCACUAAUGAAAUCAAUGUAUACCACUUGCACCUAUUGUAACACCCUAGGCAAAUCCCACAUUGACAAAGCACGAGAGACAUACUGGACUUAUAAGGGGUGAUCCACACCUUAAUUGGCAAGACGCGUUUUGGGGUGUAUGGGCGCCCUAGGAACAAAACCAUACGGGCCUUAUUAAGACCCAAAGCGGAUAAUAUCUUGUCAGAUCUAGGUUGGGUCAUGAUAUUAUGGUAUUAGAGCGGUUCUACAUGUUCUCUUGAGCAAUGGUGGGGAAAGCCUCAGCGAGGAUGGUGAGUCCCCAAGGGGGGUGAAUGUAAUACCCUAGGCAAAUCGCACAUCGGCAAAGCACGAGAGAGAUGCUGGAUUUAUAAGGAGUGAUCUACACCUUAACUGGCAAGACACGUUUUGGGGUGUAUGAGCGCCCUAGGAACAAAAUCGUGCAAGCCUUGUUAAGGUCCAAAGUGGACAAUAUCUUGCCAAGUCUGGGUUGGGUCAUGACACCUAUUAUUUUCAUAAUAGUCAAUAAUCCCCUGCAACAUAAUUUUAUAACAUUACCCUUAUUUUUACAAUAUCUCUUUUAGAAUUUUCCAUACUGACAUCUCGUGCUCCACAUUGAUUAGUUGUGAAUAAGGCUUGAGGAAUAACAUACCCUCAAGAGACUAUGCCUGAAUAGUAGUAUUAACAUUCUUGUACAAAUAACAGUAGUUGUAUUAGAACAAAAAGUUAAUCAUAUCCCUCAUGUCAUUGACUACGCUAGUAUGAAAUUGAAUUAUGCACAACUGAAUUACUCAACUACUAAAAAAGAAAUAGUAAUAGUAAUGUUUGCAUUAGAAAAGUUUAUUAUAGGAUAUAAAAUAAUUGUGCUCAUAGAUUAUACUACUCUUAAAUAUCUUUUUAUAAAGAAAGAUGUAAAGGUCAGACAAAUUCGUUGGGUGUUAUUUUUGUAGGAAUUUGACCUUGAGUUCAAAGAUAAGAAAUGCAUAAAAGAUGUGGUGGCAGAUCAUCUUUCUCGCCUCAAUUUUGACACAAUUCGAGAACUAUUACGAUUCAAUGAAUCAUUUCCAGAUGAGCAACUAAUGAGUGUGGAGGUACUAUCAAUGGUAUGCUGAUAUAGUUAAUUAUAUUGUGACAGGGCAACUUUCAGAGAAUUAGACUAAGCAAGAUAAGGCCAAUUUUUUUUUGUGGAAACAAAGAAUUUCUUUUCUGAUGAUGUUUAUCCAUUCAAAUAUUACGUGGAUCAUAUUAUCAGACGAUGCAUCCCAGAGAGAAAAUUUCAAAACAUCCUUUCAUUAUAUUAGGAACAAGCUUGUAGAGACAAUUUUAGUGCUAGAAAGACGGCUGCUAAAGUUUUACAACAUGGUUUUUAUGCCCAACUUUAUUUUGAGAUGCCUAGACUUCUAUUCUUCAUGUCAUUGUUGCCAAAGCAUAAGAAGUAUUUCACGAAGGAGCAUGAUGCCACUAAACCCUACUAUGACAGUUGAGUUUUUUAAUAUGUGGGGCAUCGAUUUUAUGGGACCAUUUCCUAUUUCUUUUGGCCAUCAAUACAUAUUAGUUUAUGUCAACUAUGUAUCAAAAUAGGUAGAAGCAAUUCCGUGCAGAACCAAUGAUCACAAAGUAGUGAUUGGAUUUUUGAAGAGCAAUAUUGUUUCGUACUUUAGACUCCCUCGACCAAUAAUCAAUGAUUGUGAUACCCACUUUUACAACAAAACAUUCAUAACUCUUUGGGCAAAGUAUUUCGUCACACACAAAGUGGCUAUCCCAUAUCAUUCACAAAUUAGUGGCCAAGUCAAGAUCUACGAUUGAUGAAUAAAGUAUAUAUUAGAACAGACGGUGAAGCUAGACAAAAAAGAAUGGUCAUUGAAACUCAAUGAUUCACUAUAGGCUUAUUGAAUGGCUUUUAAAACCCCUAUUAGGAUGUCACCUUAUAGGUUAGUGUAUAAGAAAGUUUGUCACCUACCUAUGGAAAUCGAGCAUCGUGCAUACUAGGCUAUCAAGAAAUUUAACUUUGACAUGCAACAAGUUAGUUUGGAAAGAAGAUUAUAGCUAGUAUUAAAGAGAUUCACAAUAAUGUAUAUGAAAAUGACAAACAUUACAAGUAGCGGAUGAAAGUCUUUCAUGACAAGAAUAUUAUGAGAAAAUAUUUUACACCAGGUUAGAAAGUGAUGCUAUUCAAUUCUCGCUUACAUCUAUUCCCAAGUAAAUAACACUCUUGAUGGUAUGAUCCAUUAAUUAUUCACACUAUUUUUUCAUGUGGGCCAUUAAAAUUAAGGAUCUAAAGAAUAAUGUCACUUUUAAAGUUAACGGUAAAAUAUUAAAGUCCUAUAUAGAGUACCAACCACAUGAAGAUGACACCAGAGGAAAUUUGAAAGACCCACCACAUCUUGAUUAGGUUUUUUUUUUGGGAUGAUUUAACUUUUUGUUAUUUUGUUUUAUUGAUUAAAAUUAUUUUGAUUGUUUCCUACUUUAGUGCAUUUGUUUAAAACUUAUGCUUUCUUUUAUCAAUUGUAUUUUAGGUCAUGAGUAUGAGACAAAUCUUAUUCAUUAACCUUAACAAACUUCUAUAUAUGAAGCUUGACGUAAGUGGUCUGCUCAAAAUUUGUAAAUCACAUCCUGUUUAGGAUCUAUGCCCACUAGUGUUAGUAUCCUAUUUAGAAAGACAAUUCAUAGAAAUAGAAGGUAGUAUAUGUGAUAUCCAAUUAGAACUUACGAUAAACUCAAUAAGGAGAUGGUGGUGAGUUAACGUCCUAGUAUUUAUAUUGUUUGUUUUUGUUUUGUUGUUUGCCUUCACAUGCAUUUUGUUUUUGCUAGAUUAAUUCUUUUGUUUGGUAUGUUGUUAUUUCUUACCCUAGUUAAAUGGCAGAUAAUGGUACUCUGUAACCAUUAAAGUCAGUUCUAAUAAUUUUCCAUAAUAACUGAUAUUUCCAAGCCAAGGUAUAAAUAAGAAUAAAAUUCUUGCAAAACUUCAUAAGUGAUUUCCCUCUCUCCCUUAGAAUGCAAUCCUCACGAUCUUUAAAACUUGAUCCAAACUCUUACAAUUACUUAUGAGAAAUACUGUUCUUGUUCACAUCCGUUGGUUAAUUGAAACCAAAGUAUGAUUAAGAAGGGAGUUACCUCUCAAAUUUGUUGCUUACAUGUCUGGCUACAUGAAAGGAAAUUAUUCAAGAAAAUGAAGAGCUAGACGGCUCCAAGUUUCUUAUCAUAAGUGUGCUUGAACAAACUAUAAUGAAAGUUCUAGUAUAUGUUUGGGAAUGAUGACCUAUAUUAGGAAAGAAAAGAUUCAAUUUAUUAGGGAUGACUUGAAUGAAAAGUCAUUAGAUGACAUCCUUUCGACCCUUAAAACGCAUCCCAGUGAAUACGUACAAUGUGAUAUUUCCUAGUUAUGGCCAUUAUUCCAAAAGAAAUAUGCACCAUAAUGUCUUCAGCAUUUUAUAUACACUACCCUAUUUACUAGUUUAUCAGAAAACUGGAUGAGAGCCUUUCUCGAUGUAAAAUAAAAGAAAGAUGUGAGCCAUAGUCACAACUAAUAGUAUAUAUCAAUUUGUUUUACUAUUCUUUUAUCAUUUAAAUUAUUGUUUACUAGUGUGAUUUAUCUCCAUUUACUUUUUUUUUGCUAUUUACUUUUGACUCUUGAACUAGGAACUUCACGCGUCAUUUGACAAACACACCACUUCAUUUACAACCUUGUAUCAUUAUGUCUCUCACCAAGAUCUUUAAAUAUGAGUUUUUUUGAACACUCACAAAUUAUUUUUGAGAUUGUCUCAAUGGCAGCAACUUUGAAUAGACAAUUGAAGAACGUUUGCAUGCUUUCUGGCUUUCGUUAUGGAAAAUACAAAGUGUUUGCUCAAGCAGCUAUGGAUCUUGGUCAAGUACUUGUCUCAGAAACUACUUACACUAGAGGAAGUCAAGUGCUUGGUAUCAUCCUACACCCCUAUAACCUCUGGAAUGCCUGCCCGGCUCACCAAUUGCAAAUAAGCUAGUCAUCUUAAGUUUGCAGGAGAAAAUAACCAAGACGCGAAACCUUAAUAAUGCUUUAAUUUUCUUACCAAGAGAUCUUGCAAUUGUAGAGGCAUAAAUUAUAUUUGCAUCUUGGGCCCAUUCAAACAUUAAUAAAAAUUCAUCAGUUUUUUCUAAACUCUACUUCUUUUCUUUCAAAAGUUGAGGAUAAUAUCUCAUUCUAGUCAGGGGACAAAAUAAUUGAUAGUUGUGGAAUAAUUGAUAGUUGUGUUGUUGUACUUUUACUAAUUUUUUUUUUUAAUUUUUGAGUCAAAGAUGGCCGAAUGUGGAGUUUAAUUACUCUAGAAAUGUAUAUUCCUAGUCUUGUAGUUUAGUUAAAAAAUAAAAUAAAAUAAAAUAAAAAUAAAAAUAAUGAAAUAAUACAAUUUAAGACACUUUUUGUGAUCUUUUGAUAUUGGAUGACGUGAUGGCUUUUAAAUUUUACAAUUUAUAUUAUCUUUAGCUUUGAAUUAUGUUACACCAUAUUUGCCACUUUGCAAAUUGAUGUUGGUUAGAUGUGUGAAUUGAGAAAUUGAUGAGUGAAAUUCAUUGAGCUAUUUGAAAGAACGUACAUGUCAAAAUAAGCUCCAAGUGAGUUUUUGAAUCUAUUAUUUAUCUUAGAGAGCAACCUUUUUCCAUAGCUUACUAGUUUAUUAUUUUAUACAUAAUCUUUAUCUUUUUCUUUUGAGUCAACCAAUGAAAAGAAUUGUGUGUUGUUAUGUCUGAAAGUCUAUUGAACUAGUAGAUAUAAAGAUUAUUUAGAUCUUUAACAAAUGACAGAAGUUUAUGUUUGAUCCAUUUGAGUCUCUUCUGGCCAUCUUCAUUGUGAAAUAUCCAUAGUCACCCCUUUUGAACCUAUUAAAAAAAAAUUAUUUGUUAACGUAUUAUCAUAUCCUACUUCAAUUUAGAGCAUUACCAUAUAUUUUAUGUUUUCCAUCACUUAUCCAUCAUUGAAAAAUAAAUAAACAAAUAUGAUAAUGAAAAAAGAAAAAAUAAAAAAGGGAAAAAUAUAUAAAACACAUUGCAAUUCCCAAAAGAUCUCUAUUGUUUUUCCAAGCAUAUAUUUUGUUCUUCUUAUUAUUCCUUCUUUUUUAGCCAUUUCUAUAGCCCACAUUACAAAAUAGUAAAAGUUUUUCUUGGUUUUAGAGAACUACAAUCUGAAGUAGAAGCUGAUAAUAUGGCCUAAAACAUGUGGUGAUACAUAAAACUAUAUACAAAUAAUAUUAUUGGUAGAUCAAAAAAAGGGAAGAUGCAAAAUGAGGAAAUGCUUUAAUGUAAAAUGACAAGGCCAUUACAUCAGAGAUUGUGAUGAAAAGAAAAAAAGAUGAGAAAGAGAGAACAAAGGACGCAGCAGUGGCUUCGGAUGAUUAAUAUCAUAGUGCUGACUUGUUGGUGGUUUCAAAUAGCAAUAUAAGAAGUCAAUGGAUCCUUAACUCAAGGUGUUCCUUUCAUUUGUGUCCUGGUAGAAGUCUCUUUUAUGAGUCUGUGGAUGGUAGUAGAGUCUUGAUGGGAAACAACAAUGUGUAAGAUUGUUGGUAUAGGGUCUAUCAAAAUCAGAAUGAUUGAUGGGAUUAGAAGAACUUUAUAUAAUGUGAGGCAUGCACCUAGGCUAAAGAGAAAUUUAUGCUCUUUAGGUAUGCUGGAUUGUCCAGGAUACUUCUUUAUGUCUAAAAAUGAUAGUUUGAGGAUUAUUAAAGGGACUGAAAUGGUAAUGAAAGGUGUAAAGACAAUUUGUCUUUAUGUGUUAAAAGGGUCACCAGUACCUAUGUUAGCUACAAUACCUGAUGUUCUAAAGUAGAUAGAACCAAGUCAUGGUAUCUUAUACUUGGAUGCAUAAGUGUCAAGGGGAUGCAAAAGCUAAGCAAGCAAGGGUUUCUUUGUGGUGAUAAGAUACAUGAGGUAGAGUUAAGUGAAACAACAUUUUUGGAAGAGCACAUUGGUCCAAAUUCACAAAGGGACUGCACACAUCUAAACAAGUUUUGGAUUAUGUUCAUACUGAUUUUUUGGGGCCUUGCUCAGGUCCUUUAUUUUAAUUAACUGUUGACUUUAAUAACUUGUUGCAUUAUCAUGAAUGGUAAUUGAAUAUACAACUAAUUGAUAUUAUCAUUUUUAGUAUUUUUUUUAAUUCAGUUUAUGUCUUAGAUUUUUUAUCUUUAUUUAAUUAUUUUCCACUUAUUAUUAUAAAUAUUAUUAUUUUGUAAAGUUUUAUUCCUGUUCUUCAUAUUUAAAUGAGUUCUUUAAUAUCUAGGCAUAGCGUGCAAGUGAAAAAUAUGACAUAAAAAAAAGUGACAUAGAAAAUGAAAUAAUAAUAAAACAAAAUAACUAGUAAAAGCUAAAUUGUAUUGAAAUUAAUUGUAAGUUGGUGUGACCUUAAUCCAUUUUUCUACUUGUUUAUUUAUUUUGUAAUGUCAUCAAAGGAUUUGGAUUCAUGGACAUUAAAAUUUGCUAAGAGCACCUUUCAUUUUAUAAAAUAUUUUAUUACAUAAGUGUCCUUAAAUCAAAUCACAUGUAGAAAAAUUACUCCCACCUCUUAAAUAUUAAAAUAGAAAAUAAAAAUGUAUUAAAAGACAGAUUAAAAAUAUAAAAAAGAGUAAAAUAUGCAUGUUAAAGUACUGUUUAUAUUUUAAAUAACCCUAAUUGGAGAUAGACAUAAAAUAAAAAGGAUUUAGAUUUGGUGUUUAGCUAAAUUUUAUUAGCUUUUGUAAAAUACUGUGACAUGUGCUUUUUAUGAAUUUUAAUGGUUAAGAUUUAGUUUCUCUUAAUAGCUUAAUGAAAAUAAUAUCGUUUUCUUGGUUUUAUUCCCCUUUUUCUUUCAAUUUUGUGGUUUUUUUUUUUUAUUUCAUGAACGUAUGGAAACUAUGAAAUCGUUUUUUUUAAUCAUCCUAGAUAUUAAGAAAUUCCAAAUAAAUUCUAUCUUAAAGACUUUUCAAGCUUUUGCAACCGCUCAUACUGAGAAUAGCAAACUUUUUUAGAGGUGAAAUCAGCGAGGGCUUGGAGUUUGAGUAAGAACAUUGCUAGCUCCAACCAAAAUGAGAAAGGCCAAGAGAAGCCAAUCAUUAAUUAGCAUGUAUAGAGACUGAAAUAGAACAAAAACUAUCAAAAAGCUUGGCUAAGCAUUGGACUCAAAUCCUAAAUAGGACAAAUGGUCCUAAUAAAGUAAUUAUAAUCGUUUGAUUAUUAUUAAUAUUUAACUGAAUGCUCUCUCAUAAAUUGAUUCAAAGAUAUACAAUAAAUUAGUACUACAAUAUAACACACACAACAUAUCAUAUGCUUAUAAUAAAUUAAUUCUUUAUUAUAUUAAAAAUAUAGGAUCAAUUUCUCAACAAUUGAUGGUUAUAACAAAAUUAUUCAUAUGGCAAAAGACAAAUAACUAUUUAAAAAAAUCAUUGGCAUCCAAUAACAAGCUCUAGGGGUAUAAGACGUAAUCAUUCUCAAGGGAGUUAGGAUAGAUUCUUUAAUUGUAAGUUCCAAGCAGCCGCCACUAUUUGGUGAUGUUGCAAAAUUGGUACACAAUUAAACAUAUAGUUUACAUUCUUGAUCAGUACAUUGAUGCUUGAAAUAAGUAUGUAUUAAGUGCUUGCUACUACAAGGAAGUCAGGAUGAUGAAAUCAAGACUUUUUGACAUUUUAUAUUUUCUAAACUGAAACAUAAACAACCUAUUGAGAAUUAAAAGAGAGGUAAAGAAUAACAAACAUAUGAGGCUCUGCAUAUAUAAAUGAAUAUUGAGAAAUGAGGUAUAAUGACCUUUAUGAGGUUGUUGAUUCUAUUUAUGAGUAUUUAAUAAGUCAGGAUGAUGAAACCAAGACUUUUUGACAUUUUAUAUUUUCUAAACUGAAACAUAAAUAACCUAUUGAGAAUUAAAAGAGAGGUAAAGAAUAACUAACACAUGAGGCUUUGCAUAUAUAAAUGAAUAUCGAGAAAUGAGGUAUAUUGGACUUUAUGAAGUUGUUGAUUCUAUUUAUGAGUAUUGAAUAAGUUAGGAUGAUGAAACCAAGACUUUUUGACAUUUUAUUCCAAAUUUUUGGAUUUAAAUUAAACUCUAUGCAUAGCGGGCAAAAAGUGACAUCACAAAAAAGUGACAGAGAAAAUAAAAUAAAAAUAGUAAUAAAAUAAAAUAACUAAUAAAAACCACAAUACUGGAAUAGAGUCAAUAGAAAACCGCAAAUUACAUAUAUAGACAAAUGACACCCCCUCUAAAAUAUUAGAGUAGAAGUAUUGACAGAAGUUUAGAAAUUAGGAAGGGUAAAAUAUUGGUGUUAAAAGUAUUUUUAAAGUACAAAUAAUUACACGCUAGUAGCAGAUAGAUAUAGUAUACAAGGGUGGGAAUGCUUGCACAUUUAAAUUAUCUUGUACAUUCCAUUAUUUUGCACACUCAUUUAUUAAUUUUAAAAUUAAUUAUACAUUGUACACUUUUUAAAAUGUCAAAAAAUUUCUCGCUUUUUAGAUUAAUGACCUUUAUUUACUCUCACACUCAUGAGAAAACACACUAAAAUAAUUUCUCCAAAUACUUCUUUUUAUUAACAUUUAAUUAUUUGGUUAGAUAAUCAAUUUUGCCAAUAAACAAAUAAUGAUCGACAACAAAACUGAAUGAGCCAACAACUCGCAUCAAAAGAUUUCACCAUUCAAAAGAUCACAAGAAAUAAACAUUAUAAAUCAAACAAAUAAAUCAAUUAAGCAAAAAUGGUUAUCACUUACAUCACAUUGCUUUUAGCAGGCUCUUGCUUGCUAGUUGGAAAGACAAAAAAAGGGCAUGAAAGUAGCAUCCGAAAGAUUAUAAUUAAACAAUUGUACUUUCUGUGUUGCAAGGCUAUGAAAAAUUAAUACUUUUUGUGUUGUAAACUAGAGAUCAAAUGGAUCACACAUACCUCAUUGAAAUUAAAAUCUUCAAACAUGUUGAGCUACUCCUCUGUAAAUAUUUGUUCAAGGGGUUGGGAAGAAAAAUUAUAGGGGUCAAAUGGUAAGAAAAGUUAACAGAUAUAGAUAAAUUACAUACAACAAAUCAAUACCAUGUAACAAACACAAUAUAUCACAUGCUCAUAAUGGAUUAAUUCCUUCUUUUAUUAAAAUAUAGCAUCAAUUUCUUUACAAUUGAUGGUUAUUGCAAAAGUAUUCAUUUGGCAUAAGAGGAAAACUAUUUAACAAAAUCAUGGGUUAUAGAUGAUGGUGUAGUCUUGACUAUCAUGGUGAUACUUAUUGUAACAUUCUUCUGGUGUAAGUCCAAAGUACUUGUCGCUAUCAGGUGAUAUUGCAGAAUUAGAUUCUUGGCCGGUACUAGUGGUUGAAACAUGUGAGUUUUCAGUGCUUGCAACCAAAAGCAAAGCCAAGAUAAUGAAACUGAGACUCUUCGACAUGUUAUAAUUUCUAAACUUAAUUGUAAACAACUUAAUUAAAAUUAAAAGGAGGUGAUGUAUAAGAAAUACAUGAGGCCCUAUAUAUAUGAAUGAAUAUUGAGAAAUGCGUUAUAGUGGCCUUUAUGAUGCUUCCAUGAAUAACCAUUAUAUAAAUCAUAUUAUGUUUACUUUUAUUAACUACUGACUUUAAUAUCUUGUUGCGUUAUCAUCAAUGGUAACCAAAACAAACAACUAAUUAAUUUUAUCAUUUUAGUAUUAUUUUAUUCUUUUUUGUUGUUGUUUUUUUUUCUGUUUAUUUAACCAUAUUCAAAUUAUUAUUAUCGCUAUUGUGCAAUUAUAAAUCUGAAAGUCAAUUUUUGCAUUAUUUUAUUUACAAUAACUUUUUAGCUAUGUCUAUAUUAGUAUAUAUCUUAUAUUCAAUUUUUAGAUUAAUGUAUUUUAGUAUUAAUAAAUUCAAUCACGAUAAUCUGAUAACCGCUUAAUAUUAAAAUUUAGUUUCCAAUAUUUAUGUUAUUUUAUUAAUUAUAAAAAUACUUUUUAGUAGAUAUAUGUAAAUUUUUUUAACUAUACUUAUUGUAAUAUUUUACUUUUAAUAUGAUAUUUAUAUAUUAUUUUUAUGUUAUGUAUGUAUGUAUCUAUGUCAGUUUACAGUAAGUAUAUACUUAGAUAAUGAUCAAAGAAUAUAAUAGUAAAAAGGGGUUCUAUGUGAGUGAUGGAUCUAGAAAAAUAAUUUACCGGGGGCUAGAAUACAUAAGAACAAGAUGUAAAAACUAAAAUUUUAGGGGUUUUCAGGUUUAUGGAGGUUCAGUUUUUUCUAAUAGAUUUAAUAAAGGGAUUAAUUAAAUAAUAGUAAGACCACCCAUAUGAGUUAUUGUGGGCUUUUAAUUAAAGAGUGGACUUUUAUAAUUCUUAUAGUUAAAAUUUAAUUUUUAUGAAUUUAUGAGUUUAUGGGAGGCUGUUUUUAUAAAUCCAACAGGGAAUAUUUUUAUAGAUUUGAAGGGGUCUAAUUAGAAACUCAAGUAAUUUUCUCCUUAAUUUUUAGAAUUUAUUUUCUAGAGCGAAACUCAAACCCCACUGGUCAUGUGCUAGAUCUUUAGAACGAUCUAAUCUAUACAAACCAAAUAUCUUCCUCUCUUUAUGUAGUUAAAAAUUAAUUUUUAAGGGUUUUUUGUGUUUAUUAGGACUAUUUUUAUAAAUCCAACAAGGAGUAUUUUUGCAGAUCUAAUGGGUUCUAAUUAGAAAUUUACCUAAUUUUCUCUUUAAUUUUUGGAAUUUACUUUCUUGAGCGGAGCUCAACCCCACUGAUCUGUGCUAGGUCUUAAGGACGAACUAAUCUAUACAAAUCAAAUAUCACUCCUCCUCACUCGUUCCUCAUAUCUUUUUUGCGAUUUUGUCUAUUAUUGGCCAUACUGAACCAUUCAGUCAUAUUCAUUGAGACUUUGAAAAUGGUUGUUUAUCUAAUGGGAUAAAUGAAAAAUCAACUUGGUUUGUUUUACAUAUAAGCAUGUUAUAGAGAAGACUUGACUAGAGAAUUGAGUAAUAAAAGGGCUUUUCCUUGAACUAGUAGAGUUGGCCAAAGCAACUCAAAGGCCCAAAAACAAACUGAGCUGCCGAUUAAGUUUUGAAUGAUUAAUAGUUGCUUUCAUUAUACAAAAUACACCUACAACCACUUAAUUUAAAAGGCCAACAGAGUGGUGCUAUAGGAGGUUUUUAUUGUCUGUAAGGAGUUCUGUAAGAAUAUGAGAGAAUAAACAUGUUAUUUUGAAAAAAAUAAUUAAUGUUGAUCACGAGUGAGAGCUCCCAUAUUCUGGAAACUCUCAAACGAGAAAGAGCUUUUGAUAUCCCAAUAUAAUAAUAAGUGACUGGCUAAUUGUCAUGAGGAAAAGAAAAACAAAGAGAUGAAUCAUGAAUUUGAGUUUAAUUUUGGAAUUUUGAUAAAUUGAUUAAGUAAACAUUUAAUUUUCUAGUUUAGUAAAUAAUGUUAAAAAAAAAUGAAUAUUCGAAGUACAUUGCAGAGUGCAAAUAACCUCACUCAUUCCUAAAUUACCCACAUGUUAAUUUACCAUUAAAAACAAUUUUAUGAUAAUUUCUACUCUAGACACCUACUGACUACACUCAUUAAUAAUUUAUAAAUAAACUAAUAUUAUUUUCAUCUUAACAAUUUACAUCCCAGAUUUCUUUUGUCGAUCACAAGUGUAGAGAUCUCAUGGUUUCUAUUUUUUCUGAUCCAAUCUGUAAUAUUUUUCAUGCAAUGAAAAUCUUGGAUAUUCUUCUGCUAAAUAGCUUUUAGUUAUGGCUUAAGUGAAAUAUUGAAGAUAAAAGGUCUAGGGUUUUAAAAUUAUUUUGGUGGUUGUAGUGAGAAAAUAAAAACUACGCUAUGGUAAUUGAUAAGCAACAAAAGCAUCAGACAAAUCAACAAGGACCAAGGUCACCAGUUGUUACAAAUAUGGCAGUAUUGUUGCCUUAGCUAAAGGGUUUACUGAGGACAGAUUAAGGAAAGAACGACGCUGGUAUACACUUCUAACGGACACAAGAGAAAUCAGUGUACAUGAUUGAAGGAGUCCAACGGCCACAAGCCAAUUUUGAUAUAAAGCGCUCAACGUCAUGAUUCUUGGAAGUUAGUGUAAUUGAUACAAUUUUGAGAACCUUUCAUUUGUGCAAGCUUGAUUUUGAUAAUCUGUGUAUAUAAUGUAAUGAUCGAGCAAAUACAAAAACAAGAAAACAAAUUGUUUUCAAUCAAUCCUGUAUUUCUUUAUGGUAUCAGAGCCUAUGGCUACAAAAAUACAAACUAAGCCCAAACUCUCGAUCCAGUCAUUCCACCAAUGUGCAAGCCUGAUUUCCAUCAAACUCAACAACAAUAAUACCUUCUUUGAAGUCGCAAGUCCUGCCACUGCCACUCAUAAGAAGCCUUGAUCUAGAGCAUCAUAUCAAUGAUGCAACAGUUCCACCAAGAAAUAUUUCUAGAUGGAAAAAAAGUCAACAAUCCUGAAUUUACUAUUUGGCAAAAUAAUGAUGGAUUACUCAUGCCUUGGCUUCAGGGAAUGAUGAACGAAGAUAUAAUGACCAUUAUAGUUGGAUGCGUUUCCACUAGAGAUAUUUGGUUAUUUGUGGAAGAGCACAUGCUUCUGCAACUAAAGAACAAUAAUUUUCGUUGAAGAAUAACUUUUACUCUUUAAAGAAGGGUUCCUUGGAGCUUAAAGAAUUCCUUAAGAAAUUGAAAGGGCUUUGUGACAAACUUGCGGCAAUCGGCAAGCCUAUGUUAGAUGAAGAUCAAGUAUUUCAGAUGUCACACGCCCUUGGCUCAAAAUACUCUGACUCUAAAAUGGCAAUGUUGAUAAAAGCCUCCUUAUCCAUCAAUAAAACAAUUUACUUUUGCAUCACAGAAUCAUAAGCAAGUGAUAGUAAGUCUAAAGGAGAAAGAAAGUGUGAACCAUAACGAGGCCUUUUUUGGCCAGCAAGCUAGAGCAAGAAAUCAUCAUGGGAGAGGCUCAAAAGUGAAACCACCCAUGAAGGUUCUAAAACCAUGGAGGCUUUCUACACUCAUGUAAUGCAUGUGGUAGCUUGUAGAUAAUUCCAUGCAAUUAUUGAGAUAGGUAGAUAGUUUUAAAGCAUCAUCUAGACAUUUCCUUGUACCCUAUAAAUAGGAGGGGCCUCAUUUGGCUCAACACACACAAGAAAUCCAGCACUGACAUUACUUAAAAGCACUGUAAGCUUUCCUUGAGUAAUAGAGUUCUUUCCUCCCAUCUUGAGCAAGUUUGAGUGAAUACUCUUUCCCACUUUCGAAUCCAGUAACGUUGUGAGUGAGCAAGGUUGACUUAGGACCAAGAUAGUGAGAUUUAGUACCUAAGGCCCUGCGAUUCAGUGAGGGAUCAAGAGGGUCGUGAUAGUUUGUAUCAAAGCCGUAAUCACUCUUGGGGUAAUUGCGUCAUUUAAAAGGAAGAAUGUCGGACCUCACUUAUGAUGACCAAAGGGGUAGGGACCAAAAUCCCAACUUGAAAAAGAGAAAGAACAACAAGGAGAAGUCCGUGGAUAGGCUGAACGCCAUUGAGAAUUGGGUUGUUCGUAGGGAGAUUGUUGUCUUUGAGAUAAAGGAGCGCCUCGAGAUCUUCAAGCAAAAGAUGAAAGAGGUUGAUUAUCUUGAGGGACAAAUGGUUGACUUAAGCCAAGACAUGAUGGUGCAACACUAAAGUCUCAAGAAGUUCCAAGCUAUAGUGAUGAACUAAAUCGAGGGGCUAAGAGCUCAAGUGGAGGAGCUUUACACGGGUCAUAAGGAGACCAAGAGCAAUAGGGCACUUUGAAAGAAGGCGGUGGCCAGCGAAGUGCUCACCACUAAUGCCGUACCUUUAAUAAAGAUUGAGGUUCCUGAGACCAAAGAGGUACAAGGGCAAACGAAAUGCCCAAGAGAUUGACAAUUUUCUGUGGUCCAUGGAGAGGUACUUCGAAACCACCAAUGUUCAAGGCGAGCAAGAAGAGGUAAAUAUUACGAUGGGGUAUCUUGAAGAUCACGCAACUACUUGGUGGCAAUAGAAGCAUGCAAAGAUUAUACGCAGGAUGUGUAUUAUCAACACAUGGGACUUGUUCAAGCGCGAGCCAAAGAAGCAAUUUUAUCCAGGGAGUGUAGCGUAAGAGGCUAACAAAAAGAUGAGAGAACUGAAGCAUACAGGGUGCAUCUCGAGAACAUGAACCCAAAUGACUUGUUGUUCAUCUUUAUGGAAGGACUCUAACCAUGGGCACAACGGGAACUUCAAUGGUACCAAGUGAAUGACACCUCCACUGCCCUCACUGAGGUAGAUAUACUUGUAGAAUUUCGAAAUGAUGAAUCAUCUAAGCCAAAGAAGGAUGAUAAGCCCCAACAUAGGAAAUGUGGAGGUGCAAAUUAAAAGGAGAUAAGCUACCACAUUAUGAUGGCUAAGAAAAACUGUCACAAAAGAAGGAUGGUUUGAAGGACGGUAAGGAGAAAGUCAAGCGUAAGCAUAACUACUACCUUUGUAAUGUGGACUAUUGGGUGACAAACUGCCUAAAGAAGAAAGCUUUCAACGCCAUGUUCAACGAGCUCGAAGAGAAACAACUAAAGGUGCCACCAGCUACAGCCGCCAACAUAAGUUGCCUCUGAAAUUUUAAGAGCUUAUUGGUCCUAAAAACAUUAUAUUUAGAUAUUUCUAUCAAAUGACAAAAAUUCGGUAUGUAGAUAGUGUGCCCUGAGAUAUAUAAUUUUUAAAUGAAAAUUGCUAAAGGGACUAAAGGCUGAUAAAAUGUUAAUAAAUAAUGCCUUGUAGUGUUAUAGUGUACGUUAAUUGACGAUGUUAUAUAGUUCAUUUUAUUAGUGCUUUGUCACUUUUUUAAUCCAAAUAUCUAAAUGAAAAAUGCUGAAACGAUUUCCUACAAAGUACUACAAAGAUGACAAUGAAAUAAGAAAUUGAAACAACAUUUAUUUAUAAAAAUAAAAAAUUUGCAAACAAAAGGAUCUCACUAUGUAACCAUAUAUAUCAUUUUAUUGAAUUAUUAUUAGCCGGAGCAUCAUCAUGUUUUUCUUUUAUUCAAGGCUUAGUUAUAUAUAAUUAAUUAAGCAAUGGGAUCAACAAUUAAAGAUAAAACACGAGCUUUAGUAAUUUCUUGAACACCGUGUCCGUGACCUUCUCCAAAUUGGUACAUGCAUUGAGACAUCCUCGCCAAAUUUAUUGCAAUCCCAACAAAAACGUCGGACACGAAAUGUGGGUUUCCAAAUCGAUCACGGUUCAUCUUCAUCCAUGUCUGAGCAAUCAAAUCAUGUAUAUGUUCACGAGCCUCUCUCUCUGAGACUCCAGCUUCAUGCAUGUAACAUUGAAUUGAUUUAUGAACAUCUCCCCUCUUCAGCUCAUCCUAAUAAUUAAUUCAAUCAAACUUAUUGUCAACAACAUUAACAAUUAACUAAUUAUCUAAUAAUCAGAUUGUGAGUACUACAAUUUGUUAUGGAGAAUAUCCUAUACUGCUGAGAAUAAUUCCUCAACUAAUAAUAAGAAUAUAUUAUGUUGUGAGUGGAUAUGAGAUAUCUUCCAUAACAAAUUUAAUAUUAAAAAUGAAUUAAUUGUACCGAUGAUUUUCCCAAAUCGUCUGCAAGUCGUAGAAUUAUUGAUGACCAACGAAUUAUGUUGGGAUAAUCUUUCACGAAUUCCAAGCCCUCCGUUGUUAUUGGAUUUGCUGUAGAAGUGUAUGCAUGGACUAGAAUUACAGGUGCUGCUACCGAAAUCCAAGCAUUUUCCAUGUACUCUUGGAGUGUUGGUAUGUAGCCGUUGUCGUACCACUUGGCCUCCACUAAAUAUGUUUUGCAUAGAUUUGCCCACUGAAAGUUUUAUUUUUGUAUAUCGAAUUGAUUAAUAUAAUAUCAAAUACAAAAGCAUAAAUUAAAUUAAUUAAAGGGAAAUAAUUUCCAAGCACCUCAAGAAUAUUAUAAAUAUAAUUAGUCACCAUAAAUUUCUAAUAAUAUCUUGGCGCUAACUCAAAUUUUAGUUUUAUAUCAACCAGACAUUUUUUUAUUAACUCUAUUAGCUAUCCGUAAAUAAUUUAAGGUAAAAGACCAAUUUACCCUAAAAUGAAAAACACAUGGUAAAUUGGUGGUGCAAAAUAAUCUUUUAUCUUAUAUUAUUUUAAUAGUGACUAACGGAGUUAAGAGAAAAGUGAUCGGUUUACAUAAAAUUAAAACUUGAAAUGAUGUAGAGAUAGUACUAGUUAUCAUAGCAGUUAUUUAAACUUUUUGAUAUUCUUAAGGUGAUUGGAGAAUAAUAUUCCUUAAUCAAAAUGAAAGGUUUAAUCUACUAGUACCGCUUUCUUAAGAUAAGAAAUGACCAUGCCAACUCCUUGAUCCCGAAGAUCAUCAAAAGCCAUUUCAUUUAUGGAAUUAUGGAGAGCAAGAAAGCACAACUUCGUAUAGUCUGGAAGUUGCUCUAUUGUAGUAGCGUCCCACCUAACAAUGUAAUACAACUAAAUUAAAAUAAGAGAGGUGUAUAAAUUUAUAAAUUCCUGAGUAAUGAUCUAGUGAAUAAUGUGCUCGCUUUAUGCUGGGCAAUACUAUCACAUAAUUUAUAUAAUUACUUCAUAAUUUUAACAAUAUUCAUUAGGAAUCACAAAAUUAUAUCAUGUGUCCAAGUGUUUAUCAUACGAUGAGUACUAAUCCUCACUAAAUCAUUUUCCAUACACAAUCAUACAGAUAGAAAUGACAUUAAAUAAAAGUAACCUCUCAAUUGCAUCCGUGAAAAGUUCAAGUUCGUCCAAAGUCCCAUAGACAUCAUAAACAUCAUCUAUUGUUGUUAUUAAGGCAUUGACCAUUGUAGACAUCCGUCUACUAUAUCCAAAAUCCGGUUCGAAUAUCACCCCCACGGUCCAGAAGAAAUUCUCCAUUAUUCUGUCUCUUGCAAAAUUCAACCUCUCCCCAAGUCCUGUUUUCUUCCACCACCUGACCACAUAAUUAAUUAGCAUGAAAUUAAUUGAGUUACAUAAAUACAUGCUCAGUUAGAUUUAAUCAUUCUUGAGUGCGGAUCUCCACAUUUUUACAAAUGCUAUUGUGAAGAUAGCUCAUUAUGCAGAAGUGAAGAAGAAGAAUCAGCAUGGUGUUAAGCCUUGUAACAAGAAUGUCAAGUUACCAGCUGCCAUUAGUGCCACGUCAGAAGAUCCAAGCCAGCAGCAGUUACCAGCGUUGCUGGAGCUGCUGGAUCUUCUCAACAGAUCGAGAAUCCUGAAUACACAGUUUGGAGAUCUCAAGAUUAAACAUUACUCAGCUAGCUUCUUAGCUCAAUAACCGAAGGUAUUCUCAGUCUAGUUCACUCAUGUAAUACUUCAUUUGAUGUAUGGAAAACAUUAGAGAAAAGGUUUGGCGUACAAUCUGAGGGUAGAGUUCUUCAACUUAAGUAUGAGAUGAGUGUCUUAAGAAAAGAAUUACUAAGUAUUGAAGAAUAUUGCUUAAAAAUGAAACAAGUUACAGACAAAUUGGCGUGUGCUGGUAGUCCUGUAUUAGAUAGAGAUAUGUUGCAACAAAUUCUCAAUGGUUUAGGAGCUGGCUAUUUGGAUUUAGCUACUUUUAUCACAGCAAGCAAGUUGGAUUAUGAUGAUGCUUAUGCUUUAUUACUCACUCAUGAAGCCAGACUUGAACAAAGUCAAAGUGAAAAGCACAUGUUUAAUGCAAACUAUGCUAAUAUGUCUAACUGGAAUAAUAAUAGUAUGAUGAAUGCAUACUAUGCUCAAAUAAGAGGUCAAGCUAGGAGAGGAGGAUAUACAGGAGGUGUCCAGGGCAAUUAUAAUGGUCAUUCAGGUGGUAGAAAUGGCAUGUUUAAUGGUAGAUGAAUAUUUUUAAACUCACAUCCAAGAGGUUUUCCUGCUGGAACUGGUCAUUUUGGUAAUCAUGGAAGAAAUCAAAUGAUGAUGGGAAGUAAUAGAUUUGGUUCAUUUGGAAGUAUUGGUUUUUCUGGUACUGGUAAUUUGCCUUCUUUUGAAUCACAAGCAUCCAACAGUGAUGAUUCCAUGAAUACAUGUCAGAUUUGCUUCAAAGCAGGACAUACAGCUGUUGAAUGUUGGCACAGAUUUGAAGAAAAUUACAUACCUCAGCCACCAAGACAAUUUCAGAGAGAAAAAGGUUCAAAGUCUGCUUACAUAGCUAAUUAUGAACCUACAUACAUGCCUUACUAUUCAACAAAUGAUGAUCCAUGGCCUGUUAAUAGUACUGGAUUACAAAUGUCACAUUCUGGACAUUCUUAUGUAUAUGACUAUUCUGGUAUACCCUAGGCUGGAGCUGCUUCUCCUGCACAUUGUGAAGGACCUGCAGAUGAAGGCUGGUACCUGAACAGUGGUGCCACUCAUCAUCUGACCAACAGCAUGGGAAAUCUGAAUAUCAGAGAUGAGUUUAGAGGUGAUGAUAAGCUCAUUAUUAGUAAUGGUGAAGGUUUAUCAAUAACUCAUAUUGGUGAUUCUUAUAUUUCAUUAAGAGUUCAAAAUAUCAACCUGCAGAUUCACAUAUUGUACUUAAAGAUAUUUUGCUUGUUCCCUCUAUCACAAAGAACCUAAUAAGCAUUUCCAAACUUACCACUGACAAUAACAUUUCUGUUGAAUUUCUUGGAUCAUUUUGUGUUGUGAAGGAUUUGCUGAAGGGACAAGUUCUAAUGCAGGGCAUUGCUGAGAAAGGAUUGUAUAAACUGCUGGUCAAACCUAUGUCUUCCACAAAGAAUUUUGAGUCAUCAUCUGUUGUGUCUCAUAGUCAAGCCAAUAAACCUUUGUCAAUGUUAUCAUUCUGUCAUCUUGCUUCUCAUAUGCCAUCUAUAGAGUUCAUAAAUAAUCCAAACAUUUGUUUACAGAAUGGUAUUGAUGUAUGUUCUGAUAAGCCUAAUAAAAUAGCUCUUUUACACAGAAGAUUUGGCCACCCAAAUUCUCAAAGCUUAUUGCAUUUACUCAAACUUCAUCAUGCUGAUAAGUUCUCUAUGAAUAUGGUUAAACAAGCAACACAACAUUUCUAUGAAGCAUGUUAGUUGGGUAAAAUACACAAAUUGCACUUCCCAAUUACGGAAAUCAAAACCAAAUCAGCACUUGAGCUUAUACACACUGAUCUUUGAGGUCCCUCACCAGUUAUUUCAAGAGAAUGCUUUAGAUAUUAUAUUAGCUUUGUUGACGAUUUCACUAGAUAUACUUGGAUUUACCCAUUGAAAUUGAAAUAAGAAGCUUUAGAAGUUUUUAAACUAUACAAGUUGCAAGUUGAAAACCAGUUCCAGACAACCAUUAAGAUACUGCAAUCUGACUGGGGGGGAGAAUACAGAUCAUUCACUGAAUUUUUAAAUCAGUGUGGCAUUUUAUGUAGGCACUCUUGUCCACAUACUCAUCAUCAGAAUGGCUUAGUUGAGAGAAAGCACAGACAAGUGGUAGAAUUGGGUCUUACAUUGUUAGCUCAAGCUAAGCUUCAUUUGAAUUUUUGGUGGGAUUCUUUCCAUGCUUCAGUUUAUCAUAUCAAUAGGUUACCAACUUCAGCUCUUAAAAUGUUGACACCAUAUGAAAAACUUUUCAAACAUAAAGCUGAUUAUAAGAUGCUGAAAUGUUUUGGCUGUGCUUGCUAUCCAUACUUGAGAGAUUACAAUAAGCAUAAGUUUGAUUAUCACACAAGUAAAUGCAUAUUUAUUGGUUAUAGCCCUGCUCACAAAGGAUAUAAAUGCAUGCAUCAUUCUGAUUGUAUAUACAUAGCAAGGCAUGUCAUAUUUGAUGAAAAUGCAUUCCCUUUCUCUUCAGAUCCUAAUUUCAAUUAUGAAAGCAAAAUACAACCAAUAUCCAGCUAUACUUUGUCUCCUCAUCAAGUUUGUCAUUUGUCCACUCUCCUGUUGUGUCAAAUCCUUGUGAUAGCAGUUUUGAAUCCUGUCCUCCAGCAUGUUCCAACAACACAGAACUAUUCCCACCAGCAGAUCACCUCCAAGCAAAUGAGGCUACACAACUUCAAACACCAAAUCUUAAUCCUGCUCUUGAACCUACUCAUGAUCAAAACUCACCAAACACUUCAAAUUUUACUCUAAUUCUAUUACCAUCUCAAUCUCAAAUAACCUCAAACACUAUUCAACAUUUACAAAAGAUUCACCCCAUGAUCACAAGAGGAAAAACAAGUAUUUUUAAACCAAAAAUGUAUACUGCAGUGUUAGUUCACAAAGAGCCAGAUUCAGUUGAUGAAGCUUUGCAAGAUACAAACUAGUUUACAGCUAUGAAAAAUGAGUAUGACGCACUAAUCGAAAAUAGAACUUGGUCUUUAGUACCAAGAACAGAAAGCCAGAAAAUUGUUGGGAAUAAGUGGGUGUAUAGGAUAAAGUAUAAUACUGAUGGCAGUGUAGCUAAGUAUAAGGCUCGAUUGGCGGCAAAAGGGUUUCAAUAGAUUGAGGGUGUGAAUUAUUUUGAUACCUUUAGUCCAGUGGUAAAGCCAGCAACAGUUAGAGUAGUUCUUGAUUUUGCAGUGAUGAAUCCGUGGAUAGUUAGACAGGUGGAUGUCAACAAUGCAUUCUUAAAUGGUGAAUUGUCAGAAGAGGUGUUUAUGCAGCAACCUGAAGGAUUUGUUGAUAAAAGUAAAUCUAACUAUGUUUGCAGAUUACACAAAGCAUUAUAUGGUCUUAAGCAAGCUCCUAGAGCUUGGUUUGAAAAGCUCAGAGGAUGUCUUCUGCAAUGGGGUUUCAGAAAUUCCAAAUCUGAUUCUUCUUUAUUCUUAAGAAGAACUAAAUUGUCACUCAUUAUGGUAUUGAUAUAUGUUGAUGACAUAUUAGUUACUGGACCUAACAGUGGAGAAUUGGACAGCUUCAUUUAAUAAUUUAAUAUUGUUUUUGCUUUGAAAGACUUAGGAAGGUUGUCUUAUUUCCUUGGUAUAGAAGUGUUGUAUGGUCAGGAUUGCAUUUAUUUGUCUCAGAAGAAGUAUAUAAGAUAUUUGCUUGCUAAAGUAGAUAUGCUUGAUUGUAAAAGAGUGAUAACACCAAUGUGUAGUGGCAAGGACUCAAAGUUACAGAAGAUAGUUAAAGAAGAAUUGGGUUACUAUGUGGAAGAUGCUACUCAUUAUAGAAGCAUUGUAGGUGGUCUCCAGUACCUGAUCUUGACAAGACCAGAAAUUGCUUAUUCUAUUCAUAAGCUGAGCCAAUAUGUAUCUGCACUAACUAUGCAACAUCUUAUGGCUUGCAAAAGGGUUCUUAAAUAUCUAAAGGAGACACAGGAUUAUGGCUUAAAGUUUGUUAAGGAUGGUGAUAUGAAAAUUACUUCAUUCACUGAUGCAGAUUGGGGAAGUGACUUGGAUGAUAGGAAAUCAAUUGGAGCUUACUGUGUGUAUCUUGGAAAUAAUCUGAUUUCAUGGUCUUCGAAGAAGCAAACAGUAGUCACUAAGUCUUCAGCUGAGAGUGAAUAUAGGGCACUUGCUUUAGCUGUAUAGCUUGGUUAAAAUCAUUGUUUCUGGAAAUGGGAGUAUGCUGUGUAGAGAGACCAACAAUAUGGUGUGAUAAUAUGAGUGCAACAGAACUAGCAAAGAAUCAUGUAUUCCAUUCAAGAACUAAACACAUUGAGAUUGAUGUUCAUUUUAUUCGAGAUAAAGUGUUAGCUGGUGACCUCAAAAUCUGUUAUGUGGCAAGUGAAGAUCAGAUUGCAGAUAUCCUAACCAAGCCCUUAUCUUAUCCUCAAUUCAAUUAGUUAAGGGACAAACUCAAUGUCUUUCCAUGUCCUUUGAGUUUGAGGGGGGCUGUGAAGAUAGCUCAUUAUGCAGAAGUGAAGAAGAAGAAUCAACAUGGUGUUAAGCCUUGUAACAAGAAUGUCAAGUUACCAGCUGUCAUUAGUGCCACGUCAGAAGAUCCAAGUCAGCAGCAGUUACCAGCUUAACUAACUUCACAAUGCACACUCUGUAUCAACUUGCCUAAUUGAUCAUUGAUUCAUCACUGCAAGACUUAGCACAACUCUGACAGUGGCUGGUUUUAUCACUGGAUUGAAAGUCUCAAAAUAGUUCACCAUUGCAAUCUGCUGAAAACCCUUUGCCACUAACCUAGCUUUAUACUUAGCUAAACUACCAUCGGUGUUGUGUUUAACUCUGUAUACCCACUUAUUGCCAACUAUCUUUUGAUAACUUGUUCUUGGAACCAAUGACCAUGUAUUGUUAUGAGUUAAAGCAUCAAAUUCAUUUUUCAUAGCUGUAAACCAAUUUGGAUCAUGUAAUGCCUCAUGAAUUGUAUCUGGUUUCUUAUGUUCAAGAAUUGCUGUGUAUACUUUGGGUUUAAAGAUACCAGCUUUACUCAUGGUAAUCAUUUGGUGUGUGUUUGGUUGAGAUGAAGGUUGUUGAAUGAUUAUUGAUGUUUGUAUAUUGAAUGAAAUAGGUAUUGGUUGAUUGUUAGGUGAAGUGGAUGGAGACGAUGUAGGUUGAAUAGGUAAAAUGUGAGAUUGUAUAGGUUCUUCUGGUAUAGUGUGUUGGGUUGAAGCUGAGUUAACCAAGUGGUCAGAACCACUGCAAUUGGAACUUACAGAGUCAGGACUAGUCAAGCUGCCAUCAGGAGAAAAAGAAGUUACAGAUAGAGUAGUGAGAUGAUAGACUUGUUGAGGAGUAAGAUGAAUAGGAGAGCAAAAAUUGGAUUUCUGUGACUCGUAAAUAUUUGAAUAAGGAAAUGUAUUUUAAUCAAAAACCCAGACACAUACGACCGAAAUGUCCUCUUCUCAACAAACUCAAGAAGAAAGCUAUGGUGGCCACAUGGGAUGAUAACGAUGAGGAAACAAGUGAUGAUGAUGAGCAACAAGAAAUGACAAAUUUAACUCUCAUGGCCGUUGGGGAAGAAUCAUAUGAUGAACUUGAUGAGGUAAGUGUUCUUCCUACGUAUGAUGAAUUGCAUGAUGCUUUUAAGGAUUUGCAUGAUGAGCUAAUGAAGAUUGGUAAAAAGAAUAUAUGUCUUAAAAAGAAAAUGAUAGAGCUUAAGAAUGAAAAUGAUUCAUUUAGUACAAAGAUUACAUGCCUAGAAUUAGAAAAUAAAACAUUGCAUGAUAGUAUUGCAUCAUUUAAGAAUUCUAACACUUCACAUGAGCACUUAGAGUCACACAUGAAUGACUUGAAAAAUGAGAAUGAAAUGCUUAGAAAGAAGAGUAAUGAACUAAAUGAAAUUGUGCUAAAAUUCACAAAUGGGCAAAAGAUGUUGGACAAUUUGCUAAACUCACAAAAAUGUGUAUUUGACAAAAGUGGCAUAGGUUAUAAACCGAACUUGAAACAAAAAUUUUACAAGAGUUAUUUUGUGAAGAAUACAUCUAUUAACAAUCAAAUUGUAUGUCAUUUUUGUAAUCAAGAUGGUCAUAUGAAAAAUAGAUGUGCAGUAAAGAGAAAUGCAUAUUAUGGUGUGAAAUGUGUUUGGGUUCCGAAAGGAACCAUUGUUAACUCUCAAGGACCCAAAAAGGUUUGGGUACCUAAAACUUGAGAUUUUCUCUACAAGGCUUGAAGAAGAAGAAGAAGAAGUGGUACUUGGACAGCGGUUGUUCAAGACACAUGACAAGGAAUUAUUCUUGGUUUUCAAGUUUCACUAAGAUCGAAAAUGGUGGAGAUGUAUCGUUUGAAGAUAAUUCAAAAGGAAAAAUCAUUGGGAUUGGAAAUGUCGGUAAUUUAUCCUUUACUCUCAUUGAAAAUGUGUGUUUGGUUGAAAACUUGAAACACAAUUUGCUUAGUAUUAGUCAAUUAUGCGAUAAAGGAUAUAGAGUUAUCUUUGAUGAAUCAAAAUGUGUUAUUGAGAAUGCAUGUAAUGGGAAAGUCUUGUGUGUAGGAAAUAGAUGUGUUGAUGUCUAUACCAUUAAUAUAGAUUGUGCAUCAAUACAUGAUAAAUGUCUCUCCGCAUUGCAUGAUGAUGGCUGGUUGUGGCAUCGAAGAUUAGGUCAUGCAAGCAGGGAUUUGAUUUCAAAAAUCGUGAAAAAUGAUUUAGUUAAAGGUCUUCUAAAAAUCAGUUUUCAAAAAGAUAGAAUUUGUGAAGCAUGCCAAUUUGGAAAACAAAUCAAAACUUCCUUCAAAAGCAAGAAUCAUGUCUCUACUUCAAAACCACUUCAAUUGCUUCAUAUAGAUUUAUUUGGACCUUCUAGAUAUGCUAGUUUAAGUGGUAAAUAUUAUGCAUUUGUAAUUGUGGAUGAUUAUUCUAGAUACACAUGGGUAUUGUUCUUAGCUAAUAAGGAUGAUGCCAUUGAUGUAUUUCGAAUUUUCUAUAAAAAGGUUCAAAAUGAAAAAGGUUAUUCUAUUACUUGUAUUAGAAGUGAUCAUGGUGGAGAAUUUGAAAAUCAUGCAUUUGAAAAUUUUUGUAAUGACCUUGGCAUUGAACAUCAAUUUUCAUCACCUAGGACUCCACAACAAAAUGGAGUAGUAGAGAGAAAGAAUAGGUCUAUUCAAGAAAUGGCUAGGACCAUGUUGAAUGAAAACUCUUUGCCUAAGUAUUUUUGGGCCGAAGCCGUCAACACCGCUUGUUAUGUUUUAAAUCGGGUGUUGAUUAGACCUAAUCUUAAUAAAACUCCAUAUGAGCUUUGGAAAGAUAGAAAACCCAACAUUGGCUAUUUUAAAGUUUUUGAAUGCAAAUGUUUUGUUUUGAACACAAAAGAUAAUCUUGGUAAAUUUGAUCCAAAAUCUGAUGUUGGCAUUUUUCAUGGUUAUUCAAAUUCAAGCAAAGCUUAUAGAGUUUAUAAUAAAAAAACUUUAAUUGUGGAAGAAUCUAUGCAUGUUACAUUUGAUGAGUCUAACCCCUCAUCUACGGAGAAAGUUGUUGUUGAUGAUAAUGCAGAAGAAGAACAACAAGAAGAAGCAUCGAAUAACAACCAAGAAGACGCGCCACAUGGAAUUAAAAAAGAACAUCAUGAAGAAACAAAUGCAGAGCAAAAUGAAGGUACUUCACAAACACUCCCCAAGGAGUGGAGGUAUGUAUCCUCUCACCCUAAGGAUGUAAUUUUAGGGGAUCCCUCGCGAGGUGUUACCACUAGAUCAUCUCUUAGAAACACAUGUGAGCAUGCUGCAUUUAUUUCUCAAAUUGAACCAAAAUCCUUUGCGGAUGCGGAAAACGAUGAAUCUUGGAUUAUGGCAAUGCAAGAGGAGCUGAAUCAAUUUGAGAGAAAUAAUGUGUGGGAGUUAGUUCCUAAUCCGGAACAUCAAUCCAUUAUAGGUACUAAAUGGGUAUUUAGAAACAAAAUGGAUGAAUCCGGUGUGGUUGUAAGAAAUAAAGCUAGAUUAGUGGCUCAAGGUUACAACCAAGAAUAAGGAAUUGAUUUUGAUGAAACUUUUGCACCUGUAGCAAGGUUAAAAUCCAUUAGGAUGUUGUUAGCAUAUGCAUGUCAUAAGGAUUUUAUUUUAUAUCAAAUGGAUGUCAAUAGUGCUUUCUUAAAUGGAUAUAUUAUGGAGGAAGUUUAUGUGAAACAAACUCUUGGUUUUGAAAAUGAAAAAUUUUCAGAUCAUAUGUAUAAGUUAUCCAAAGCUUUGUAUGGUUUAAAACAAGCACCUAGAGCUUGGUAUGAUAGACUUAAAAAUUUCUUGUUUGAUAACGAUUUUUCAAUGGGAAAAGCGGACACAACUCUUUUUGUUAAGCAUAAGAACCAAGACAUACUUAUUGUUCAAAUUUAUGUUGAUGAUAUUAUUUUUGGUUCUACUAAUGAGUUGUUGUGUAAAGAUUUUUCAUCAUGUAUGAGCCAAGAGUUUGAGAUGAGUAUGAUGGGAGAGUUGAAGUACUUCCUUGGACUUCAAAUCAAACAAAACGAGGAAGGAAUUUUCAUAAACCAAGCCACGUACGUGAAAGAUCUACUCAAAAGAUUUGGCUAUGAUAAUGGAAUUGCAAAAAGCACUCCUAUGAGUACUACCAUCAAGCUGGACAAAGAUGAGAAAGGUAAGGAAGUUGAUAUCAAGACAUAUCGAGGUAUGAUCGGAUCCUUACUUUACUUGACUGCUAGUAGGCCUGAUAUUAUGUUUAGUGUUUGCUUGUGUGCUAGAUUUCAAUCUUGUCCUAAAGAGUCUCACAUGCUUGCUGUCAAACGCAUUUUUCGAUAUUUAAUUGGCACUAUUAAUCUUGGCCUUUGGUAUCCUAGAGGAACUCAUAUUGAUUUAACUUGUUAUUCGGAUGCCGAUUUUGCUGGGUAUAAGGUUGAUAGAAAAAGUACUAGUGGAACAUGUCACUUCCUAGGCCAUUCUCUUGUCUCUUGGUUUAGUAAGAAACAAAACUCGGUUGCGCUUUCAACCACUGAGGCAGAAUAUAUUGUCGCAGGUAGUUGUUGUGCACAAAUUCUUUGGAUGAAACAAACCCUUAGAGACUAUGGUAUUAAGCUUGAUCAAAUACCUAUCUUAUGUGACAAUACUAGUGCUAUAAAUCUUUCCAAGAAUCCCAUUCAACAUUCUAGCAAAUAUUCCAUUUCCAUUCAUCAGGAAAAAUAUUUUUUUUUUAUUGAUUUCUCUCGGGACAAAUUCCGGAUAACCGGAUUUUCAAUCCGCAAAACCGGAUUAGCUUUGGUUGCUCUCGGGACAACAUUCAGAUAACCGGAUUUUCAAUCCAGAAAACCGGAUUUGCUAAGCCACCUCUCUGCCUCAUAACCGAUCUACGGGUUCUUUAAUCCGAAAAACUGAAUUUGGAAGGGAACUCACUGCCUCACAACCGGUUUACUGGUUAGCAAAACCGAAAAGCAGAAUUCGCAUGCAUGCUUGCUGGAACAAAACCGGAUUUCCAAUUCAAGACAAUCAGGAAAGCCGGAUUUUUGGAAGCUCUCGAAAUCGGCUAGCCGGUUAAGAAAAUCGGCAAGCCGAAUUCCCUCAUGUUGCUCUCGGGUUCAUAUCCGGUCAACCGAAUUUCAAAUCCGGCAGAACGUUUUCGCUUGUUUGGUUUCUGUCCAAUAACCGGCUUGCCGGUUAGGAAAUCCGGCAAGCCAGAUUCGUGAGCCUUUUGUGCUGUUCAUCCUCUUCCUCAUGCAUUCGGCAAUCCGGCUCUUCCUCUCUCUAAAAACCGUUUGCUUCUCUAUCAUUUUUCAUUCCAAAAUCCACCAUUUCUACUCGGUUUUGAUGCAAAUCAAUCCAUAAAUCUUGAUCCCCAUCCGUUCUUAUACCUAAAAUCACACUCAAAACUCAUUUUCAACCUCCAAAUCCCUAGAUCCGAAUUUCAACCUAAGUUUUGGGCCGAUUUUUCUCUCUCUAGAUUUCUCACUCUCAAGCCGUUUUUGAUCCAAUUUGUUUCUCCAAAUCACUUUCAAUCUUCAUCAUCUUCAUUCUCUUUGGUGUUUUUAUCUUCAAAUCCAUCAAAAUCAAAAUGUCAAGCUCUCGGCCGGUUCGAAGAAAAGGCAAAGAAUCGGUUCAACAAACCACCCGACCACGGGAAGCAAGGGGCACCUCAAAUCAAUCCACUUUUGAGUCCAUUCAUUUUCAGAACAAGCAACAGUUUCUUUGUUUUACCGGAUGUUAUGCAUACUCUCAAGAUUAGUUAUAGAAAUAUAUUUCAAUUGUUGGGAGAUGUUGGUUGGAUUGAUGCAUUGUUGAUUGAGGAGAAUGUGUAUCCCGACUUGGUGAAAGUAUUUUACUCGAAUAUGAAUUGUUCCGCGGAGAAAGAGAAUCGAGUAAUCACCACAGUUGGAGGAGUUUUGAUUGAAUUUGAUGAUUCGGAGUUGAACUCCAUCCUAGGAUCUUUCGAUGAUGGCCUGGACAUUUUUUCUCUUAGGAAACCUCCUGAUAUUGAUGACUAUGUUCAUGUUGAUGCCAUUCGUAAUAUUUUUCGGCGUAGUGAUCUUUCUGUUGAAGACUGUACCAUUCAUUUUCGUACUCAGUGUCUUUGUCUUCAAACUCGUAUUUUGCUUCGUAUCAUCCAGUCCAUUGUACUUCCUAGAUUAGGACAUUUGGAUGAGGUUUCUCACAUGGAUGUCGCCAUGAUUGACUAUAUUCUUAGAGGUCGCCCGGUUAACUUGGGCUAUUUCAUCAUCCGCACUAUGUUGAGCAUUCCUGCCUUGAUUACCCGCUCUCUUCCUUAUGGUCACUUCAUUACCCGAAUUCUUAAAUUCUUUGAAGUGCCAAUUCUAGAAUCAUCUUGUAAGCCGUCCAAGGGUAUCGGGGAUGAGGUUAUUAUUGGGUUAGGCUUUGAGUAUAAGGAUGGCACUUGGGUCAAAUACAGCGAUAACAAGUUUACCUUUCUAGUCCCAAGUGAUGAUCGGCGACUUAAUACUGUGAUUCCAGCUGAUCAGCUUCCAGUUUUCUCACUCUCAUUUCGAGGGCAGCGUAGACGCCGAGUUUCUUCCACGGUUGCUUCAGCUCCUAGUGCAUCUGCAUCCGCUUCAUCACCUCCACAUCCUCCUACCUCUGAAGAGGUCACUCUUCAGCAGAUUAUGGAUGAAGUGCGGACACUCUCUGUGCGGCAGACUGAGUUUCAACAGCGACAGACUGAGUUUCAGUAACAGCAGCAGCAGCUUAUUCAUGGACAGCGCCUCCUCUUCGAGCACUUCGGCAUUCCAUAUCCGUUUCCACCUCCAUCACCUCCAUCCUCACCACCUGAGUAGUAUCUUAUGCUUGUACUUGGACACAUCUACAUUUCAUUUACUGCAAUGUGUGUUCGUUUAUUUUCGAAUCUAUGGAUGGUUAUUAUGCUUUUCGGUUUAUGUCUUUGUUUUGGAUGAUAUUGAUUUGUUGUGACUAUUUAUGUUGGAUGUUAUGGAUUUGUUUUGAUUGAUCAUUAUGGAGUAUAUGGAUUUUCUUAUGCUUAUGGAUAUUUUUUUUUACUAAUGUGCUUAUGUUGCGAUUUUGAUGAUUGAUAGGGGGAGCCUUUAUUCUUUUUGAUGAUGAAGGGGGAGAAUGAUUUAAUAUGUGUUAUGAAAAUAUGCAUGUAUCUAGGGGGAGCAUGUAUGCAGGGGGAGUUUUUGUUAAAUAAUUUUCAAAUCAUUUUUUAACUUGCAUUGAUUAAGGGGGAGCUUUUCAUAACUAGAUUAAAUUUGAAUGUGCUUUGUCAUCAUCAAAAAGGGAGAGAUUGUUAGCCUAUCUGGCUAUAAAUAUUGAUUUUGAUGAUAACAAACCACAUGUAUUUAUUAAGAAAAGAUUUAUGAAUUGUGCUUUUAUAAUAAGAAAUUGAUGUUAUGGAAUUAAAGCAUUUUGGACUAAAAUGAAAGUAAUUUCAAAAUCUUUGAUAGUGUUUUAAAUUUCAGAUUUGGAUCUAUUUGAAACUAUUUAAAUGUUUUUGGGCCAUUCUAAAAUUUCACAAAGUUUGGGUGAAAUGAUAAUUUCAAAAAGUUUUGGGAUUAACGAAGCAUUACUUAGAAAUUCUGAAAUUGGACCUAUUUGUAAACUUUUAUAACGUUUUGGGCCAUACUACAGUUUUAUAAAGUUUGGGGUCAAACUGAAAAAUCGGAUACGGGGCAGUAAGCAUCCAGAACGCAAACGACUUACCAGAUUUCGUAACCGGCAAGCCGGAUAGGCAAAAUUCAAAAUUUUGCCUUAACGGUAACAUAAAUUCGGCUUACCGGAUUCCAUAAACGGCAAACCGGAUACGCCCAGAAUGUGAGUAAUGGCUAGUUUUUGAGCUCAAACUAUAAGAACUCAAAUCCAACUCAUUUUGAAGCUCUCCCAACAAGAAAAAACAAAAAGCACACGUGGUAUCUUGAGCCUUCAAACUUACGGAAUACAAAUAUUGAAUCAUUUCUUGUUCUUUAUUUUUGAAUAUCUACUCAUUAAGUGAGUUUCAUUGUAACCUUCAUUUAUUCAUCUCAAUUGUAAGAGUUUGAGUGUGUGAGACACUUGAGUGAAGAGAUUAUGAGAUAAUCUCUUUGUUGUAAAGGUUUAUUGACAUCUCGAAGUCAAUUGUAAUCAUUGAAGCCUUGGAAAGGCUUGGAUAGUGAAAUCCUCAAGCUUGGAUCGCUUAGAGACGUGGAUGUAGGCGGGGAUUGCCGAACCACGUAAAAAUUCGUGUGUUUGUUUCUCUUCUCCCUUACUCUUUAAUUAUUGUGCUUUUUUUGAAUUAUUGCUUUCAGUUUUUAUUAAGACAUUAGAUUGCUUGUUGUGUGGAUUUGCUAGGAUAAUUUUUAAAUUUCCAAUUCACCCCCCCCUCUUGGGUUGCACACUUAUAUUUCAGCAGGAAAAUGCAAUCUAUGUGAUUUUCUCAUUUGACAUUCUUCACAAAUGAUUGCAAGUGCUUGCUGUUUUACAUUGUGAGAAAUAUUAAUAGACUUGACUUGUUUGAGCAAAUGCAUUAGUGUAUGAAAAUUGGGAUGGCCAAAUCGUUUAUGCAAAAGAAGAAUUUUAUUCAUUGCUGAAUUGCAUGAAUCAACAACAAUAUGAUGACAGAUCUUAUUAUCUGAGACUUUGCUCUAGACAAUGGAUUGACAAUUAAAACUAGAAUGACAAACAAAUAACAUUGACAAAGGCCUAUUAGAAAUAGUUUGACAUAGAAAAGAAGAAGGAAGUGUUUGUGCAGAUGGCUUUAAAAGCAGCUGGUAUAAUCCUUUCUCAGCAAGACCUUGCAGAAGAACUUGCCCCCCUCAGUGUAUCCUUCACAUAACAAACAUCACCAGAAAAUUCAACUGUCAAGUUAUUAUCAGUGGUGAGUUUGGACAUGCUUAGCAAGUUUUUAGUAAUUGAAGGAACCAGUAGGAUAUCUUUGAGUGCUAUUUGUGUAUGAAUAGAUUUGGCAUUUGAAUGUGAGUGUUUAUAACAAAGGAAAGCAUCACCAAUAUGAGUAAUAACCAAACCUUGACCAUUGCCAAUGAUGAGCUGAUCUGACCCUUUGAACUCCUCUCUGACAUGCAUGUUAGACAUGUUGUUGAUCAAGGGAUGAGUGGCACCACUAUCGAGAUACCAUCCAUCAUCAGCUGGUCCUUCAAAAUUAGCAACAUAUGCAGCCCCAGGUGUUGUGAAAUCUUUUGAUGCAUAAGGUGAGAUGGAGUUUGGAGAGUAAUACAUUGGUUGUUGACAGUUCAUAUCAAAAGAUUCUUCAAAUGGACAUGUAGAAAAUUGUGGUUCAAAAGCAGUCAAGUAGGCAGACUUAGCAACUCUACCUCUACCAAAAGGUUUUGGUGAAGGUACAAAAUCAUCUCCAUACCUAUGCCAACAAGCAUCAACAGUAUGCCCUUGCUUGUGAUAAAUUUGACAUACAGGUAGUGUGCCGUCAGAAUUUCCAGUAUGCAUAGAAGGAUUUGCAGGCAUUGAUCUGUGAGUAUGCAUUGGUUGUCCUCUUCCAUAACUACUGAAAUUACUAUUUCCUGAAGGAAAACCUCUAGGAUAAUGUUGAAAGAACAUGCCUCUACCAAAAUUUGGUCUUCUACCACCACCAAAAUUACUAUUAACACCACGAUAUCCACCUCUAUAUGAACCUCUUUUACUAUUACCCCUAAUCUGAGAGUAUUUUGCAUUCAUCAUGCUAUAAUUAGCGUUGAACACAUUUGUAGCAUUCUGAGUUUGUUCUAAUCUAGCUUCAUGUGUAAGGAGUAAGGCAUAUGCUUCAUCAUAAUCCAUUUUGUUUGCAGUGAUAAUAGAUGCUAAAUCCAAAUAACCAGAUCCUAAGCCAUCCAGACUCAUUAAUAGAUCCUUUCCAGUUAUGGAGUCACCAGCACAUGCAAGUUUGUCAGCAAGCAUUUUCAUUUUGCCACAGUAUUCUUCAAUAGACAUUGAAUCUUUUCUUAAAAUAUUCAUCUCAUGUCCAAGUUGCAUCACUCUAGCCUCGAAUUGCACUCCAAAUUGUUUUUCAAUAGAGGUCCAAACAGCAAACGAAGUGUCGCAACCUAAAACAGAACUUAAAAUACCUUCACUGAUUGUAGAUAACAGCCAUCCAAGAUGGAUCUGAUCUUGAGUACGCCAGUUGAUGUAGGCUGGAUUCUCAACUCUUUUUUCUGAAAUUUCAUCUGAUGUUGAAGCUGGAUCAGGAAGAUACUAAUCGGUACAGCUCGAUUUCCAAAAAUAUAAUGUUCAAGUCGAUUGUCUCUUAUGGAUGUGAGAACUUGUUUGCGCCAUAGCAAAUAAUUGGAUCGAUCAUGCUUUACAGGAGUAGUGAAUGUGAAUGAAACAUUUAAAGGUUGAUUUUGAUUAAGAAAAUUUGGAUUUGAGUGAGUUGUACUUGAGUUCGCCAUGAUUAUUGCUCUGAUACCAUAAAGGAAAUAUGAAACGAAGUGUUUGGCUUAAAAGAAAAUAACAGAGAAAAUAAUCUUCUAAUUUUCCAGAUCUUUUAUUUCUUAUUAAGAAUGAUUACAUCACUUCUAUUUAUACUAAUUAAUCAAUAACUAACUAAGAAUUAAAUCCAGCUAAUCAUUUGUUCAGUAUACACUGUGAGUAAAAACAAACUUUAACUAACUGUGCUGAGCUGGCAGUCUGGACUGUUGCGUUUUUUAACAGCUUCUGAUAGUUUGACUUGAGUUGACCCAAGCUAUGUUUUCUCAUGCUCUGCAUAAUGUGCUUCCUUAACAAAUUGAGAUUAUUUUCAGAGGAAAAGUAUGUAAUUUCACUGAAAUAUUUUUACUUUAUUUUCCAAUAUUGACUGCUAGAAACUGAGAAGAAUGCUAAAUCGCCGAAAAUUUUAUGACUAUAAGCAUUUUUUCUAUUGACUGGCAGAUCUAAAGGGGCCUAAAUGAUAUGAGAUACGUUAAGCUUAAUUUACUCUAAGAGAAUUGCUACGACAUCUUGAUUUGUCAUCAAGAGUUUAUUUUGUGAGAUGUGAAAUACAAAGCUCAGUUAGGAAUUGGGUUAUAUUUGUUGACCAUUUCUCACAUCGGUUGUGUAUGGCUGGUUAAUAUGCUGUCAUGGCAAGUUAUUUUAAAAAGUAUUAAGUUUUGCAGCUUUAUCUGUUUAUAUUCAGAUGUAUCUCUAUAUGCUUGAAUGUUGUCUUCCAAUUAAUAUCACUAGUAUUCUUUUUUUUUUUUUUUUUUUUAAAUUUGAAUUUAAUCUGUACUGUUUGCCCUAUGCUGAAUUGCUGAUGUCUUCAUAUUUUAAUGACAGGAAGAAGGAAACCACGUACCGAUUAAAUUCAACAUUCUAGUCUAAUCUCUGGAAGCAUUUAAUAAAUGGGUGAGUUUUUUUGCAAGGAGGUUCCCUUCUGUAUGUAUUAUGUAGGGCCAUGCAAUUAAGAGGUUUGAUGUGUUGGGAAAAUAUGCUUUUUAAAAGCAUAUGUAUUUAUUUAAUUGUAAUAAAAUUUUUUUUUCUGAUUAAUAAAAUUAAUGAGGUAUUUUAUUCAAAUAUCUUAAUUGCAUUAAUAUUUUGAUCAAAGUCCAUUUGAUCAUAUUAUAUGUAUUUAUGUGAUCACCAUGUGGAUUCACAAAAGACAUAAAUACAAGUUAUCUUAUGACCAAUGAUUUCCAAUGCUUUUGUUUGUGGGGAUUUUUAUUUUCUUGGCUCAAUUGCUUAUUGCGUUAAUUUUUCCAAUUAAAUGAAUUUUAAAGAUAAAAGUUUAUUUGGGUAGUUACUUUUAAACCCCACCGAAAAAACUUGAACUCCAUGGUCGUCCUUUAUGAGAUUGUAGCUAGCAGGGAGAGUUUAGAAAAUAGAAGAAAUUCCAUAGAUAUGAUGAAGCUCAUAGGUUCACACCACGAGGUUUUAACAUUCCAGAAUGUAGCCAGCGGCAGAUGGCUUGAAUUCUUAUGCUUGAUUUCCAAUUUGACUGUCUUGAUACCAGGCUGAGAAUCGGUACCAUGCAGACACUGAUCAUGAGACCUUCAAGUUACUUCAGGUUACUCAUCUUUUUCUUUCAUGGUCUGUCUCCUUCUGUGUCUUUUUACUGGGAAAGUUACUUAAUACCGCUUUAUUGAUUUUCUUCUCAAAUUGAUAUAAUGAACGAGAGCAUGAUUAUAAAGGCAAUCAAGAAUACAUGUUUUUAAGGUACUUCAUUCCUUCGUUCCAUAUUAUAUUCUAUAUAUUAGCCAGGUCAUUCAAGACGUUUUAAAUAAAACAGAGUAUGAAAAAGUAGGAGAGGGAGCCCGACUUUAGGCUUCUAUAUGUAUAUUCUCCUUGCACUUCCAGGUGUUGACAAAGACUAUAAUUUUAUUGUUCUGUUUAUCUAAAACAGGAAGUCUAUAGUUUUAAGUCUCUUGGGAUUUGAUGCAUUCUUGUACUUUAUUCUCUUUCAAACUUGGUGCAUUAUGCUCGGUUUGUCAGUGACAGCUGACUUCUACAUCUUAUACCUUUUUGUAUUUUCUUUCAGCUUACAAAGGUGAAAGCCUAUUUACGUUUGCAAGAGACGUGACUCUCAAAUAAACAAAAGCUAUGAUGCAACCUCCAAUUCCAAAAGACCUAGAUCCUUGGGGAUUCAGGCUUUUAAGGGCAUCGUGGACAAAGAGUACGUGUACUUAUAUUAUAAUUUUUUUCUUCUAAAUUUUCAUUUUUUACUGUUGUGACGAAAAAGGUCAUGGCUGCUUGAACUGUCUGUUAGAAGCUUGCUGGAAGAAGCCUAGGCAGUGACCUUCAAUUGGCAAUUUUCCUCUUGUUGCUUUUCAAAUUGCCGUGUCUUUACAAGAAUUCAUAGUCUCUAUUUAUAGUUCCGGCCAUUUGAAUUCAGUUAGUGCAGAUGCUUUGUUCUGUUAUUCUCUUCUGCUCUACUGUUCUCUUCUGGUUUUCGAUUCCAUUUUGAUCUUCUGAAGUUACGGUUUUAGUUUGAAUUGACUUCUAGAACUAAUUAAUAAUAAUUCACCAAAUUGUUUUGUUGCUAAUAGAGGAACACCAUUACAGGGGUAUUGUCUGGUUGUUCCUAUGACCGCCCACCGAGUUGCUUAAGGAUUUUCCCUGAUAUUACUCCCCGAAAGUUUUUAAACUUUUGAUGAAAAUAGUCAAAAGUUUUAAACUAAAUUGGCUGAGCUAAAGUUGCAUUUAGUCUUUCUUAUCACCAUUUAUAAAAAAAAAAUUGUUUUGAGAUUUUAAAUAUAUAUACGAGAUACAUGGAAUUAUCAUAUAUUUAAAAAUUUCUGUUUGGAACUCAUGACUUCACUUAAGGAAUUUUUAUUAUUUGAAGAAUUUGAGAAUUUUCAUUGAAUGAAUUUUAUGAUUUUUAUGCAUAAGAACUCAAGAUUUUAAUUGACAAAAUUAGGACUUUUGAUUUUUCUUGAAGGGUAUUGGACUAACGAUCUUGCCUAGAGGACUUUUUCUUUGCCUAUGGAGCUUUGGUCUUUGAAUGCAUUAAAAUCCCCAGAGAACUAUUACCCCGUUAACGAUCUUGCAUUCAUGUAUUUAUACCUAAUAUAAAAUAAGUAAAUGGGAAUGGAGUGGUGAUGGGGAAAUUAUUCCCCACAUGGGGAUUCUCCAUCCCCACCCCACUAAAUUUAUUGGGGAAUGGGGUGGGGAAUGGAGGCAAAAAAUUUUAAUGGGGUGGGGAAUGGGAUAGGCCUCCCUACCCCUACCCCACCCCAUUGCCAUCCCUAAUUCUAAAUCGGGAGGUUGCCAAUUUUUCACUAAUGAAAUCAAUGUAUACCACUUGCACCUAUUGUAACACCCUAGGCAAAUCCCACAUUGACAAAGCACGAGAGACAUACUGGACUUAUAAGGGGUGAUCCACACCUUAAUUGGCAAGACGCGUUUUGGGGUGUAUGGGCGCCCUAGGAACAAAACCAUACGGGCCUUAUUAAGACCCAAAGCGGAUAAUAUCUUGUCAGAUCUAGGUUGGGUCAUGAUAUUAUGGUGUUAGAGCGGUUCCACGUGUCCUCUUGAGCAGUGGUGGGGCAAGCCUCAGCGAGGAUGCUGAGUCCUCAAGGGGGUGAAUGUAAUACCCUAGGCAAAUCGCACAUCGGCAAAGCACGAGAGAGAUGCUGGAUUUAUAAGGGGUGAUCUACACCUUAACUGACAAGACACGUUUUGGGGUGUAUGAGCGCCCUAAGAACAAAACCGUGCGAGCCUUGUUAAGGCCCAAAGUGGACAAUAUCUUACCAAGUCUGGGUUGGGUCAUGACACCUAUUAUUUUCAUAAUAGUCAAUAAUCCCCUGCAACAUAAUUUUAUAACAUUACCCUUAUUUUUACAAUAUCUCUUUUAGAAUUUUCCAUACUGACAUCUCGUGCUCCACAUUGAUUAGUUGUGAAUAAGGCUUGAGGAAUAGCAUACCCUCAAGAGACUAUGCCUGAAUAGUAGUAUUAACAUUCUUGUACAAAUAACAGUAGUUGUAUUAGAACAAAAAGUUAAUCAUAUCCCUCAUGUCAUUGACUACGCUAGUAUGACAUUGAAUUAUGCACAAUUGAAUUACUCAACUACUAAAAAAGAAAUAGUAAUAGUAAUGUUUGCAUUAGAAAAGUUUCUUAUAGGAUAUAAAAUAAUUGUGCUCACAGAUUAUACUACUCUUAAAUAUCUUUUGAUAAAGAAAGAUGUAAAGGUCAGACUAAUUCGUUGGGUUUUAUUUUUGUAGGAAUUUGACUUUGAGUUCAAAGAUAAGAAACGCAUAAAAGAUGUGGUGGCAGAUCAUCUUUCUCGCCUCAAUUUUGACACAAUUCGAGAACGAUUAUGAUUCAAUGAAUCAUUUCCAGAUGAGCAACUAGUGAGUGUGGAGGUACUAUCAAUGGCAUGCUGAUAUAGUUAAUUAUAUUGUGACAGGGCAACUUUCAGAGAAUUAGACUAAGCAAGAUAAGGCCAAUUUUUUUUUGUGGAAACAAAGAAUUUCUUUUCUGAUGAUCUUUAUCCAUUCAAAUAUUACGUGGAUCAUAUUAUCAGACGAUGCAUCCCAGAGAGAAAAUUUUAAAACAUCCUUUCAUUAUAUUAGGAGCAAGCUUGUAGAGACAAUUUUAGUGUUAGAAAGACGGCUGCUAAAGUUUUACAACAUGGUUUUUAUGCCCAACUUUAUUUUGAGAUGCUUAGACUUCUAUUCUUCGUGUCAUUGGUGCCAAAGCAUAAGAAGUAUUUCACGAAGGAGCAUGAUGCCACUAAACCUUACUAUGGCAGUUGAGUUUUUUAAUAUGUGGGGCAUCGAUUUUAUGGGACCAUUUCCUCUUUCUUUUGGCCAUCAAUACAUAUUAGUUUAUGUCAACUAUGUAUCAAAGUAGGUAGAAGCAAUUCAGUGCAGAACCAAUGAUCACAAAGUAGUGAUUGGAUUUUUGAAGAGCAAUAUUGUUUCGUACUUUAGACUCCCUCGACCAAUAAUCAAUGAUUGUGAUACCCACUUUUACAACAAAACAUUCAUAACUCUUUGGGCAAAGUAUUUCAUCACACACAAAGUGGCUAUCCCAUAUCAUUCACAAAUUAGUGGCCAAGUCAAUAUCUCCAAUCGAUGAAUAAAGUAUAUAUUAGAACAGACGGUGAAGCUAGACAGAAAAGAAUGGUCAUUGAAACUCGAUGAUUCACUAUAGGCUUAUUGAAUGGCUUUUAAAACCCCUAUUAGGAUGUCACCUUAUAGGCUAGUGUAUAAGAAAGUUUGUCACCUACCUAUGGAAAUCGAGCAUCGUGCAUACUGGGCUAUCAAGAAAUUUAACUUUGACAUACAACAAGUUAGUUUGGAAAGAAGAUUAUAGCUAGUAUUAAAGAGAUUCACAAUAAUAUAUAUGAAAAUGACAAACAUUACAAGUAGCGGAUGAAAGUCUUUCAUGACAAGAAUAUUAUGAGAAAAUCUUUUAUACCAGGUUAGAAAGUGAUGCUAUUCAAUUCUCGCUUACAUCUAUUCCCAAGUAAAUAACACUCUUGAUGGUAUGAUCCAUUCAUUAUUCGCACUAUUUUUUCAUGUGGGCCAUUGAAAUUAAGGAUCUAAAGAAUAAUGUCACUUUUAAAGUUAACGGUAAAAAAUUAAAGUCCUAUAUAGAGUACCAACCACAUGAAGAUGACACCAGAGGAAAUUUGAAAGACCCAUCACAUCUUGAUUAGGUUUUUUUUUGGGAUGAUUUAACUUUUUGUUAUUUUGUUUUAUUGAUUAAAAUUAUUUUGAUUGUUUCCUACUUUAGUGCAUUUGUUUAAAAAUUAUGCUUUCUUUUAUCAAUUGUAUUUUAGGUCAUGAGUAUCUCAAUGAGACAAAUCUUAUUCAUUAACCUUAACAAACUUCUAUAUAUGAAGCUUGACGUAAGUGGUCUGCUCAAAAUUUGUAAAUCACAUCCUGUUUAGGAUCUAUGACCACUAGUGUUAGUAUCCUAUUUAGAAAGACAAUUCAUAGAAAUAGAAGGUAGUAUAUGUGAUAUCCAAUUAGAACUUACGAUAAACUCAAUAAGGAGAUGGUGGUGAGUUAACGUCCUAGUAUUUAUAUUGUUUGUUUUUGUUUUGUUGUUUGCCUUCACAUGCAUUUUGUUUUUGCUAGAUUAAUUCUUUUGUUUGGUAUGUUGUUAUUUCUUACCCUAGUUAAAUGGCAGAUAAUGGUACUUUGUAACCAUUAAAGUCAGUUCUAAUAAUUUUCCAUAAUAAAUGAUAUUUCCAAGCCAAGGUAUAAAUAAGAAUAUAAUUCUUGCAAAACUUCAUAAGUGAUUUCCCUCUCUCCCUUAGAAUGCAAUCCUCACGAUCUUUAAAACUUGAUCCAAACUCUUACAAUUACUUAUGAGAAAUACCGUUCUUGUUCACAUUCGUUGGUUAAUUGAAACCAAAGUAUGAUUAAGAAGGGAGUUACCUCUCAAAUUUGUUGCUUACAUGUCUGGCUACAGGAAAGGAAAUUAUUCAAGAAAAUGAAGAGCUAGACGGCUCCAAGUUUCUUAUCAUAAGUGUGCUCGAACAAACUAUAAUGAAAGUUCUAGUAUAUGUUUGGGAAUGAUGACCUAUAUUAGGGAAGAAAAGAUUCAAUUUAUUAGGGAUGACUUGAAUAAAAAGUCAUUAGAUGGCAUCCUUUCGACCCUUAAAACGUAUCCCAGUGAAUACGUACAAUGUGAAAUUUCCUAGUUAUAGCCAUUAUUCCAAAAGAAAUAUGCACCAUAAUGUCUUCAGCAUUUUAUAUACACUACCAUAUUUACUAGUUUAUCAGAAAACUGGAUGAGAGCCUUUCUCGAUGUAAAAUAAAAGAAAGAUGUGAGCCAUAGUCACAACUAAUAGUAUAUAUCAAUUUGUUUUACUAUUCUUUUAUCAUUUAAAUUAUUGUUUACUAGUGUGAUUUAUCUCCAUUUACUUUUUUUUUUUGCUAUUUACUUUUGACUCUUGAACUAGGAACUUCACGCGUCAUUUUACAAACACACUACUUCAUUUACAACCUUGUAUCAUUAUAUCUCUCACCAAUAUCUUUAAAUAUGAGUUUUUUUUAAACACUCGCAAAUUAUUUUUGAGUUUGUCUCAAUGGCAGCAACUUUGAAUAGACAAUUGAAGAACGUUUGCAUGCUUUCUGGCUUUCGUUAUGGAAAAUACAAAGUGUUUGCUCAAGCAGCUAUGGAUCUUGGUCAAGUACUUGUCUCAGAAACUACUUACACUAGAGGAAGUCAAGUGCUUGGUAUCAUCCUACACCCCUAUAACCUCUGGAAUGCCUCUGCCCGGCUCACCAAUUGCAAAUAAGCUAGUCAUCUUAAGUUUACAGGAGAAAAUAACCAAGACGCAAAACCUUAAUAAUGCUUUAAUUUUCUUACCAAGAGAUCUUGCAAUUGUAGAGGCAUAAAUUAUAUUCGCAUCUUGGGCCCAUUCAAACAUUAAUAAAAAUUCAUCAAUUUUUUCUAAACUCUACUUCUUUUCUUUCAAAAGUUGAGGACAAUAUCUCAUUCUAGUCGGGGGACAAAAUAAUUGAUAGUUGUGUUGUUGUACUUUUACUAAUUUUUUUUUAAUUUUUGAGUCAAAGAUGGCCAAAUGUGGAGUUUAAUUACUCUAGAAAUGCAUAUUCCUAGUCUUGUAGUUUAGUUAAAAAAUAAAAUAAAAUAAAAUAAAAAUAAAAAUAAUGAAAUAAUACAAUUUAAGACACUUUUUGUGAUCUUUUGAUAUUGGAUGACGUGAUGGCUUUUAAAUUUUACAAUUUAUAUUAUCUUUAGCUUUGAAUUAUGUUACACCAUAUUUGCCACUUUGCAAAUUGAUGUUGGUUAGAUGUGUGAAUUGAGAAAUUGAUGAGUGAAAUUCAUUGAGCUAUUUGAAAGAAAGUACAUGUCAAAAUAAGCUCCAAGUGAGUUUUUGAAUCUAUUAUUUAUCUUAGAGAGCAACCUUUUUCCAUAGCUUACUAGUUUAUUAUUUUAUACAUAAUCUCUAUCUUUUUCUUUUGAGUCGACCAAUGAAAAGAAUUGUGUGUUGUUACGUCUGAAAGUCUAUUGAACUAGUAGAUAUAAAGAUUAUUUAGAUCUUUAACAAAUGACAAAAGUUCAUGUUUGAUCCAUUUGAGUCUCUUCUGGCCAUCCUCAUUGUGAAAUAUCCAUAGUCACUCCUUUUGAACCUAUUAAAAGAAAAUUAUUUGUUAACGUAUUAUCAUAUCCUACUUCAAUUUAGAGCAUUACCAUAUAUUUUAUGUUUUCCAUCACUUAUCCAUCAUUGAAAAAAAAAAAUAUGAUAAUGAAAUAAGAAAAAAUAAAAAAGGGAAAAAUAUAUAAAACACAUUGCAAUUCCCAAAAGAUCUCUAUUGUUUUUCCAAGCAUAUAUUUUGUUCUUCUUAUUCUUCCUUCUUUUUUAGCCAUUUCUAUAGCCCACAUUACAAAAUAGUAAAAGUUCUUCUUGGUUUUAGAGAACUACAAUCUGAAGUAGAAGCUGAUAAUAUGGCCUAAAACAUGUGGUGAUGCAUAAAACUAUAUACAAAUAAUAUUAUUGGUAGAUCAAAAAAAGAGAAGAUGCAAAAUGAGGAAAUGCUUUAAUGUAAAAUGACAAGGCCAUUACAUCAGAGAUUGUGAUGAAAAGAAAAAAUGAUGAGAAAGAGAGAACAAGGGAUGCAGCAGUGGCUUCGGAUGAUUGAUAUCAUAGUGCUGACUUGUUGGUGGUUUCAAAUAGCAAUAUAAGAAGUCAAUGGAUCCUUAACUCAAGGUGUUCCUUUCAUUUGUGUCCUGGUAGAAGUCUCUUUUAUGAGUCUGUGGAUGGUAGUAGAGUCUUGAUGGGAAACAAUAAUGUGUAAGAUUGUUGGUAUAGGGUCUAUCAAAAUCAGAAUGAUUGAUGGGAUUAGAAGAACUUUAUAUAAUGUGAGGCAUGCACCUAGGCUAAAGAGAAAUUUAUGCUCUUUAGGUAUGCUGGAUUGUCCAGGAUACUUCUUUAUGUCUAAAAGUGAUAGUUUGAGGAUUAUUAAAGGGACUGAAAUGGUAAUGAAAGGUGUAAAGACGAUUUGUCUUUAUGUGUUAGAAGGGUCACCAUUACCUAUGUUAGCUACAAUACCUGAUGUUCUAAAGUAGAUAGAACCAAGUCACUUUAUCUUAUACUUGGAUGCAUAAGUGUCAAGGGGAUGCAAAAGCUAAGCAAGCAAGGGUUUCUUUGUGGUGAUAAGACACAUGAGGUAGAGUUCAGUGAAAACAACAUUUUUGGAAGAGCACAUUGGUCCAAAUUCACAAAGGGACUGCACACAUCUAAACAAGUUUUGGAUUAUGUUUAUGCUGAUUUUUUGGGGCCUUGCUCAGGUCCUUUAUUUUAAUUAACUGUUGACUUUAAUAACUUGUUGCAUUAUCAUGCAUAGUAAUUGAAUAUACAACUAAUUGAUAUUAUCAUUUUUAGUAUUUUUUUUAAUUCAGUUUAUGUCUUAGAUUUUUUAUCUUUAUUUAAUUGUUUUCCACUUAUUAUUAUAAAUAUUACUAUUUUGUAAAGUUUUAUUCCUGUUAUUCAUAUUUAAAUGAGUUCUUUAAUAUCUAGGCAUAGCGUGCAAGUGAAAAAUAUGACAUAAAAAAAAGUGACAUAGAAAAUGAAAUAAUAAUAAAACAAAAUAACUAGUAAAAGCUAAAUUGUAUUGAAAUAUGAUUUUUUUUUUAUAUUUGUAAUUGUAAGUUGGUGUGACCUUAAUCCAUUUUUCUACUUGUUUAUUUAUUUUGUAAUGUCAUCAAAGGAUUUGGAUUCAUGGACAUUAAAAUUUGCUAAGAGCACCUUUCAUUUUAUAAAAUAUUUUAUUACAUAAGUGUCCUUAAAUCAAAUCACAUGUAGAAAAAUUACUCCCAUCUCUUAAAUAUUAAAAUAGAAAAUAAAAAUGUAUUAAAAGACAGAUUAAAAAUAUAAAAAAGAGUAAAAUAUGCAUGUUAAAGUACUGUUUAUAUUUUAAAUAACCCUAAUUGGAGAUAGACAUAAAAUAAAAAGGAUUUAGAUUUGGUGUUUAGCUAAAUUUUUAUUAGCUUUUGUAAAAUACUGUGACAUGUGCUUUUUAUGAAUUUUAAUGGUUAAGAUUUAGUUUCUCUUAAUAGUCUAAUGAAAAUAAUAUCGUGUUCUUGGUUUUAUUCCCCUUUUUCUUUCAAUUUUGUGGUUUUUUUAUUUUAUUUCAUGAACGUAUGGAAACUAUGAAAUCAUUUUUUUUAAUCAUCCUAGAUAUUAAGAAAUUCCAAAUAAAUUCUAUCUUAAAGACUUUUCAAGCUUUUGCAACCACUCAUACUGAGAAUAGCAAACGUUUUUAGAGGUGAAAUCAGCGAGGGCUUGGAGUUUGAGUAAGAACAUUGCCAGCUCCAACCAAAAUGAGAAAGGCCAAGAGAAGCAAAUCAUUAAUUAGCAUGUAUAGAGACUGAAAUAGAACAAAAACUAUCAAAAACCUUGGCUAAGCAUUGGACUCAAAUCCUAUAUAGGACAAAUGGUCCUAAUAAAGUAAUUAUAAUCGUUUGAUUAUUAUUAAUAUUUAACUGAAUGCUCUCUCAUAAAUUGAUUCAAAGAUAUACAAUAAAUUAGUACUACAAUAUAACACACACAACAUAUCAUAUGCUUAUAAUAAAUUAAUUCUUUAUUAUAUUAAAAUAUAGGAUCAAUUUCUCAACAAUUGAUGGUUAUAACAAAAUUAUUCAUAUGGCAAAAGACAAAUAACUAUUUAAAAAAAUCAUUGGCAUCCAAUAACAAGCUCUAGGGGUAUAAGGCGUAAUCAUUCUCAAGGGAAUUAGGAUAGAUUCUUUAAUUGUAAGUUCCAACCAGCCGCCACUAUUUGGUGAUGUUGCAAAAUUGGUACACAUUGAAACAUAUAGUUUACAUUCUUGAUCAGUACAUUGAUGCUUGAAAUAAGUAUGUAUUAAGUGCUUGCUACUACAAGGAAGUCAGGAUGAUGAAACCAAGACUUUUUGACAUUUUAUAUUUUCUAAACUGAAACAUAAACAACCUAUUGAGAAUUAAAAGAGAGGUAAAGAAUAACAAACAUAUGAGGCUCUGCAUAUAUAAAUGAAUAUUGAGAAAUGAGGUAUAAUGACCUUUAUGAGGUUGUUGAUUCUAUUUAUGAGUAUUUAAUAAGUCAGGAUGAUGAAACCAAGACUUUUUGACAUUUUAUAUUUUCUAAACUGAAACAUAAGCAACUUAUUGAGAAUUAAAAGAGAGGUAAAGAAUAACUAACACAUGAGGCUUUGCAUAUAUAAAUGAAUAUCGAGAAAUGAGGUAUAAUGGACUUUAUGAAGUUGUUGAUUCUAUUUAUGAGUAUUGAAUAAGUUAGGAUGAUGAAACCAAGACUUUUUGACAUUUUAUAUUUUCUAAACUGAAACAUAAACAACCUAUUGAGCAUUAAAAGAGAGGUAAAAAAUAACAAACACAUGAGGCUCUGCAUAUAUAAAUGAAUAUUGAGAAAUGAGGUAUAAUGAAUUUUAUGAGGUUGUUGAUUCUAUUUAUGAGUAUUGAAUAAGUCGUAGUGCAUUUAUUUGCAUUAACUAUUGACUUUAAUAUCUUGUUGUGUUCUCAUUCAUGGUAAUUGAAACAUACAUCUAAUCAAUUUUAUCAUUUUUUUAGUAUUACUUUUUGUUGAAUUUAUCACUUGGUUUUUUUUCUCUUUAUUUAAUGCUUGUUAUAAAUAUUGGGAUUUUGUGAAAUACUAUUCAAAUUUAAACGAACUCGUUAAUCUCUAGACAUAGCGUGCAAGCGAAAAAUAUAACAUAAAAAAUAGUGACACAUAAAAUGAAAUGAAAAUAAUAAAAUAAUUAAAGAGCAUGGUACUCAAACGUAACCAAAAGAAAACCGUAGAUUAACCAAAUUUUAAAAAAAUAUUGUGAAUAGAAAAUCCGAUCCUCUUCUUCUCUCCAUUUCUGCUAAAGAAUAUAUAUAUAUAUAUAUAUAUAUAUAUAUAUAUAUAGAAGGAAGAGAAAGCAAGAAGGCGAAAAUUAACAGUGUCAAUACUUCCAUCUGCUUCAAAUUCAAGCAUUAAAUCGUGCUCCACCACAUUGUCUCCUAACAGACUUAGGCUUAUUUCCCUUCAGUAUCAGCUCAAAUAUUGAUGAUUCCAUGAAUGAGCAUUAAAGAUGCUUUUAUUUUUAUUAAUUAUUAACUUGCACAAUUAAUUAAUUUUGUCAUUUUUAGUGUUAUUAUCUUUAUUUAAUUUAUAUGUCAGGUUUUUUCUCUUUAUUUAAUCUAUUGAAAUUAUUAUCAUUAUUGUGAAAGCAUUAUUCCAAAUUUUUGGAUUUAAAUUAAACUCUAUGCAUAGCGGGCAAAAAGUGACAUCACAAAAAAGUGACAUAGAAAAUAAAAUAAAAAUAGUAAUAAAAUAAAAUAACUAAUAAAAACCACAAUAUUGGAAUAGAGUCAAUAGAAAACCGCAAAUUACAUAUAUAGACAAAUGACACCUCCUCUAAAAUAUUAGAGUAGAAGUAUUGACAGAAGUUUAGAAAUUAGGAAGGGUAAAAUAUUGGUGUUAAAAGUGUUUUUAAAGUACAAAUAAUUACACCCCAGUAGCAGAUAGAUAUAGUAUACAAGGGUGGGAAUGCUUGCACAUUUAAAUUAUCUUGUACAUUCCAUUAUUUUGCACACUCAUUUAUUAAUUUUAAAAUUAAUUAUACAUUGUACACUUUUUAAAAUGUCAAAAAAUUUCUUGCUUUUUAGAUUAAUUACCUUUAUUUACUCUCACACUCAUGAGAAAACACACUAAAAUAAUUUCUCCAAAUAUUCUUUUUAUUAAAAUUUAAUUAUUUGGUUAGAUAAUCAAUUUUGCCAAUAAACAAAUAAUGAUCGACAACAAAACUGGAUGAGCCAACAACUCGCAUCAAAAGAUUUCACCAUUCAAAAGAUCACAAGAAAUAAACAUUAUAAAUCAAACAAAUAAAUCAAUUAAGCAAAAAUGGUUAUCACUUACAUCACAUUGCUUUUCGCAGGCUCUUGCUUGCUAGUUGGAAAGACAAAAAAAGGGCAUGAAAGUAGCAUCCGAAAGAUUAUAAUUAAACAAUUGUACUUUCUGUGUUACAAGGCUAUGAAAAAUUAAUACUUUUUGUGUUGUAAACUAGAGAUCAAAUGGAUCACACAUACCUCAUUGAAAUUAAAAUCUUCAAACAUGUUGAGCUACUCCUCUGUAAAUAUUUGUUCAAGGGGUUGGGAAGAAAAAUUAUAGGGGUCAAAUGGUAAGAAAAGUUAACAGAUAUAGAUAAAUUACAUACAACAAAUCAAUACCAUGUAACAAACACAAUAUAUCACAUGCUCAUAAUGGAUUAAUUCCUUCUUUUAUUAAAAUAUAGCAUCAAUUUCUUUACAAUUGAUGGUUAUUGCAAAAGUAUUCAUUUGGCAUAAGAGGAAAACUAUUUAACAAAAUCAUGGGUUAUAGAUGAUGGUGUAGUCUUGACUAUCAUGGUGAUACUUAUUGUAACAUUCUUCUGGUGUAAGUCCAAAGCACUUGUCGCUAUCAGGUGAUAUUGCAGAAUUAGAUUCUUGGCCGGUACUAGUGCUUGAAACAUGUGAGUUUUCAAUGCUUGCAACCAAAAGCAAAGCCAAGAUAAUGAAACUGAGACUCUUCGACAUGUUAUAAUUUCUAAACUUAAUUAUAAACAACUUAAUUAAAAUAAAAAGGAGGUGAUGCAUAAGAAAUACAUGAGGCCCUAUAUAUAUGAAUGAAUAUUGAGAAAUGCGUUAUAGUGGCCUUUAUGAUGCUUCCAUGAAUAAGCAUUAUAUAAAUCAUAUUAUGUUUACUUUUAUUAACUACUGACUUUAAUAUCUUGUUGCGUUAUCAUCAAUGGUAACCAAAACAAACAACUAAUUAAUUUUAUCAUUUUAGUAUUAUUUUAUUCUUUUUUGUUGUUGUUUUUUUCUCUUUAUUUAACCAUAUUCAAAUUAUUAUUAUCGCUAUUGUGAAAUUAUAAAUCUGAAAGUCAGUUUUUGCAUUAUUUUAUUUACAAUAACUUUUUAGCUAUGUCUAUAUUAGUAUAUAUCUUAUAUUCAAUUUUUAGAUUAAUGUAUUUUAGUAUUAAUAAAUUCAAUCACGAUAAUCUGAUAACCGCUUAAUAUUAAAAUUUAGUUUCCAAUACUUAUGUUAUUUUAUUAAUUAUAAAAAUACUUUUUAGUAGAUAUAUGUAAAUUUUUUUAACUAUACUUAUUGUAAUAUUUUACUUUUAAUAUGAUAUUUAUAUAUUAUUUUUAUGUAGUGUAUGUAUGUAUCUAUGUCCGUUUACAGUAAGUAUAUACUUAGAUAAUGAUCAAAGAAUAUAAUAGUAAAAAGGGGUUCUAUGUGAGUGAUGGAUCUAGAAAAGUAAUUUACCGGGGGCUAGAAUACAUAAGAACAAGAUGUAAAAACUAAAAUUUUAGGGGUUUUCAGGUUUAUGGAGGUUCAUUUUUUUUCUAAUAGAUUUAAUAAAGGGAUUAAUUAAAUAAUAGUAAGACCACCCAUAUGAGUUAUUGUGGGCUUUUAAUUAAAGAGUGGACUUUUAUAAUUCUUAUAGUUAAAAUUUAAUUUUUAUGAAUUUAUGAGUUUAUGGGAGGCUGUUUUUAUAAAUCCAACAAGGAAUAUUUUUAUAGAUUUGAAGGGGUCUAAUUAGAAACUCAAGUAAUUUUCUCUUUAAUUUUUAGAAUUUAUUUUCUAGAGCGAAACUCAAACCCCACUGGUCAUGUGCUAGAUCUUUAGAACGAUCUAAUCUAUACAAACCAAAUAUCUUCCUCUCUUUAUGUAGUUAAAAAUUAAUUUUUAAGGGUUUUUUGUGUUUAUGAGGACUAUUUUUAUAAAUCCAACAAGGAGUAUUUUUGCAGAUCUAAUGGGUUCUAAUUAGAAAUUUACCUAAUUUUCUCUUUAAUUUUUGGAAUUUAGUUUCUUGAGCGGAGCUCAAACCCACUGAUCUGUGCUAGGUCUUAAGGACGAACUAAUCUAUACAAAUCAAAUAUCACUCCUCCUCACUCGUUCCUCAUAUCUUUUUUGUGAUUUUGUCUAUUAUUGGCCAUACUGAACCAUUCAGUCAUAUUCAUUGAGACUUUGAAAAUGGUUGUUUAUCUAAUGGGAUAAAUGAAAAAUCAACUUGGCAGAAUUAAUUUUUUGUUUUACAUAUAAGCAUCAAAGCAUGUUAUAGAGAAGACUUGACUAGAGAAUUGAGUAAUAAAAGGGCUUUUCCUUGAACUAGUAGAGUUGGCCAAAGCAAAUCAAAGGCCCAAAAACAAACUGAGCUGCCGAUUAAGUUUUGAAUGAUUAAUAGUUGCUUUCAUUAUACAAAAUACACCUACAACCACUUAAUUUAAAAGGCCAACAGAGUGGUGCUGUUGGAGGUUUUUAUUGUCUGUAAGGAGUUCUGUAAGAAUAUGAGAGAAUUAACAUGUUAUUUUGAAAAAAAUAAUUAAUGUUGAUCCCAUAUUCUGGAAACUCUCAAACAAGAAAGAGCUUUUGAUAUCCCAAUAUAAUAAUAAGUGACUACCUAAUUGUCGCGAGGAAAAGAAAAACAAAGAGAUGAAUCAUGAAUUUGAGUUUAAUUUUGGAAUUUUGAUAAAUUGAUUAAGCAAACAUUUAAUUUUCUAGUUUAGUAAAUAAUGUUUUAAAAAAAAAUGAAUAUUCGAAGUACAUUGCAGAGUGCAAAUAACCUCACUCAUUCCUAAAUUACCCACAUGUUAAUUUACCAUUAAAAACAAUUUUAUGAUAAUUUCUACUCUAGACACCUACUGACUACACUCAUUAAUAAUUUAUAAAUAAACUAAUAUUAUUUUCAUCUUAACAAUUUACAUCCCAGAUUUCUUUUGUCGAUCACAAGCGUAGAGAUCUCAUGGUUUCUAUUUUUUCUGAUCCAAUCUGUAAUAUUUUUCAUGCAAUGAAAAUCUUGGAUAUUCUUCUGCUAACUAGCUUUUAGUUAUGGCUUAAGUGAAAUAUUGAAGAUAAAAGGUCUAGGGUUUUAAAAUUAUUUUGGUGGUUGUAGUGAGAAAAUAAAAACUAAGCCAUGGUAAUUGAUAAGCAACAAAAGCAUCAGACAAAUCAACAAGAACCAAGGUCACCAGUUGUGACAAAUAUGGCAGUAUUGUUGCCUUAGCUAAAGGGUUUACUGAGGACAGAUUAAGGAAAGAACGACGCUGGUACACACUUCUAACGGACACAAGAGAAAUCAGUGUACAUGAUUGAAGGAGUCCAACGGCCACAAGCCAAUUUUGAUAUAAAGCGCUCAACGUUAUGAUUCUCGGAAGUUAGUGUAAUUGAUACAAUUUUGAGAACCUUUCAUUUGAUAAUCUGUGUAUAUAAUGUAAUGAUCGAGCAAAUACAAAAACAAGAAAACAAAUUGUUUUCAAUCAAUCUUGUAUUUCUUUAUGGUAUCAGAGCCUAUGGCUACAAAAAUACAAACUAAGCCCAAACUCUCGAUCCAGUCAUUCCACCAAUGUGCAAGCCUAAUUUCCAUCAAACUCAACAACAAUAAUACCUUAUUUGAAGUCGCAAGUCCUGCCACUGCCACUCAUAAGAAGCCUUGAUCUAGAGCAUCAUAUCAAUGAUGCAACAGUUCCACCAAGAAAUAUUUCUAGAUGGAAAAAAGGUCAACAAUCCUGAAUUUACUAUUUGGCAAAAUAAUGAUGGAUUACUCAUGCCUUGGCUUCGGGGAAUGAUGAACGAAGAUAUAAUGACCAUUAUAGUUGGAUGCGUUUCCACUAGAGAUAUUUGGUUAUUUGUGGAAGAGCACAUGCUUCUGCAACUAAAGAACAAUAAUUUUCGUUGAAGAAUAACUUUUACUCUUUAAAGAAGGGUUCCUUAGAGCUUAAAGAAUUCCUUAAGAAAUUGAAAGGGCUUUGUGACAAACUUGCGGCAAUCGGCAAGCCUAUGUUAGAUGAAGAUCAAGUAUUUCAGAUGUCACACGCCCUUGGCUCAAAAUACUCUGACUCUAAAAUGGCAAUGUUGAUAAAAGCCUCCUUAUCCAUCAAUAAAACAAUUUACUUUUGCAUCACAGAAUCAUAAGCAAGUGAUAGUAAGUCUAAAGGAGAAAGAAAGUGUGAACCAUAACGAGGCCUUUUUUGGCCAGCAAGCUAGAGCAAGAAAUCAUCAUGGGAGAGGCUCAAAAGUGAAACCACCAUGAAGGUUCUAAAACCAUGGAGGCUUUCUACACUCAUGUAAUGCAUGUAGUAGCUUGUAGAUAGUUCCAUGUAAUUAUUGAGAUAGGUAGAUAGUUUUAAAGCAUCAUCUAGACAUUUCCUUGUACUCUAUAAAUAGGAGGGGCCUCAUUUGGCUCAACACACACAAGAAAUCCAGCACUGACAUUACUUAAAAGCACUAUAGGCUUUCCUUGAGUAAUAGAGUUCUUUCCUCCCAUCUUGAGCAAGUUUGAGUGAAUACUCUUUCCCACUUUCGAAUCCAGUAACGUUGUGAGUGAGCAAGGUUCACUUAGGACCAAGAGAGUGAGAUUUAGCACCUAAGGCCCUGCGAUUCAGUGAGGGAUCAAGAGGGUCGUGAUAGUUGGUAUCAAAGCCGUAAUCACUCGCGUCAUUUAAAAGGAAGAAUGUCGAACCUCACUUAUGAUGACCAAAGGGGUAGGGACCAAAAUCCCAACUUGAAAAAGAGAAAGAACAACAAGGAGAAGUCCGUGGAUAGGCUGAAUGCCAUUGAGAAUUGGGUUGUUCGUAGGGAGAUUGUUGUCUUUAAGAUAAAGGAGUGCCUCGAGAUCUUCAAGCAAAAGAUGAAAGAGUUUAAUAAUCUUGAGGGACAAAUGGUUGACUUAAGCCAAGACAUGAUGGUGCAACACUAAAGUCUCAAGAAGUUCCAAGCUGUAGUGAUGAACUAAAUCGAGGGGCUAAGAGCUUAAGUGGAGGAGCUUUACACGGGUCAUAAGGAGACCAAGAGCAAUAGGGCACUUUGAAAGAAGGCGGUGGCCAGCGAAGUGCUCACCACUAAUGUCGUACCUUUAAUAAAGAUUGAGGUUCCUGAGACCAAAGAGGUACAAGGGCAAACGAAAUGCCCAAGAGAUUGACAAUUUUCUGUGGUCCAUGGAGAGGUACUUCGAAACCACCAAUGUUCAAGGCGAGCAAGAAGAGGUAAAUAUUACGAUGGGGUAUCUUGAAGAUCACGCAACUACUUGGUGGCAAUAGAAGCAUGCAAAGAUUAUACGCAGGAUGUGUAUUAUCAACACAUGGGACUUGUUCAAGCGCGAGCCAAAGAAGCAAUUUUAUCCAGGGAGUGUAGCGUAAGAGGCUAACAAAAAGAUGAGAGAACUGAAGCAUACAGGGUCCAUCUCGAGAACAUGAACCCAAAUGACUUGUUGUUCAUCUUUAUGGAAGGACUCUAACCAUGGGCACAACGGGAGCUUCAAUGGUACCAAGUGAAUGACACCUCCACUGCCCUCACUGAGGUAGAUAUACUUGUAGAAUUUCGAAAUGAUGAAUCAUCUAAGCCAAAGAAGGAUGAUAAGCCCCAACAUAGGAAAUGUGGAGGUGCAAAUUAAAAGGAGAUAAGCUACCACAUUAUGAUGGCUAAGAAAAACUGUCACAAAAGAAGGAUGGUUUGAAGGAUGGUAAGGAGAAAGUCAAGCGUAAGCAUAACUACUACCUUUGUAAUGUGGACUAUUGGGUGACAAACUGCCUAAAGAAGAAAGCUUUCAAUGCCCUGUUCAACGAGCUCGAAGAGAAACAACUAAAGGUGCCACCAGCUACAGCCGCCAACAUAAGUUGCCUAUGAAAUUAUAAGAGCUUAUUGGUCCUAAAAAAAUUAUAUUUAUAUAUUUCUAUCAAAUGACAAAAAUUCGGUAUGUAGACAGUGUGCCUGAGAUAUAUAAUUUUUAAAUGAAAAUUGCUAAAGGGACUACAGGCUGAUAAAAUGUUAAUAAAUAAUGCCUUGUAGUGUUAUAGUGUACGUUAAUUGACGAUGUUAUAUAAUUUAUUUUAUUAAUGCUUUGUCACUUUUUUAAUCCAAAUAUCUAAAUGAAAAAUGUUGAAACGAUUUCCUACAAAGUACUACAAAGAUGACAAUGAGAUAGGAAAUUGAAACAACAUUUAUUUAUAAAAAUAAAAAAAUUUGCAAACAAAAGGAUCUCACUAUGUAACCAUAUAUAUCAUUUUAUUGAAUUAUUAUUAGCCAGAGCAUCAUCAUGUUUUUCUUUUAUUCAAGGCUUAGUUAUAUAUAAUUAAUUAAGCAAUGGGAUCAACAAUCUAUAUAUCUAUAUAUAUAUAUAAAGUUGGGACUUGAGGAGGUGAUGUGGCAUCACUAUUUCUCAUCAUCUCAUAUUCUCUAUUUUCUAAUAAAUUAGUUCAAAUUAAAAAAUAAUUACAUUACAAAAUAUUAAAAUAGAAGAUAAUUAUUAUAUUAUAAAUGAUUACAUAUCUUUUCCUCUUUCUAUUUAAAUUCAAUAAUAUGUAACCAUUAAUAAUAAUUAAUUAUAAGUCUUGAAACCUUCAUUUAUUUUAUUAUGCCAACAAUUAAAUUUUAGUGGCUUAAAAUACAUAAAUUAAUUGAUUUUAAUAUAUGAAGGAAUGUUCCUUCAUCUUCUCUCAACAAUGCCAUUAGAGCCUAAUUUUAAUGUCAUAAUCCAAUAUUUAAUUAUUCAAUCUUUUGUUUAGUGCAUUUUGGUUUCUUCAAACUCCAUAAACAUUAAAAAUUUAAGAUUUGUGGCAUCAUUACUUCUCAUCUUUUUGUAUUCUCUAUUAUCUAAUAUAUUGGUUGAGAUUAAAAAAUAAUUACAUUUAUAUAUAUAUAAAGCUGGGACUUGAAGAGGUGAUGUGGCAUCACCAUUUCUCAUCAUCUCAUAUUCUCUAUUAUCUAAUAAAUUGGUUUAAAUUAAAAAAUAAUUACAUUACAAAAUAUUAAAAUAGAAGAUAAUUAUUAGAUUAUAAAUGAUUACAUGUCUUUUUUCUCUUUCUAUUUAAAUUCAAUAAUAUGUAACCAUUAAUAAUAAUUAAUUAUAAGUCUUGAAAUAUUCAUUUAUUUUAUUAUGCCAACAAUUAAAUUUUAGUGGCUUAAAAUACAUCAAUCAAUUAAUAUUAAUAUAUGAAGGAAUGUUCCUUCAUCUUCCCUCAACAAUGCCAACAAUGCCAUUAGAGCCUAAUUUUAAUGUCAUAAUCCCAUAUUUAAUUAUUCAAUCUUUUGUUUAGUGCAUUUUGGCUUCUUCAAACUCCAUAAACAUUAAAAAUUUAAGAUUUGUGGCACCAUUAUUUCUCAUCUUUUUAUAUUCUCUAUUAUCUAAUAUAUUGGUUGAGAUUAAAAAAUAAUUACAUUUCUAUAGAUAUAUAUAUAUAAAGUUGGUACUAGAGGAAGUGAUGUGGCAUCACUAUUUCUCAUCUUCUUGUAUUCUCUAUUAUCCGAUAAAUUGGUUGAUAUUAAAAACAUAAUUACAUUACAAAAUAUUAAAAAUAAAAAAAUUAUUAGAUUAUAAAAGAUUAUAUGUCUCUUCCUCUUUUUAUUUAAAUUCAAUAAUAUGUAACCAUUAAUAAUAAUUAAUUAUAAGUCUUCAAACAUUAAUUUAUUUUAUUAUGCCAACAAUUAAACUUUAGUGGCUUAAAUAUAUCAAUCAAUUAAUAUAGGAAGGAAUGCUCCUUCAUCUUCCCUCAAUAUUGCCAUUAGGGUCUAAUUUUAAUGCUAUAAUCUCAUAUUUAAUUAUGCAACCUUUUGUUCAGUGUCUUUUGGCUUCUUCAAACUUUAUAAAUAUUAAGUAGUUAAUAUUUAUGGCGUUAUUAUUUCUCAUCUUUUUAUAUUCUCUAUAAUCUAAUAUAUUGGUUGAGAUUAAAAAAUUAUUACAUUAAAAAAUAUUUAAAAUAGAAAUUAAUUAAUAUAUUAUAAAAGAUCACAUGUCUCUUCUUCUUUCUAUUUAAAUUCAACAAUAUGUAACAAUUAAUGAUAAAUUAAUUAUAGUUUUGAAACAUUCAUUUAUUUUAUUAAGCCAACAACUAAACUUUAGUGGUUUAAAAUAUAUCAACUAAUUAAUAUAGGAAGGAAGGUUAUUUCAUAUUCCAUCAACAAUACCACUAGGACCUAAUUUUAAUGUCAUAAUUUCAUAUUUAAUUAUGCAACCUUUUAUUUAGUGUCUUUUGACUUUUUCAAACUAUAUAAAUAUUAAGUAUUUAAGAUUUGUUAUGUUUGGGUUUUUUUUUUUAAUUAUUUAACCAAUAUCCUCUUUAGAAAUGUUCUUGUGUUUUUAUUUUUUGACUUAUUUAAAUUUUUUGUAUUGUGUACUUCAUGGAGUAUUCUUUUCUUCAUGAGUUAAACAAUGAUAAAGAUAGUUGGAUGAUAAGAAUUAUGUUUUGUAAAAUGUGGGAGUCUGUUAAUACCAAGAAGAAUGAAGAGUUGAUUAGUGUGAACAUAAUUUUUAUUGAUGAAAAGGUUGUGUACACUUAACUAUACACAUUAAUAUAUAUUUUUUAAGUUAGCAAAAAAAUAAUUAACUUUCAUAAAUAACAUUAGUUUUAUAAAGCUGCGCCAUCUUUUAAAAAAAAUAAUUCAUAUUUUUUAUCAGUUUUAUCAAGUGUAAAGUAAUAAAAAAAUAAUACUAAAUUCUUUUUUUAAAGCCGUACGAACUGCGAUUCUAUUUCCUAGUUAAAGAUAAAACACGAGCUUUAGUAAUUUCUUGAACACCGUGUCCGUGACCUUCUCCAAAUUGGUACAUGCAUUGAGACAUCCUCGCCAAAUUCAUUGCAAUCCCAACAAAAACGUCGGACACGAAAUGUGGGUUUCCAAAUCGAUCACGGUUCAUCUUCAUCCAUGUCUGAGCAAUCAAAUCAUGUAUAUGUUCACGAGCCUCUCUCUCUGAGACUCCAGCUUCAUGCAUGUAACAUUGAAUUGAUUUAUGAACAUCUCCCCUCUUCAGCUCAUCCUAAUAAUUAAUUCAAUCAAACUUAUUGUCAACAACGUUAACAAUUAACUAAUUAUCUAAUAAUCAGAUUGUGAGUACUACAAUUUGUUAUGGAGAAUAUCCUAUACUGCUGAGAAUAAUUCCUCAACUGAUAAUAAGAAUAUAUUAUGUUGUGAGUGGAUAUGAGAUAUCUUCCAUAACAAAUUUAAUAUUAAAAAUGAAUUAAUUGUACCGAUGAUUUUCCCAAAUCGUCUGCAAGUCGUAGAAUUAUUGAUGACCAACGAAUUAUGUUGGGAUAAUCUUUCACGAAUUCCAACCCCUCCGUUGUUAUUGGAUUUGCUGUAGAAGUGUAUGCAUGGACUAGAAUUACAGGUGCUGCUACCGAAAUCCAAGCAUUUUCCAUGUACUCUUGGAGUGUUGGUAUGUAGCCGUUGUCGUACCACUUGGCCUCCACUAAAUAUGUUUUGCAUAGAUUUGCCCACUGAAAGUUUUAUUUUUGUAUAUCGAAUUGAUUAAUAUAAUAUCAAAUACAAAAGCAUAAAUUAAAUUAAUUAAAGGGAAAUAAUUUCUAAGCACCUCAAGAAUAUUAUAAAUAUAAUUAGUCACCAUAAAUUUCUAAUAAUAUCUAGGCGCUAACUCAAAUUUUAGUUUUAUAUCAACCAGACAUUUUUUUAUUAACUCUAUUAGCUAUCAUUAAAUAAUUUAAGGUAAAAGACCAAUUUACCCUAAAAUGAAAAACACAUGGUAAAUUGGUGGUGCAAAAUAAUCUUUUAUCUUAUAUUAUUUUAAUAGUGACUAACGGAGUUAAGAGAAAAGUGAUCGGUUUACAUAAAAUUAAAACUUGAAAUGAUGUAGAGAUAAUACUAGUUAUCAUAGUAGUUAUUUAAACUUUUUGAUAUUCUUAAGGUGAUUGGAGAAUAAUAUUCCUUAAUCAAAAUGAAAGGUUUAAUCUACUAGUACCGCUUUCUUAAGAUAAGAAAUGACCAUGCCAACUCCUUGAUCCCGAAGAGCAUCAAAAGCCAUUUCAUUUAUGGAAUUAUGGAGAGCAAGAAAGCACAACUUCGUAUAGUCUGGAAGUUGCUCUAUUGUAGUAGCGUCCCACCUAACAAUGUAAUACAACUAAAUUAAAAUAAGAGAGGUGUAUAAAUUUAUAAAUUCCUGAGUAAUGAUCUAGUGAAUAAUGUGCUCGCUUUAUGCUGGGCAAUACUAUCACAUAAUUUAUAUAAUUACUUCAUAAUUUUAACAAUAUUCAUUAGGAAUCACAAAAUUAUAUCAUGUGUCCAAGUGUUUAUCAUACGAUGAGUACUAAUCCUCACUAAAUCAUUUUCCAUACACAAGCAUACUGAUAGAAAUGACAUUAAAUAAAAGUAACCUCUCAACUGCAUCCGUGAAAAGUUCAAGUUCGUCCAAAGUCCCAUAGACAUCAUAAACAUCAUCUAUUGUUUUUAUUAAGGCAUUGACCAUUGUAGACAUCCGUCUACUAUAUCCAAAAUCCGGUUCGAAUAUCACCCCCACAGUCCAGAAGAAAUUCUCCAUUAUUCUGUCUCUUGCAAAAUUCAACCUCUCCCCAAGUCCUGUUUUCUUCGACCACCUGACCACAUAAUUAAUUAGCAUGAAAUUAAUUGAGUUACAUAAAUACAUGCUCAGUUAGAUUUAAUCAUUCUUGAGUGCGGAUCUCCACAUUUUUACAAAUGCUAUUGUGAAGAUAGCUCAUUAUGCAGAAGUGAAGAAGAAGAAUCAGCAUGGUGUUAAGCCUUGUAACAAGAAUGUCAAGUUACCAGCUGUCAUUAGUGCCACGUCAGAAGAUCCAAGCCAGCAUCAGUUACCAGCUUAACUAACUUGACAAUGCACACUCUGUAUUUUGUUAUUGUUAGUUGAUUGUUAGUGAGCAAUUAGUUAGAGUAUGUAAAGCAUGUAUAAAUAGCUACAUAUUCGAGAUUGUUAACGUGUACAAAAUAUCAGUUCAUUAAUGAAAUAAGAAAUUUUCCUAUGUUUUUCUCAGCUGCCAAACAGCAGCACUUAUCAACUUUUACAAUUUCUUCAUGGUAUCAGAGCCAUUCAUGGCAACCUCAAGCAAUCAAAAUACAGUAGAUACAAAUCAAACAACUUUUUCUUUCAUCACACCAAUCAAAUUAGAUAGAUCUAACUACAUGCUUUGGAAAAAUCAAGUGCUGGCCUCCAUUAGAGGAAAUCGACUUGAAGGAUACAUUAAUGGAGAAAAGAUUGCACCAAAUCGAUUUAUAGCAUCAUCAAGCUUUGCUGGAGCAACUGCUGGAGCUGCUGGAUCUUCUCAACAGAUCGAGAAUCCUGAAUACACAGUUUGGAUAUCUCAAGAUCAAACAUUACUCAGCUAGCUUCUUAGCUCAAUAACCGAAGGUAUUCUCAGUCUAGUUCACUUAUGUAAUACUUCAUUUGAUGUAUGGAAAACAUUAGAGAAAAGGUUUGGUGUACGAUCUGAGGGUAGAGUUCUUCAACUUAAGUAUGAGAUGAGUGUCUUAAGAAAAGAAUUACUAAGUAUUGAAGAAUAUUGCUUAAAAAUGAAACAAGUUACAGACAAAUUGGCGUGUGCUAGUAGUCCUGUAUUAGAUAGAGAUAUGUUGCAACAAAUUCUCAAUGGUUUAAGAGCUGGCUAUUUGGAUUUAGCUACUUUUAUCACAGCAAGCAAGUUGGAUUAUGAUGAUGCUUAUGCUUUAUUACUCACUCAUGAAGCUAGACUUGAACAAAGUCAAAGUGAAAAGCACAUGUUUAAUGCAAACUAUGCUAAUAUGUCUAACUAGAAUAAUAAUAGUAUGAUGAAUGCAUACUAUGCUCAAAUAAGAAGUCAAGCUAGGAGAGGAGGAUAUACAGGAGGUGUCCAGGGCAAUUAUAAUGGUUAUUCAGGUGGUAGAAAUGGCAUGUUUAAUGGUAGAUGAAUAUUUUUAAACUCACAUCCAAGAGGUUUUCCUGCUGGAACUGGUCAUUUUGGUAAUCAUGGAAGAAAUCAAAUGAUGAUGGGAAGUAAUAGAUUUGGUUCUUCUGGAAGAGGUUCAUUUGGAAGUAUUGGUUUUUCUGGUACUGGUAAUUUGCCUUCUUUUGAAUCACAAGCAUCCAACAGUGAUGAUUCCAUGAAUACAUGUCAGAUUUGCUUCAAAGCAGGACAUACAGCUGUUGAAUGUUGGCACAAAUUUGAAGAAAAUUACAUACCUCAGCCACCAAGACAAUUUCAGAGAGAAAAAGGUUCAAAGUCUGCUUACAUAGCUAAUUAUGAACCUGCAUACAUGCCUUACUAUUCAACAAAUGAUGAUCCAUGGCCUGUUAAUAGUACUGGAUUACAAAUGUCACAUUCUGGACAUUCUUGUGUAUAUGACUAUUCUGGUAUACCCUAGGCUGGAGCUGCUUCUGCUGCACAUUGUGAAGGACCUGCAGAUGAAGGCUGGUACCUGAACAGUGGUGCCACUCAUCAUCUAACCAACAGCAUGGGAAAUCUGAAUAUCAGAGAUGAGUUUAGAGGUAAUGAUAAGCUCAUUAUUGGUAAUGGUGAAGGUUUAUCAAUAACUCAUAUUGGUGAUUCUUAUUUUUCAUUCAAGAGUUCACAAUCUCAACCUGCAGAUUCACAUAUUGCACUUAAAGAUAUUUUUCUUGUUCCUUCUAUCACAAAGAACCUAAUAAGCAUUUCCAAACUUACCACUGACAAUAACAUUUCUGUUGAAUUUCUUGGAUCAUUUUGUGUUGUGAAGGAUUUCCUGCUGGAACUGGUCAUUUUGGUAAUCAUGGAAGAAAUCAAAUGAUGAUGGGAAGUAAUAGAUUUGGUUCUUCUGGAAGAGGUUCAUUUGGAAGUAUUGGUUUUUCUGGUACUGGUAAUUUGCCUUCUUUUGAAUCACAAGCAUCCAACAGUGAUGAUUCCAUGAAUACAUGUCAGAUUUGCUUCAAAGCAGGACAUACAGCUGUUGAAUGUUGGCACAAAUUUGAAGAAAAUUACAUACCUCAGCUACCAAGACAAUUUCAGAGAGAAAAAGGUUCAAAGUCUGCUUACAUAGCUAAUUAUGAACCUGCAUACAUGCCUUACUAUUCAACAAAUGAUGAUCCAUGGCCUGUUAAUAGUACUGGAUUACAAAUGUCACAUUCUGGACAUUCUUGUGUAUAUGACUAUUCUGGUAUACCCUAGGCUGGAGCUGCUUCUGCUGCACAUUGUGAAGGACCUGCAGAUGAAGGCUGGUACCUGAACAGUGGUGCCACUCAUCAUCUAACCAACAGCAUGGGAAAUCUGAAUAUCAGAGAUGAGUUUAGAGGUAAUGAUAAGCUCAUUAUUGGUAAUGGUGAAGGUUUAUCAAUAACUCAUAUUGGUGAUUCUUAUUUUUCAUUCAAGAGUUCACAAUCUCAACCUGCAGAUUCACAUAUUGCACUUAAAGAUAUUUUUCUUGUUCCUUCUAUCACAAAGAACCUAAUAAGCAUUUCCAAACUUACCACUGACAAUAACAUUUCUGUUGAAUUUCUUGGAUCAUUUUGUGUUGUGAAGGAUUUGCUUAAGGGACAAGUUCUAAUGCAGGGCAUUGCUGAGAAAGGAUUGUAUAAACUGCUGGUCAAACCUAUGUAUUCCACCAAGAAUUUUGAGUCAUCAUCUGUUGUGUCUCAUAGUCAAGCCAAUAAACCUCUGUCAAUGUUAUCAUUCUGUCAUCUUGCUUCUCAUAUGCCAUCUGUAGAGUUCAUAAAUAAUCCAAACAUUUGUUUACAGAAUGGUAUUGAUGUAUGUUCUGAUAAGCCUAAUAAAAUAGCUCUUUUACACAGAAGAUUUGGCCACCCAAAUUCUCAAAGCUUAUUGCAUUUACUCAAACUUCAUCAUGCUGAUAAGUUCUCUAUGAAUAUGGUUAAACAAGCAACACAACAUUUCUAUGAAGUAUGUCAGUUGGGUAAAAUACACAAAUUGCACUUCCCAAUUACGGAAAUCAAAACCAAAUCAGCACUUGAGCUUAUACACACUGAUCUUUGAGGUCCCUCACAAGUUAUUUCAAGAGAAUGCUUUAGAUAUUAUAUUAGCUUUGUUGACGAUUUCACUAGAUAUACUUGGAUUUACCCAUUGAAAUUGAAAUAAGAAGCUUUAGAAGUUUUUAAGCUAUACAAGUUGCAAGUUGAAAACCAGUUCCAAACAACCAUUAAGAUACUGCAAUCUGACUGGGGGGGGGGAGAAUACAGAUCAUUCACUGAAUUUUUAAAUCAGUGUGGCAUUUUAUUUAGGCACUCUUGUCCACAUACUCAUCAUCAGAAUGGCUUAGUUGAGAGAAAGCACAGACAAAUGGUAGAAUUGGGCCUUACAUUGUUAGCUCAAGCUAAGCUUCAUUUGAAUUUUUGGUGGGAUUCUUUCCAUGCUUCAGUUUAUCAUAUCAAUAGGUUACCAACUUCAGCUCUUAAAAUGUUGACACCAUAUGAAAAACUUUUCAAACAUAAAGCUGAUUAUAAGAUGCUGAAAUGUUUUGGCUGUGCUUGCUAUCCAUACUUGAGAGAUUACAAUAAGCAUAAGUUUGAUUAUCACACAAGUAAAUGCAUAUUCAUUGGUUAUAGCCUUGCUCACAAAGGAUAUAAACGCAUGCAUCAUUCUGAUCGUAUAUACAUAGCAAGGCAUGUCAUAUUUGAUGAAAAUGCAUUCCCUUUCUCUUCAGAUCCUAAUUUCAAUUAUGAAAGUAAAAUACAACCAAUAUCCAGCUAUACUUUGUCUCCUCAUCAAGUUUGUCAUUUGUCCACUCUUCCUGUUGUGUCAAAUCCUUGUGAUAGCAGUUUUGAAUCCUGUCCUCCAGCAUGUUCCAACAACACAGAACUGUUCCCACCAGCAGAUAACCUCCAAGCAAAUGAGGCUACACAACUUCAAACACCAAAUCUUAAUCCUGCUCUUGAACCUACUCAUGAUCAAAACUCACCAAACACUUCAAAUUUUACUCCAAUUCUAUUACCAUCUCAAUCUCAAAUAACCUCAAACAGUAUUCAACCUUUACAAAAACAAUCACCCCAUGAUCACAAGAGGAAAAACAUGUAUUUUUAAACCAAAAAUGUAUACUGCAGUGUUAGUUCACAAAGAGCCAGAUUCAGUUUAUGAAGCUUUGCAAGAUACAAACUAGUUUACAGCUAUGAAAAAUGAGUAUGACGCACUAAUCGAAAAUAGAACUUGGUCUUUAGUACCAAGAACAGAAAACCAAAAAAUUGUUGGGAAUAAGUGGGUGUAUAGGAUAAAGUAUAAUACUGAUGGCAGUGUAGCUAAGUAUAAGGCUCGGUUGGUGGCAAAAGGGUUUCAAUAGAUUGAGGGUGUGAAUUAUUUUGAUACUUUUAGUCCAGUGGUAAAGCCAGCAACAGUUAGAGUAGUUCUUAAUUUUGCAGUGAUGAAUCCGUGGAUAGUUAGACAGGUGGAUGUCAACAAUGCAUUCUUAAAUGGUGAAUUGUCAGAAGAGGUGUUUAUGCAGCAACUUGAAGGAUUUGUUGAUAAAAGCAAACCUAACUAUGUUUGCAGAUUACACAAAGCAUUAUAUGGUCUUAAGCAAGGUUUGAAAAGCUCAGAGGAUGUCUUCUGCAAUGGGGUUUCAGAAAUUCCAAAUCUGAUUCUUCUUUAUUCUUAAGAAGAACUAAAUUGUCACUCAUUAUGGUAUUGAUAUAUGUUGAUGACAUAUUAGUUACUGGACCUAACAGUGGAGAAUUGGACAGCUUCAUUCAAUAAUUUAAUACUGUUUUUGCUUUGAAAGACUUAAGAAGGUUGUCUUAUUUCCUUGGUAUAGAAGUGUUGUAUGGUCAGGAUUGCAUUUAUUUGUCUCAGAAGAAGUAUAUAAGAUAUUUGCUUGCUAAAGUAGAUAUGCUUGAUUGUAAAGGAGUGAUAACACCAAUGUGUAGUGGCAAGGACUCAAAGUUACAGAAGAUAGUUAAAGAAGAAUUGGGUUACUAUGUUGAAGAUGCUACUCAUUAUAGAAGCAUUGUAGGUGGUCUCCAGUACCUGAUCUUGACAAGACCAGAAAUUGCUUAUUCUGUUCAUAAGCUGAGCCAAUAUGUAUCUGCACUAAUUAUGCAACAUCUUAUGGCUUGCAAAAGGGUUCUUAAAUAUCUAAAGGAGACACAUGAUUAUGGCUUAAAGUUUGUUAAGGAUGGUGAUAUGAAAAUUACUUCAUUCACUGAUGCAGAUUGGGGAAGUGACUUGGAUGAUAGGAAAUCAAUUGGAGCUUACUGUGUGUAUCUUGGAAAUAAUCUGAUUUCAUAGUCUUCGAAGAAGCAAACAGUAGUCACUAAGUCUUCAGCUGAGAGUGAAUAUAGGGCACUUGCUUUAGCUGUUUCAGAAAUAGCUUGGUUAAAAUCAUUGUUUCUGGAAAUGAGAGUAUGCUGUGUAGAGAGACCAACAAUAUGGUGUGAUAAUAUGAGUGCAACAGAACUAGCAAAGAAUCAUGUAUUCUAUUCAAGAACUAAACACAUUGAGAUUAAUGUUCAUUUUAUUCGAGAUAAAGUGUUAGCUGGUGACCUCAAAAUCUGUUAUGUGCCAAGUGAAGAUCAGAUUGCAGAUAUCCUAACCAAGCCCUUAUCUUCUCCUCAGUUCAAUUACUUAAGGGACAAACUCAAUGUCUUUCCAUGUCCUUUGAGUUUGAGGGGGGCUGUGAAGAUAGCUCAUUAUGCAGAAGUGAAGAAGAAGAAUCAACAUGGUGUUAAGCCUUGUAACAAGAAUGUCAAGUUACCAGCUGUCAUUAGUGCCACAUCAGAAGAUCCAAGUCAGCAGCAGUUACCAGCCUAACUAACUUCACAAUGCACACUCUGUAUCAACUUGCCUAAUUGAUCAUUGAUUCAUUACUGCAAGACUUAGCACAACUCUGACAGUGGUUGGUUUUAUCACUGGACUGAAAGUCUCAAAAUAGUUCACCCUUGCAAUCUGCUGAAAACCCUUUGCCACUAACCUAGCUUUAUACUUAGCUAAACUGCCAUCAGUAUUGUGUUUAACUCUGUAUACCCACUUAUUGCCAACUAUCUUUUGAUCACUUGUUCUUGGAACCAAUGACCAUGUAUUGUUACGAGUUAAAGCAUCAAAUUCAUUUUUCAUAGCUGCAAACCAAUUUGGAUCAUGUAAUGCCUCAUGAACUGUAUCUGGUUUCUUAUGUUCAAGAACUGCUGUGUAUACCUUGGGUUUAAAGAUACCAGCUUUACUCCUGGUAAUCAUUUGGUGUGUGUUUGGUUGAGAUGAGGGUUGUUGAAUGAUUAUUGAUGUUUGUAUAUUGGAUGAAAUAGGUAUUGGUUAAUUGUUAGGUGAAGUGGAUGGAGACGAUGUAGGUUGAAUAGGUAAAAUGUGAGAUUGUAUAGGAUCUUCUGGUAUAGUGUGUUGGGUUGAAGUUGAGUUAACCAAGUGGUCAGAACCACUGCAAUUGGAACUUACAGAGUCAGGAUUAGUCAAGCUGCCAUCAGGAGAAAAAGAAGUUACAGAUAGAGUAGUGAGAUGAUCGACUUGUUGAGGAGUAAGAUGAAUAGGAGAGCAAAAAUUGGAUUUCUGUGACUCGUAAAUAUUUGAGUAAGGAAAUGUAUUUUCAUCAAAAACAUGUCUAGCUAUGUAUACUUUUCCAGAAGGAUGAAGACACUUAUACCCUUUGUGAGAUGGACUAUAUCCAACAAAAAUGCAUUUAUUCGAAUGAUAGUCAAAUUUAUGUCUAUUAUAAUCUCUUAAGUAGGGAUAACAACAGUAACCAAAACAUCUAAGCAUGUUAUAAUCUGGUUUAUGAUUGAACAAUUUCUCAUAGGGUGUAUCAAAAUGAAGAGUGGCAGAGGGUAAUCUAUUAAUGUGAUACACUGCUGUAUGAAAGGUAUCCCACCAAAAUUUAAAAGGUAAGUGAGCUUGAGCUAGUAAGGUGAGUCCUAGUUCAACAACAUGUCUAUACUUUCUUUCAGCUACCCCAUUUUGAUAAUGUGUGUAAGGACAAGGGUGUCUAAAUAGGAUUCCAGAUUGAUUCAAAAAGCUAGUGAAUGGUCUAUAUUCCCCUCCUCAAUCAGAUUGCAACAUCUUAAUGGAGGUAUCAAAUUGUUUUUCAACUUGUUAUUUGAAGAGUUUGAAUACUUCUAAGGCUGCUGACUUAGUUUCAAAGGAAAAAUCCAGGUAUACUUACUAAAGUCAUCUGCAAAGCUGAUAUAGUAUGAAUAACCCUCUUUGGAAGGAUGAGGUGAAGGGCCCUAGAGUUUGUAUGUAUUAGUUCAAGAAUUUUAGUUGUUUUGGUUUCAGUAGUAGAUGUUAGCCUAUAUGGCUAUAAAUAUUGAUUUUGAUGAUAACAAACCACAUGUAUUUAUUAAGCAAAGAUUUAUGAAUUUUGCUUUUAUAAUAAGAAAAUGAUGUUAUGGAAUUAAAGCAUUUUGGACUAAAAUGAAAGUAAUUUCAAAAUCUUUGAUAGUGUUUUAAAUUUCAGAUUUGGACCUAUUUGAAACUAUUUAAAUAUUUUUGGGCCAUUAUAAAAUUUCACAAAGUUUGGGUGAAAUCAUAAUUUUAAAAAGUUUUGGGAUUAACGAAGUAUUACUUAGAAAUUCUGAAAUUGGACCUAUUUGCAAACUUUUAUAACGUUUUGGGCCAUACUAUAGUUUUAUAAAGUUUGGGGGUCAAACUAAAAAUUUGGGAAAAAUUUCACUGUAGCAGGUUAUUGUAGCAAGCGGCUUACCGGAUUUCGUAACCGGCAAGCCAGAUAGGCAAAAUUUAAAAUUUUGCCUUAACGGUAACAUAAAUUCAGCUUACCAAAUUCCAUAAACGGCAAACUGGAUACGCCCAGAAUGUGAGUAAUGGCUAGUUUUUGAGCUCAAACUAUAAGAACUCAAAUCCAACUCAUUUUGAAGCUCUCCCAACAAGCAAAAACAAAAAGCACACGUGAUAUCUUGAGCCUUCAAACUUGCGAAAUACAAAUAUUGAAUCAUUUAUUGUUCUUCAUUUUUGAAUAUCUACUCAUUGAGUGAGUUUCAUUGUAACCUUCAUUUAUUCAUCUCAAUUGUAAGAGUUUGAGUGUGUGAGACACUUGAGUGAAGAGAUUAGGAGAUAAUCUCUUUGUUGUAAAGGUUUAUUGACACCUCGAAGUCAAUUGUAAUCGUUGAAGCCUUGGAAAGGCUUGGAUAGUGAAAUCCUCAAGCUUGGAUCGCUUGGAGGCGUGGACGUAGGCGGAGAUUGCCGAACCAUCUAAAAAUUUGUGUGUUUGUUUCUCUUCUCCAUUACUCUUUAAUUAUUGUGCUUUUCUUGAACUUAUUGCUUUCAAUUUUUAUUAAGACAUUAUAUUGCUUGUUGUGUGGAUUUGUUAGGAUAAUUUUUAAAUUUCCAAUUCACCCCCCCUCUUGGGUUGCACACUUAUAUUUCAUUUGGUAUCAGAGCAAGGUGCUCUUAUUUAGACUUAACUAUCUAGAGCUAAAGAUCAAUGGCAACUAAAAAUGAUUCCACAUUUAGGGAAGGACAGUCCACCACUAGACCACCUUACUUUGAUGGAAAUGAUUACCCAUAUUGGAAAACUAGGAUGAGAAUUUACUUGUAAGCCUUAGAUUAUGAAAUUUGGGAAAUCGUUAAUGAUGGUCCUUUCAUGCCUUUGACUAAAAAUGAAGUCGGAGAAGAUAUUCCAAAACCUUCACGGGAUUGGAAUGAAUUCGAAAAGAGAAAAGCUUUUCUAAAUUCCAAGGCCAUGAAUGCCUUGUUUUGUGCACUAGAUAAGAAAGAGUUUCAAAGAGUGUCUAGCUGCGAAAGUGCUAAUGAGAUUUGGCACAAACUUGAAGUUGUCUAGGAAGGCACAAACCAAAUGAAAGAAUCUAAAAUAAGUAGGUACACUUGACAAUAUGAAUUGUUCCAAAUGGAACAAAAUGAAAAUGUGUACUCUAUGUAUACUAGAUUUACGGACAUAGUGAACACUCUAGGAGCCCUAGGGAAGACUUUUUCAAAUAGCGAAAAAGUCAAGAAAAUCAUUAGGUCACUACCUAAGAAAUGGAGACCAAAAAGGACUGCCAUUGAGGAAGCCAAGGAUUUAAAUGUAUUACCUAUUGAUGAUUUAAUUGGUUCUCUCAUUUCAUAUGAAGAAGAUUUAGCAGCUGAAAAAUGGCAUGAGGAAAAGAAGAAGAACAUUGCUCUCAAGGCUUUAAAACGUGAGAGUGAUGAGGAAAGCGAAAUGGAUGAUGAGGAGCUGGCCAUGUUGGUUAGAAGAUUCAGAAAAUUUUACAAAAAGAAUAAUGAGCAGAGAAAGUUCAGAGGCUACAAGAAUAAGAAUGAGAAGAAUGAGCCAAUCACUGUAAGAAGCCCGGACACAUACGACCGGAAUGUCCUCUUCUCAACAAACUUAAGAAGAAAGCUAUGGUGGCCACAUGAGAUGAUAGCGAUGAGGAAACAAGUGAUGAUGAUGAGCAAUAAGAAAUGACAAAUUUAGCUCUCAUGGCUGUUGGGGAAGAAUCAUGUGAUGAACUUGAUGAGGUAAGUGUUCUUCCUACGUAUGAUGAAUUGCAUGAUGCUUUUAAGGAUUUGUAUGAUGAGCUAAUGAAGAUUGGUAAAAAGAAUGUAUGUCUUAAAAAGAAGAUGAUAGAGCUUAAGAAUGAAAAUGAUUCAUUUAGUACAAAGAUUACAUGCCUAGAAUUAGAAAAUAAAAUAUUGCAUGAUAGUAUUGCAUCAUUUGAGAAUUCUAGCACUUCACAUGAGCACUUAGAGUCACACAUGAAUGACUUGAAAAAAGAGAAUGAAAUGCUUAGAAAGAAGAGCAAUGACCUAAAUGAAAUUGUGCUAAAAUUCACAAAUGGGCAAAAGAUGUUGGACAAUUUGCUAAACUCGCAAAAAUGUGUAUUUGACAAAAGUGGCAUAGGUUAUAAACCGAACUUGAAACAAAAAUUUUACAAGAGUUAUUUUGUGAAGAAUACAUCUAUUAACAAUCAAAUUGUAUGUCAUUUUUGUAAUCAAGAUGGUCAUAUGAAAAAUAGAUGUGUAGUAAAGAGAAAUGCAUAUUAUGGUGUGAAAUGUGUUUGGGUUCCGAAAGGAACCAUUGCUAACUCUCAAGGACCCAAAAAGGUUUAGGUACCUAAAACUUGAGAUUUUCUCUACAGGGCUUGAAGAAGAAGAAGAAGAAGUGGUACUUGGACAGCGGUUGUUCAAGACACAUGACAAGGAAUUAUUCUUGGUUUUCAAGUUUCACUAAGAUCGAAAAUGGUGGAGAUGUAUCGUUUGGAGAUAAUUAAAAAGGAAAAAUCAUUGGGAUUGGAAAUGUCGGUAAUGUAUCCUCUACUCUCAUUGAAAAUGUGUGUUUGGUUGAAAACUUGAAACACAAUUUGCUUAGUAUUAGUCAAUUAUGCGAUAAAGGAUAUAGAGUUAUCUUUGAUGAAUCAAAAUGUGUUAUUGAGAAUGCAUGUGAUGGGAAAGUCUUGUUUGUAGGAAAUAGAUGUGUUAAUGUCUAUACCAUUAAUAUAGAUUGUGCAUCAAUACAUGAUAAAUGUCUCUCCGCAUUGCAUGAUGAUGGCUGGUUGUGGCAUAGAAGAUUAGGUCAUGCAAGCAUGGAUUUGAUUUCAAAAAUCGUGAAAAAUGAUUUAGUUAAAGGUCUUCCAAAAAUCAGUUUUCAAAAAGAUAGAAUUUGUGAAGCAUGCCAAUUUGGAAAACAAAUCAAAACUUCCUUCAAAGCAAGAAUCAUGUCUCUACUUCAAAACCACUUCAAUUGCUUCAUAUAGAUUUAUUUAGACCUUCUAGAUAUGCUAGUUUAAGUGGCAAAUAUUAUGCAUUUGUAAUUGUGGAUGAUUAUUCUAGAUACACAUGGGUAUUGUUCUUAGCUAAUAAGGAUGAUGCCAUUGAUGUAUUUCAAAUUUUCUAUAAAAAGGUUCAAAAUGAAAAAGGUUAUUCUAUUACUUGUAUUAGAAGUGAUCAUGGUGGAGAAUUUGAAAAUCAUGCAUUUGAAAAUUUUUGUAAUGACCUUGGCAUUGAACAUCAAUUUUCAUCACUUAGGACACCACAACAAAAUGGAGUAGUAGAGAGAAAGAAUAGGUCUAUUCAAGAAAUGGCUAGGACCAUGUUGAAUGAAAACUCUUUGCCUAAGUAUUUUUGGGCCGAAGCCGUCAACACCGCUUGUUGUGUUUUAAAUCGGGUGUUGAUUAGACCUAAUCUUAAUAAAACUCCAUAUGAGCUUAGAAAGAUAGAAAACCCAACAUUGGCUAUUUUAAAGUUUUUGGAUGCAAAUGUUUUGUUUUGAACACAAAAGAUAAUCUUGGUAAAUUUGAUCCAAAAUCUGAUGUUGGCAUUUUUCUUGGUUAUUCAAAUUCAAGCAAAGCUUAUAGAGUUUAUAAUAAAAGAACUUUAAUUGUGGAAGAAUCUAUGCAUGUUACAUUUGAUGAGUCUAACCCCUCCUCUACGGAGAAAGUUGUUGUUGAUGAUAAUGCAGAAGAAGAACAACAAGAAGAAGCAUCGAAUAACAACCAAGAAGACGCGCCACAUGGAAUUCAAGAAGAACAUCAUGAAGAAACAAAUGCAGAGCAAAAUGAAGGUACUUCACAAACACUCCCCAAGGAGUGGAGGUAUGUAUCCUCUCACCCUAAGGAUGUAAUUUUAGGGGAUCCCUCGCGAGGUGUUACCACUAGAUCAUCUCUUAGAAACACAUGUGAGCAUGCUGCAUUUAUUUCUCAAAUUGAACCAAAAUCCUUUGCGGAUGCGGAAAAUGAUGAAUCUUGGAUUAUGGCAAUGCAAGAUGAGCUAAAUCAAUUUGAGAGAAACAAUGUGUGGGAGUUAGUUCCUAAUCCGGAACAUCAAUCCAUUAUAGGUACUAAAUGGGUAUUUAGAAACAAAAUGGAUGAAUCCGGUGUGGUUGUAAGAAAUAAAGCUAGAUUAGUGGCUCAAGGUUACAACCAAGAAGAAUGAAUUGAUUUUGAUGAAACUUUUGCACCUGUAGCAAGGUUAGAAUCCAUUAGGAUGUUGUUAGCAUAUGCAUGUCAUAAGGAUUUUAUUUUAUAUCAAAUGGAUGUCAAGAGUGCUUUCUUAAAUGGAUAUAUUAUGGAGGAAGUUUAUGUAAAACAACCUCCUGGUUUUGAAAAUAAAAAAUUUCCAGAUCAUGUGUAUAAGUUAUCCAAGGCUUUGUAUGGUUUAAAACAAGCACCUAGAGCUUGGUAUGAGAGGCUUAAAAAUUUCUUGUUGGAUAACGAUUUUUCAAUGGGAAAAGCGGACACAACUCUUUUUGUUAAGCAUAAGAACCAAGACAUACUUAUUGUUCAAUUUUAUGUUGAUGAUAUUAUUUUUGGUUCUACUAAUGAGUUGUUGUGUAAAGAUUUUUCAUCAUGUAUGAGCCAAGAGUUUGAGAUGAGUAUGAUGGGAGAGUUAAAGUACUUCCUUGGACUUUAAAUCAAACAAAACGAGGAAGGAAUUCAUAAACCAAGCCAAGUACGUGAAAUAUCUACUCAAAAGAUUUGGCUAUGAUAAUGGAACGGAAAAAAGCACUCCUAUGAGUACUACCAUCAAGCUGGACAAAUAUGAGAAAGGUAAGGAAGUUGAUAUCAAGACAUAUCGAGGUAUGAUCGGAUCCUUACUUUACUUGACUGCUAGUAGGCCUGAUAUUAUGUUUAGUGUUUGCUUGUGUGCUAGAUUUCAAUCUUGUCCUAAAGAGUUUCACAUGCUUGCUGUCAAACGCAUUUUUUGAUAUUUAAUUGGCACUAUUAAUCUUGGCCUUUGGUAUCCUAGAGGAACUCAUAUUGAUUUAACUUGUUAUUCGGAUGCCGAUUUUGCUGGGUAUAAGGUUGAUAGAAAAAGUACUAGUGGAACAUGUCACUUCCUAGGCCAUUCUCUUGUCUCUUGGUUUAGUAAGAAACAAAACUCGGUUGCGCUUUCAACCACUGAGGCAGAAUAUAUUACCGCAGGUAGUUGUUGUGCACAAAUUCUUUGGAUGAAACAAACCCUUAGAGACUAUGGUAUUAAGCUUGAUCAAAUACCUAUCUUAUGUGACAAUACUAGUGCUAUAAAUCUUUCCAAGAAUCCCAUUCAACAUUCUAGGACUAAGCAUAUAGAAAUUAGACACCAUUUCCUUAGAGAUCAUGUUCAAAAAGGAGAUGUCGUAAUUAAAUUUGUUUCCACUGAAAAUCAACUUGCAGAUAUCUUUACAAAACCUCUUAGCGAAGAGCAUUUUAUAAAGAUAAGACAUGAGCUUGGAAUGAUGAAUGUUGAAUCUUAAUUCAUGUUUUACUACAUGACUUGAUAUGUUUGUUAUCAUAUUAAUUUAUGCUUCAUUAAUUAGAUAGCUUGAUAUGCUUGUGAAUUUAUGAUUUUAUGAUUUUGUGUUUCAUGCAUUAAAUGACUUUUUGAAAAGUUUUAAAUCUCAAAAUGAUUUAAAAUUAAUCAAUUUUUAAGGCUGGAAAUAAAAUGGUGUGUGUAGUACAAGUAUAAGAGCUAGCAAAUAUUCCCUUUCCAUUCAUCAGGAAAAAUAUUUUUUUUUUAUUGAUUUCUCUCGGGACAAAUUCUGGAUAACCGGAUUUUCAAUCCGCAAAAUCGGAUUUGCUAAGCCACCUCUCUGCCUCAUAACCGGUCUACGGGUUCUUUAAUCCGGAAAACCGAAUUUGGAAGGGAACUCACUGCCUCACAACCGGUCUACCGGUUAGCAAAAUCGGAAAGCCGAAUUUACAUGUAUGCUUGCUGGAACAAAACCGGAUUUUCGGUUCAAGACAAUCCGAAAAGCCGGAUUUUUGGAAGUUCUCAAAACCGGCCAGCCGGUUAAGAAAACUGGCAAGCCGAAUUCCCUCAUGUUGCUCUCGGGUUCAUAUCCGGUCAACCGGAUUUCAAAUCCGGCAGAACGUUUUUGCUUGUUUGGUUUCUAUCCAAUAACCGGCUUGCCGGUUAGGAAAUCCGACAAGCCAGAUUCGUGAGCCUUUUGUGCUGUUCAUCCUCUUCCUCAUGCAUUCAGUAAUCCGACUCUUCCUCUCUCUAAAAAUCGUUUGCUUCUCUCUCAUUUUUCAUUCCAAAAUCCACCAUUUCUACUCGAUUUUGAUGCAAAUCAAUCCAUAAAUCUUGAUCCCUAUCCGUUCUUAUACCUAAAAUCACACUCAAAACUCAUUUUCAACCUCCAAAUCCCUAGAUCCGAAUUUCAACCUAGGUUUUGGGCCUAUUUUUCUCUCUCUAGAUUUCUCACUCUCAAGCUGUUUUUGAUCCAAUUUGUUUCUCCAAAUCACUUUCAAUCUUCAUCAUCUUCAUUCUCUUUGGUGUUUUUAUCUUCAAAUCCAUCAAAAUCAAAAUGUCAAGCUCUCGGCCGGUUCGAAGAAAAGGCAAAGAACCGGUUCAACCAACCACCCGGCCACGGGAAGCAAGGGGCACCUCAAAUCAAUCCACUUUUGAGUCCAUUCAUUUUCAGAACAAGCAACAAUUGAUCAAACAGUUUCAACAAAACUUUCGGACUCGUGAGGUACUCAACACUUUCUUUGUUUUACCGGAUGUUAUGCAUACUCUCAAGAUUAGUUAUAGAAAUAUAUUUCAAUUGUUGGGAGAUGUUGGUUGGAUUGAUGCAUUGUUGAUUGAGGAGAAUGUGUAUCCCGACUUGGUGAAAGUAUUUUACUCGAAUAUGGAUUGUUCCGCGGAGAAAGAGAAUCGAGUAAUCACCACAGUUGGAGGAGUUUUGAUUGAAUUUGAUGAUUCGGAGUUGAACUCCAUCCUAGGAUCUUUCGAUGAUGGCCUGGACAUUUUUUCUCUUAGGAAACCUCCUGAUAUUGAUGACUAUGUUCAUGUUGAUGCCAUUCGUAAUAUUUGUCGGCGUAGUGAUCUUUCUAUUGAAGACUGUACCAUUCAUUUCCGUACUCAGUGUCUUUGUCUUCAAACUCAUAUUUUGCCUCGUAUCAUCCAGUCCAUUGUACUUCCUAGAUCAGGACAUUUGAAUGAGGUUUCUCACAUGGAUGUCGCCAUGAUUGACUGUAUUCUUAGAGGUCGCCCGGUUAACUUGGGCUAUUCCAUCAUCCGCACCAUGUUGAGCAUUCCUGCCUUGAUUACCCGCUCUCUUCCUUAUGGUCACUUCAUUACCCAAAUUCUUAAAUUCUUUGAAGUGCCGAUUCUAGAACCAUCUUGUAGGCCGUCCAAGGGUAUCGGGGAUGAGGUUAUUAUUGGGUUAGGCUUUGAGUAAAAGGAUGGCACUUGGGUCAAAUACAACGAUAACAAGUUUACCUUUCUAGCCCCAAGUGAUGAUCAGCAACUUAAUGCUGUGAUUCCAGCUGAUCAGCUUCCAGUUUUCUCACUCUCAUUUCGAGGGCAGCGUAGACGCCGAGUUUCUUCCACGGUUGCUUCAGCUCCUAGUGCAUCUACAUCCGCUUCAUCACCUCCACAUCCUCCUACCUCUGAAGAGGUCACUCUUCAGCAGAUUAUGGAUGAAGUGCAGACACUCUCUAUGCGGCAGACUGAGUUUCAGCAACAGCAGUAGCAGCAGCUUAUUCAUGGACAGUGCCUCAUCUCCGAGCACUUCGGCAUUCCAUAUCCAUUUCCACCUCCAUCACCUCCAUCCUCACCACCUGAGUAGUAUCUUAUGCUUGUACUUGGACACAUCUACAUUUCAUUUACUGCAUUGUGUGUUCGUUUAUUUUCGAAUCUAUGGAUGGUUAUUAUGCUUUUCGGUUUAUGUCUUUGUUUUGGAUGAUAUGGAUUUGUUGUGACUAUUUAUGUUGGAUGUUAUGGAUUUGUUUUGAUUGAUCAUUAUGGAUUAUAUGGAUUUUCUUAUGCUUAUGGAUAUUUUUUUUUACUAAUGUGCUUAUGUUGCGAUUUUGAUGAUUGAUAGGGGGAGUCUUUAUUCUUUUUUAUGAUGAAGGAGGAGAAUGAUUUAAUAUGUGUUAUGAAAAUAUGCAUGUAUCUAGGGGGAGCAUGUAUGCAAGGGGAGUUUUUGUUAAAUAAUUUUCAAAUCAUUUUUUAACUUGCAUUGAUUAAGGGGGAGCUUUUCAUAACUAGAUUAAAUUUGAAUGUGUUUUGUCAUCAUCAAAAAGGGGGAGAUUGUUAGCCUAUAUGGCUAUAAAUAUUGAUUUUGAUAAUAACAAACCACAUGUAUUUAUUAAGCAAAGAUUUAUUAAUUGUGCUUUUAUAAUAAGAAAAUGAUGUUAUGGAAUUAAAGCAUUUUGGACUAAAAUGAAAGUAAUUUCAAAAUCUUUGAUAGUGUUUUAAAUUUCGGAUUUAGACCUAUUUGAAACUAUUAAAAUGUUUUUGGGCCAUUCUAAAAUUUCACAAAGUUUGGGCGAAAUCAUAAUUUCAAAAAUUUUUGGGAUAAACGAAGCAUUACUUAGAAAUUCUGAAAUUGGACUUAUUUGCAAACUUUUAUAACGUUUUGGACCAUACUAUAGUUUUAUAAAGUUUGGGGGUCAAACUGAAAAUUUGGGAAAAUUUUCACUGUAGCAGGUUACUGUAGCAAGCGGCUUACCGGAUAUAAAAACUGAAAAACCGAAUACGGGGCAGUAAGCAUCCAGAACGCAAACGACUUACCAGAUUUCGUAACCGGCAAGCCGGAUAGGCAAAAUUCAAAAUUUUGCCUUAACGGUAACAUAAAUUCGGCUUAUCGGAUUCGAUAAACGGCAAACCGGAUAUGCCCAAAAUGUGAGUAACGACUAGUUUUUGAGCUCAAACUAUAAGAAUUCAAAUCCAACUCAUUUUGAAGCUCUCCCAACAAGCAAAAACAAAAAGCACACGUGAUAUCUUGAGCCUUCAAACUUGCGAAAUACAAAUAUUGAAUCAUUUCUUGUUCUUUAUUUUUGAAUAUCUACUCAUUAAGUGAGUUUCAUUGUAACCUUCAUUUAUUCAUCUCAAUUGUAAGAGUUUGAGUGUGUGAGACACUUGAGUGAAGAGAUUAGGAGAUAAUCUCUUUGUUGUAAAGGUUUAUUGACACCUCGAAGUCAAUUGUAAUCGUUGAAGCCUUGGAAAGGCUUGGAUAGUGAAAUCCUCAAGCUUGGAUCGCUUGGAGGUGUGGACGUAGGCGAGGAUUGCCGAACCACGUAAAAAUUCAUGUGUUUGUUUCUCUUCUCCCUUACUCUUUAAUUAUUGUGCUUUUCUUGAACUUAUUGCUUUCAAUUUUUAUUAAGACAUUAGAUUGCUUGUUGUGUGGAUUUGCUAGGAUAAUUUUUAAAUUUCCAAUUCACCCCCCUUCCUGGGUUGCACACUUAUAUUUGAGCAAGAAAAUGCAAUCUAUGUGAUUUUCUCAUUUGAGAUUCUUCAUAAAUGAUUGCAAGUGCUUGCUGUUUUACAUUGUGAGAAAUAUUAUUAGACUUGACUUGUUUGAGCAAAUGCAUUAGUGUAUGAAAAUUGGGAUGGCCAAAUCGUUUAUGCAAAAGAAGAAUUUUAUUCAUUGCUGAAUUGCAUGAAUCAACAACAAUAUGAUGACAGAUCUUAUUAUCUAAAACUUUGCUCUAGACAAUGGAUUGACAAUUAAAACUAGAAUGACAAACAAAUAACAUUGACAAAGGCCUAUUAGAAAUAGUUUGACAUAGAAAAGAAGAAGGAAGUGUUUGUGCAGAUGGCUUUAAAAGCAGCUUGUAUAAUCCUUUCUCAGCAAGACCUUGCAGAAGAACUUGCCCCCCUCAGUGUAUCCUUCACAUAACAAACAUCACCAGAAAAUUCAACUAUCAAGUUAUUAUCAGUGGUGAGUUUGGACAUGCUUAGCAUGUUUUUAGUAAUUGAAGGAACUAGUAGGAUAUCUUUGAGUGCUAUUUGUGUAUGAAUAGAUUUGGCAUUUGAAUGUGAGUGUUUAUAACAAAGGAAAGCAUCACCAAUAUGAGUAAUAACCAAACCUUGACUAUUGCCAAUGAUGAGCUGAUCUGACCCUUUGAACUCCUCUCUGACAUGCAUGUUAGACAUGUUGUUGGUCAAGGGAUAAGUGGCACCACUAUCGAGAUACCAUCCAUCAUCAGCUAGUCCUUCAAAAUUAGCAACAUAUGCAGCCCCAGGUGUUGUGAAAUCUUCUGAUGCAUAAGGUGAGAUGGAGUUUGGAGAGUAAUACAUUGGUUGUUGACAGUUCAUAUCAAAAGAUUCUUCAAAUGGACAUGUAGAAAUUUGUGGUUCAAAAGCAGUCAAGUAGGCAGACUUAGUAGCUCUACCUCUACCAAAAGGUUUUGGUGAAGGUACAAAAUCAUCUCCAUAUCUAUGCCAACAAGCAUCAGCAGUAUGCCCUUGCUUGUGAUAAAUUUGACAUACAGGUAGUGUGCCGUCAGAAUUUCCAGUAUGCAUAGAAGGAUUUGCAGGCAUUGAUCUGUGAGUAUGCAUUGGUUGUCCUCUUCCAUAACUACUGAAAUUACUAUUUCCUGAAGGAAAACCUCUAGGAUAAUGUUGAAAGAACAUGCCUCUACCAAAAUUUGGUCUUCUACCACCACCAAAAUUACUAUUAACACCACGAUAUCCACCUCUAUAUGAACCUUUCAUCAUAAUCCAUUUUUUUUGCAGUGAUAAUAGAUGCUAAAUCCAAAUAACUAGAUCCUAAGCCAUCCAGACUCAUUAAUAGAUCCUUUCCAGUUAUGGAGUCACCAGCACAUGCAAGUUUGUCAGCAAGCAUUUUCAUUUUGCCACAGUAUUCUUCAAUAGACAUUGAAUCUUUUCUUAAAAUAUUCAUCUCAUAUCUAAGUUGCAUCACUCUAGCCUCGAAUUGCACUCCAAAUUGCUUUUCAAUAGAGGUCCAAACAGCAAACGAAGUGUCGCAACCUAAAACAGAACUUAAAAUACCUCACUAAUUGUAGAUAACAGCCAUCCAAGAAGGAUCUGAUCUUGAGCACGCCGGUUGAUCUGAUGUUGAAGCUGGAUCAGGAAGAUACUAAUCUGGUACAACUCGAUUUCCAAAAAUAUAAUGUUCAAGUCGAUUGCCUCUUAUGGAUGUGAGAACUUGUUUGCGCCAUAGCAAAUAAUUGGAUCGAUCAUGCUUUACAGGAGUAAUGAAUGUGAAUGAAACAUUUAAAGGUUGAUUUUGACUAAGAAAAUUUGGAUUUGAGUGAGUUGUACUUGAGUUCGCCAUGAUUAUUGCUCUAAUACCAUAAAGGAAAUAUGAAACGAAGUGUUUGGCUUAAAAGAAAAUAACAGAGAAAAUAAUCUUCUAAUUUUCCAGAUCUUUUAUUUCUUAUUAAGAAUGAUUACAUCACUUCUAUUUAUACUAAUUAAUCAAUAACUAACUAAGAAUUAAAUCCAGCUAAUCAUUCGUUCAGUAUACAUUGUGAGUAAAAACAAACUUUAACUAACUGUGCUGAGCUGGCAGUCUGGACUGUUGCGUUUCUUAACAGCUUCUGAUAGUUUGACUUGAGUUGACCCAAGCUAUGUUUUCUCAUGCUCUGCAUAAUGUGCUUCCUUAACAAGUUGAGAUUAUUUUCAGAGGAAAAGUAUGUAAUUUCACUGAAAUAUUUUACUUUAUUUUCCAAUAUUGACUGCUAGAAACUGAGAAGAAUGCUAAAUCGCCGAAAAUUUUACGACUAUAAGCAUUUUUUCUAUUGACUGGCAGAUCUAAAGGGGCCUAAAUGAUAUGAGAUACGUUAAGCUUAAUUUACUCUAAGAGAAUUGCUACGACAUCUUGAUUUGUCAUCAUGAGUUUAUUUUGUGAGAUGUGAAAUACAAAGCUCAGUUAGGAAUUGGGUUAUAUUUGUUGACCAUUUCUCACAUCGGUUGUGUACGGCUGGUUAAUAUGCUGUCAUGGCAAGUUAUUUUAAAAAGUAUUAAGUUUUGCAGCUUUAUCUGUUUAUAUUCAGAUGUAUCUCUAUAUGCUUGAAUGUUGUCUUCCAAUUAAUAUCACUAGUAUUCUUUUUUUUUUUUAAAAAAAUUUGAAUUUAAUCUGUACUGUUUGCCCUAUGCUGAAUUGCUGAUGUCUUCAUAUUUUAAUGACAGGAAGAAGGAAACCACGUACCGAUUAAAUUCAACAUUCUAGUAUAAUCUCUGGAAGCAUUUAAUAAAUGGGUGAGUUUUUUGCAAGGAGGUUCCCUUCUGUAUGUAUUUUGUAGGGCCAUGCAAUUAAGAGGUUUGAUGUGUUGGGAAAAUAUGCUUUUUAAAAGCAUAUGUAUUUAUUUAAUUGUAAUAAAAAAAUUUUCUGAUUAAUAAAAUUAAUGAGGUAUUUUAUUCAAAUAUCUUAAUUGCAUUAAUAUUUUGAUCAAAGUCCAUUUAAUCAUAUUAUAUGUAUUUAUGUGAUCACCAUGUGGAUUCACAAAAGACAUAAAUACAAGUUAUCUUAUGAUUAAAUAAAUUUAGUUCGCAGUUGAUAAAUAAAUUUGGGCACUUUGUUUAGGUAUAUACUGUAAUGAAUUCAUUAAAUGAUUUAUCUUAAUCAUGUAUGAAUUUAUUGAUAUAGUACGACUACAUUGAACAAGAUCACAUAUGAGAUUUAAUUAACUUUGUAAUAACUAUUAGACUUGUUAAAUCUCAUAGGCAUUGAUUUUACUGUAAUCUUAAUAUUGAGUUAAUUAUAAUUUCAUGAUUGUAAUUGAUAUUCCAGUUGAGUUACCAAUGGGCACGACACAUACUUGUGGUCAAGAUUACCCGGUAUCUUGGUGAGAGCAAUUAUGAGUAUUGGAGUUAUGGAUUAACAAUAUAGAAUUUGUACAACACAUCUCUUGAUCGGUUUUUGGCACUUGAUCAUAGAAUUCUCUGGCCAGAGUGUGUCAAACAUAUUUAGUAUGUUGAAAAUGAUCAUUAGAGAAAACCAGUAAGUAUCAAGGAACAAGAUGUAAUUAAAUUGAUUGGACAGUUGAGAUAUCGAUUUAAUUAAUGAUGUGGUACAAAGGAUUGUGCAGUAAAGAAAUCAAUGUGGCUUGGGAUGAAUUAUUAUUCGAGCAUACAAUUAUGGAGGUCAAUUCCAAUAUUUUAGUGGAGUAGAUUUAGAAUUAAAUAAUUAGGCUAGUUUAAUUACAGGCCUAAUUGUUAUAGCCACUAUUGUAUGUUCCCAAAUAAUCCUCGAGUUAGCUCAUUUAAUUGACUGCACCACUACUGGAUUAAUAAGCAAGAUAACUAGUUAUUUGGGUCAAAAGCCUAAAUAUAUCAUUUAGUGGGAGGCUCCAUUUAAUUAGCUUGUGUGUAAGGGGCCUUAUGUUAUUUUACAAGGUGGGUCCAGGCUUAUUUUCUCUAAAAGAAAGAGAGAGCAGCCACUUUUUACAGAUCAGAGAAAAAGAUUUUUCUCUCGAUUGUUGAAAGAAAAAUUUUCUCAUGCUAGUUGCUUUGGUAGUAAUAAAGGCGCCCACACGUCAAGUGCAGAUCAAACCUGAGUUAUAACCUAGAAGAUCAUUGGUGAUAGUUCGUGAUCUAACAAGCGUGGUGGUGACGGAUCGUGAUCUAACAGGCGUGGUGGUGACGGAUCGUGAUCUAGGAGCCUAAAUCACUUCAGCGGAAAAAAUUAAAUCGGAUUUUCAAGGUACGAUUUCUAGAUUACAAAUUCUUAUAUAUUAUAUGAGAGCGAUCUUAAAAAGGUUUUAUAAAAAUUGAAAAAAUUAAUUUUUCUCCAACAUGAUGAUCAUAAUUCACUGAUUGACUGUCCUUCAAAAUUUUCAAACCCGAGUUAUACAUUUCAUUAUCUUAAACUUGAACAUAUGAGAUUGCAUUGGUUUUGCAGCUACUUCCAAGUUUGUUUCUGAGCACCUUUGAUCACAUUUUAUGUAUAAAUUAAUGAUUCUAAACUUGCAGUGGAGCUUUGCCAAGGGAACCAAUGCCUUCUGGUAUUACUGCAAGGCUUCCAACCUUGGAGGACCUUGAGGCCUAUGCCAUUGGACAAUGGGAGGUGUGAACUUUACAUGUUCUGUUCUUUCAUGUUUAAGGAUUUUUCAUGCCAAUCAUGCUGACCUCAAGGAGAUGCGAUGACAUAAUUAAUUACAAUUGGUGUAUCAAUUAAGCUAUUAUCUUAAAUCUUCCAAUUCUAUUAAUCCAGUGUUUCUUGUUGCAACUUAUUAGUUCAGCCCAAGCUGAAAGGCCGACAAAUUUCAACUCUUCCACGAUGAAGGUUUUCCAGCGUGGUCUUUUGAUUCAAAGGUAGUAUUUUCUGUCACAUUUGUAAUCGUCAGUUUCUUGAUGCAAACAGUUGAGAAUCCUGGUUCUUGCAUUUGGUAUCAUGUUAUUUAUGUGCCUUAUUUGCAGGGAUAAAGAAGCCCCAAGGUUAACAGAUAGUGGUUUUCAAUUUUUGGAAUGUGUGUUAAUCACAAGAUUUUGGAUUCCCUCUUGUUUGAGCUAGUGGAACUUAUUUUUCAUAUGUUUAAAUUUGCAGCUGAUGGAUACUAAUGCACAGCUCUAGUACAUCGUUAGAGAAUAUAUCUCCAAUUCCCAGGUGUGGCUUCUGAUAUUAUUUUCAGUUGUUUCUCUGCAUCAAAAUUUCUGCGUGUCCCUGUCUUUGAUUCACUGGUAUAUUCUCUCUUUGUAAAAACUGAACUGAGUGAAGUAUUCAAAGGGCAAAAUAACGAAUUAACUUAUCUUUAAAUCUCAUUAUGUUACCCAAUUGCUCAUUUUAGAACUUUGAUUUUUAUAUUAUGCACAUGUUUAUGCAAUUAAAGAGUUCAUAUUUAGAUGUAUGUAUAUCUUUUUACUUUUAGAAUAUUAAUGCCUUCUUUGAUUUUUAUUCUAUUCCUCAAUAGAUUUGUAUAAUUACUGCUAACAUAAACUAGAACUAAAAGAUUUUCUUCUUUGGUAUUUCAUUGGACUAUUUAAUAGAGAUAAAAGUUCACUAGUGAUCUAAUUAUAUGUGGGAUAGCACGACUCUAUGCUUGCUUAUGGUCUACAAUACCAAUAAUAUAUCAUAUAGCUUUUCUCAUUUUCUUGCAGGAACGAGGCAUAAAUGAAGCAGAUCUGAUUUCUUUUCUUCUGGAGCUUAGUUUCCAUGUCACUGGGGAGGUAGCACAUAUACGUUAUAUAGCUAAACACAUUAUUAUUCAGUUAUUCCAUUUAUUAUUCAAGAAGUAUCAACUUCCAAACCUUAUAGUUGGAGCAAUAACGAAAGAAAGUUUGUAUAAUGCUUUUGAGAAUGGCAUUACAGCUGAGCAUGUGAGUUUGGUAUUUAGUUGAUCUGGUGAUCUGUUUUUCCAUAAAAAAAUGUCCGAUGUGGUCAAUUACCUGCAUAUAUGCAAGUAACUUCUGACAUUCUUAAUAAUUUGCCCCUUUACACCUCUUUUUGGGUCCCAGCCAUCCUCAUCUCAACAUACUUUUACAUCAACCUAGAUUAUUAUUAUUAUUAUUUUUUGGGUGGAGAAGGUUUUUUGCGAGCUUACAUACUGUUUCUGAUAUUCUUGUAGCCGAAAUAGUUUUUUCUUUCAAAGUCGCCUUUUUUUUUUCAAUUACUUUUGCAGUCAUUCUGACUCCUCUAACUCCAUGAUCGUUUGUUUUGCAGAUAAUUAGUUUUCUUCAGAAAAAUGCACAUCCUCGGGUUGCUGACAGAAUACCGUCUGUACCAGAAAAUGUUUGUGAUCAGGUCAUAAUUCUUUCCUGCGUUCAGAUGUAUUGCACAUAUCAUUGCUUCCUGACCUUCCAUAGCAAAAUUCUCGAUAUUUUCUACAUAGUACAUAUCAAUUAAUAAAGAUGAUUAUUUAUAUUCUAAUAUUUCAAAUUCUGAUGUUUCUUUGAUAGAUAAGAUUGUGGGAAUCCGAUUUGAAUAGGGUUGAAAUGACCCCUGCGCAUUAUUAUGACGAGUUUCCCCUGAGGGUCAUCUGCGCAUUUCAAUUGGAUUGAUUUCUCAUCUCACAUCUUUCAGGGAUUACAUUUUAAAGUUACGUCAUAAAUCUUGUAGGAUGUCUUUGAGGCUGCUUGUGAUUAUGCAAGAGAUCGAAGUGGUUUGCUCUGGGAGGAUUCAAAGAAAAUGUGUCUAGUUGUUAAUGCAGAAAUUCAUAUGCACAUGAGAGAGUUCCUUCGGGGUCAAAACAAGUAGAAUGAUAUGUUCUCUUGGCCAUGCAGAACUUACUGAACAAAAAGGAUGACAAGCCAUGUGUCGCUUGGGAUUGUUGCAUGGUAGGGUUGUCAUAAUUUGGGUUUUUCUUGCUCCGUUCGUAUCUGCAUUAAAUUUUGAUGGCAAGUUUUUUGUAAAAACUUGUAUCAAUUUAAUCAAAAUUCAAUUUUGUAAGUCCGCCUUUAUUUAUUUAUUUAUUUAUUUGACUUGCACAGCUUUGUCGAGUGCCCAUUUUGUGGCUUGUGGACAAACUGACAAGUGGAUCUAAUUAUGAACAUUUGCUGUUUGCAUUCGAAAAUGUAGCGCAAUAAUUUUUAGUAAAAGAUAGAAAUGAAUGUAAAAACGUUGCUGUCCUUAUCAUAACUCUUCAUUGUAUUAAAGUAUUAUAAUAUUAUAUUUGUCAAUUGCACCUCAUAGUAUUAUAUUGUGGUCAACACAAAAUCUUAUGUGAUAGAAUCUGCAUAAACUAAAUCUGAGGGGACGCGGGUUUUAUAACUAUUUUGAGACAAAAGAUUAUUUUUUGCCUUUCGUUCUCACCCUCAUUCUUAGAUUGGCUCAAGCAGUUCUUUCCGUCAUAAACUAAAUCUCAUGUGUUAUUUAUAAUUAUGUUAAUUAUUGUUGUUGUUAUUAUUGUUGUUUAUUAAUAAUAAUAAUAAUAUUAUUAUUAUUAUUAUGGCAUUAUUAAAAUAAUAAUAAUAAUUAUUAUUAUUAUUACCAAAUGAUAAUAAUUAUUAUUAUUAUUACCAAAUGAUAAUAAUUAACGAAGGGUAUUUUAAUAAAUUGAAAUAAUUCAUUCAAAUUUAAUGACAAAGUAAACACAAUAAUAGAAAUGAAGUUCAUUUCAAUUCCGAUUCCUACUAUUCAAGUAAAUAAUUUAUUUUGAUUCUUAUUCGUGAUUCUCAUCCCAACCCAAUCCUGAUUCUAGAGAUUAAUAAACGCACCAUAAAUUUUUUGGUGAAUGAAAUGGGGAAUGAAGGUAAGAUUUUUAAUGGGGUGGAGAAGGGGGCAGGUCUCUCUACCCCCACCACACCCCGCCUCACCUCACCGCCAUUCCUAGUGUUAAAUGUCUAAAUUACUCUUAUGAUAUCGUUGAUGCUCAUCAUUAUUAUCCGCACCUUAAAGUUGAAGCUAGGGAUAAUUGGUGCAAGUAAUUUUUUGAAUGGAGCUUGUUCACCUUAAAUUUGAAUGAUUUGGCUUGUUACUUUGUUACAAGUGGCUUUGCUUUUGAUAUAUCUAAAGACUUAUAAGGAAUUGAAGUAGUUGAGUAAUUUCUCAAUUAAGAGUAUGAUGGUUUCUUCAACCGCCAAGUUUCGACUUUCUUUUUCCGUCUUACUCUUCAAGAAUAAGCAGUCACCUGUUUCCUUGUUCAUUUCCAAUUAUACAUUUUUUAUUAAAAAUUAACUUUGGAAUUUUCAGGUUGAUUUGGUUUCUCAUAUCGCGGACAAAGAGUACGUUUACUUUUUUUUUUUAAUUGUUCGCUUUUGAUUGCGUUGUCAAGACUUAUUAUUAUAAUUACCAAGUAUUGGAAGCUAAAAUGCGUGCAAGUCGGAAAUUUUGCUGCCGAAAAUCAGUGUAAAUUAAAAGACUUUGAUGAGCAACUAGUGAGUGCACGUGAGUAAACCUUGUAAAUUGACUGGUGCUAAUCAUGACUUAAGGGCAAUUGUAAUUUGUAACCCCAAAUGCAGCAUGUUAUGUGGACGAAUUGAGGAAAGAAGCAUGAAAUAUUGGGUAAUGUUUUUAAUUCUUACUUGGUAUAUACUACUGAUUAAUCAAACAGUCAUCAAAGUAUAAGUACCUUAAAGAAUAAACAACAUAGAAGUAGCAUUUUGCCUUUCCCUUAUGAGUGGAAUGGAUAGGUCAAAACCCUAGUGAGAUUUUCCAUCCUGAUGACCAAUGAUUUCCAAUGCUUUUGUUUGUGGGGAUUUUUAUUUUCUUGGCUCAAUUGCUUAUUGCGUUAAUUUUUCCAAUUAAAUCAAUUUUAAAGAUAAAAGUUUAUUUGGGUAGUUACUUUUAAACCCCACCGAAAAAACUUGAACUCCAUGGUUGUCCUUUAUGAGAUGGUAGCUAGCAGGGAGAGUUUAGAAAACAGAAGAAAUUCCAUAGAUAUGAUGAAGCUCAUAGGUUCACACCACGAGGUUUUAACAUUCCAGAAUGUAGCCAGCGACAGAUGGCUCAAAUUCUUAUGCUUGAUUUCCAAUUUGACUGUCUUGAUACCAGGCUGAGAAUCGGUACCAUGCAGACACUGAUCAUGAGACCUUCAAGUUACUUCAGGUUACUCAUCUUUUUCUUUCAUGGUCUGUCUCCUUUUGUGUCUUUUUACUGGGAAAGUUACUUAAUACCGCUUUAUUGAUUUUCUUCUCAAAUUGAUAUAAUGAACGAGAGCAUGAUUAUAAAGGCAAUCAAGAAUACAUGUUUUUAAGGUACUUCAUUCCUUCGUUCCAUAUUAUAUUCUAUAUAUUAGCCAGGUCAUUCAAGACGUUUUAAAUAAAACAGAGUAUGAAAAAGUAGGAGAGGGAGCCCGACUUUAGGCUUCUAUAUGUAUAUUCUCCUUGCACUUCCAGGUGUUGACAAAGACUAUAAUUUUAUUGUUUUGCUUAUCUAAAACAGGAAGUCUAUAGUUUUAAGUCUCUUGGGAUUUGAUGCAUUCUUGUACUUUCUUCUCUUUCAAACUUGGUGCAUUAUGCUCGGUUUGUCAGUGACAGAUGACUUAUACAUCUUAUACCUUUUUGUAUUUCCUUUCAGCUUACAAAGGUGAAAGCCUAUUUACGUUUGCAAGAGACGUGACUCUCAAAUCAGCAAAAGCUAUGAUGCAACCUCCAAUUCCAAAAGACCUAGAUCCAUGGGGAUUAAGGCUUUUAAGGGCAUCGUGGACAAAGAGUACGUGUACUUAUAUUAUAAUUUUUUUCUUCUAAAUUUUCAUUUUUUACUGUUGUGACGAAAAAGGUCACGGCUGCUUGAACUGUCUGUUAGAAGCUUGUUGGAAGAAGCCUAGGCAGUGACCUUCAAUUGGCAAUGUUCCUCUUGUUACUUUUCAAAUUGUCGUGUCUUUACAAGAAUUUGAAAUACAAGUAUGCAACCCAAGAGGGGGGGUGAAUUGGGAUUCUAAAAAUUAUUCAAUUUAUAAAGAAAAACUUAAUGCAAAUAUAAUCCAAAUUCAAAGCAAUAACAAUUAAGUUGAUCACAAUAUAAAAAGAUAAGGGAAUAGGGAUUCAAACACAGAGAUUUUUACGUGGUUCGGCCAACCUCGCCUACGUCCACGCCUCCAAGCUUUCCGGGCUUGAGGAUUCCACUAAGCAAGCCUCCAAUGCUUCAAAUGCUUACACUUGACUUCCAAGGUGUUAAUAAACCUUUACAACAAGAGAUUAUCUCCAAUCUCUUAACCCAAGUGUAUCCCAACACUUACAAUCACUCAAAGUAAAAGAUUACAAAUUGUUUUGCCUCUCACAAUAUAUAAGAUUACACAAUGAUACCCAAUAUAUGGAUAGAUGAAGCAAGAAUGUAUUUUAAUAGCUCAAUGAAGAUUGUACUCUCAAGUAUAUGCUCAGCAGUCGUGUUGUGAUAAACUUUUGUUUAAAUUUGAAUGAGCUUAUUUAUAGCUGCUGCUGAAAACUAGCCGUUAUUGACUUUCUGCACACUGUCGGAUCGUCGUUAGCUAGAUGUCGAAUCACCGUUUGACUGGUCAAUAUGACCGUUGGGCUGAUUUUUCAAAUUGUCGGAUCGCCGUUAGCUAGAUGUCGGAUCGCCGUUUAGGUCCAGAGGCUACUGGUUGAUAUCGGCGAGCCGUUUAUCACACAUGUCGGUGUGCCGUUUACGUCCAGAGGCUAAUCUCCAUUUCUACUUGAAAUCGGCGAGCCGUUUAUUACACAUGUCGGAUCGCCGCUUUCCACAAAAACUGUUGUAGUGAACUAUUUUGCAAGAUGACUGUUUUGACUCCAAAUCUUUAUAAACAAUACUUUAUGAAACUUGUCAAAAAUAGAUGAAAAAAUAUGUUGAGUCCUCAAAAGAUUUAUCAAACUUAAUCAUGUUUGUUAUCAUCAAAAUCAAUAAGGAAUUAUUUAGGUUAACAGAAUUCAUAGUCUCUAUUUAUAGUUCCGGCCAUUUGAAUUCAGUUAGUGCAGAUGCUUUGUUCUGUUAUUCUCUUCUGCUCUACUGUUCUCUUCUGGUUUUUGAUUCCAUUUUGAUCUUCUGAAGUUACGAUUUUAGUUUGAAUUGACUUUUAGAACUAAUUAAUAAUAAUUCACCAAAUUGUUUUGUUGCUAAUAGAGGAACACCAUUACAGGGGUACUGUCUGGUUGUUCCUAUGACCGCCCGCCGAGCUGCUUAAGGAUUUUCCCUAAUAUUACUCCCCGAAAGUUUUUACACUUUUGAUGAAAAUAGUCAAAAGUUUUAAACUAAAUUGGCUGAGCUAAAGUUGCAUUUAGUCUUUCUUAUCACCAUUUAUAAAAAAAAAUUGUUUUGAGAUUUUAAAUAUAUAUACGAGAUACAUGGAAUUAUCAGAUAUUUAAAAAUUUCUGUUUGGAACUCAUGACUUCACUUAAGGAAUUUUUAUGAUUCGAAGAAUUUGAGAAUUUUCAUUGAAUGAAUUUUAUGAUUUUUAUGCAUAAGAACUCAAGAUUUUAAUUGACAAAAUUAGGACUUUUGAUUUUUCUUGAAGGGUAUUGGACUAACGAUCUUGCCUAGAGGACUUUUUCUUUGCCUAUGGAGCUUUGGUCUUUGAAUGCAUCAAAAUCCCCAGAGAACUAUUACCCCGUUAACGAUCUUGCAUUCAUGUAUUUAUACCUAAUAUAAAAUAAGUAAAUGGGAAUGGAGUGGUGAUGGGGAAACUAUUCCCCACAUGGGGAUUCUCCAUCCCCACCCCACUAAAUUUAUUGGGGAAUGGGGUGGGGAAUGGAGGCAAAAAAUUUUAAUGGGGUGGGGAAUGGGAUAGGCCUCCUUACCCCUACCCCACCCCAUUGCCAUCCCUAAUUCUAAAUCGGGAGGUUGCCAAUUUUUCACUAAUGAAAUCAAUGUAUACCACUUGCACCUAUUGUAACACCCUAGGAAAAUGCCACAUUGACAAAGCACGAGAGACAUACUGGACUUAUAAGGGGUGAUCCACACCUUAAUUGGCAAGACGCGUUUUGUGGUGUAUGGGCGCCAUAGGAACAAAACCAUACGGGCCUUAUUAAGACCCAAAGCGGAUAAUAUCUUGUCAGAUCUAGGUUGGGUCAUGAUAUUAUGGUAUUAGAGCGGUUCCACGUGUCCUCUUGAGCAAUGGUGGGGCAAGCCUCAGCGAGGAUGCUGAGUCCUCAAGGGGGGUGAAUGUAAUACCCUAGGCAAAUCGCACAUCGGCAAAGCACGAGAGAGAUGCUGGAUUUAUAAGGGGUGAUCUACACCUUAACUGGCAAGACACGUUUUGGGGUGUAUGAGCGCCCUAGGAACAAAACCGUGCGAGCCUUGUUAAGGCCCAAAGUGGACAAUAUCUUACCAAGUCUGGGUUGGGUCAUGACACCUAUUAUUUUCAUAAUAGUCAAUAAUCCCCUGCAACAUAAUUUUAUAACAUUACCCUUAUUUUUACAAUAUCUCUUUUAGAAUUUUCCAUACUGACAUCUCGUGCUCCACAUUGAUUAGUUGUGAAUAAGGCUUGAGGAAUAACAUACCCUCAAGAGACUAUGCCUGAAUAUUAGUAUUAACAUUCUUGUACAAAUAACAGUAGUUGUAUUAGAACAAAAAGUUAAUCAUAUCCCUCAUGUCAUUGACUAUGCUAGUAUGACAUUGAAUUAUGCACAAUUGAAUUACUCAACUACUAAAAAAGAAAUAGUAAUAGUAAUGUUUGCAUUAGAAAAGUUUCUUAUAGGAUAUAAAAUAAUUGUGCUCAUAGAUUAUACUACUCUUAAAUAUCUUUUGAUAAAGAAAGAUGUAAAGGUCAGACUAAUUCGUUGGGUGUUAUUUUUGUAGGAAUUUGACCUUGAGUUCAAAGAUAAGAAAGGCAUAAAAGAUGUGGUGGCAAAUCAUCUUUCUCACCUCAAUUUUGACACAAUUCGAGAACGAUUAUGAUUCAAUGAAUCAUUUCUAGAUGAGCAACUAAUGAGUGUGGAGGUACUAUCAAUGGCAUGCUGAUAUAGUUAAUUAUAUUGUGACAGGGCAACUUUCAGAGAAUUAGACUAAGCAAGAUAAGGCUAAUUUUUUUUUGUGGAAACAAAGAAUUUCUUUUCUGAUGAUCUUUAUCCAUUCAAAUAUUACGUGGAUCAUAUUAUCAGAUGAUGCAUCCCAGAGAGAAAAUUUCAAAACAUCCUUUCAUUAUAUUAGGAACAAGCUUGUAGAGACAAUUUUAGUGCUAGAAAGACGGUUGCUAAAGUUUUACAACAUGGUUUUUAUGUCCAACUUUAUUUUGAGAUGCUUAGACUUCAAUUCUUCAUGUCAUUGGUGCCAAAGCAUAAGAAGUAUUUCACGAAGGAGCAUGAUGCCACUAAACCUUACUAUGGCAGUUGAAUUUUUUAAUAUGUGGGGCAUCGAUUUUAUGGGACCAUUUCCUCUUUCUUUUGGCCACCAAUACAUAUUAGUUUAUGCCAACUAUGUAUCAAAGUAGGUGGAAGCAAUUCUGUGCAGAACCAAUGAUCACAAAGUAGUGAUUGGAUUUUUGAAGAGCAAUAUUGUUUCGUACUUUAGACUCCCUCGACCAAUAAUCAAUGAUUGUGAUACCCACUUUUACAAGAAAACAUUCAUAACUCUUUGGGCAAAGUAUUUCAUCACACACAAAGUGGUUAUCCCAUAUAAUUCACAAAUUAGUGGCUAAGUCAAGAUCUCCAAUCGAUGAAUAAAGUAUAUAUUAGAACAGACGGUGAAGCUAGACAUAAAAGAAUGGUCAUUGAAACUCGAUGAUUCACUAUAGGCUUAUUGAAUGGCUUUUAAAACCCCUAUUAGGAUGCCACCUUAUAGGCUAGUGUAUAAGAAAGUUUGUCACCUACCUAUGGAAAUCGAGCAUCGUGCAUACUGGGCUAUCAAGAAAUUUAACUUUGACAUACAACAAGUUAGUUUGGAAAGAAGAUUAUAGCUAGUAUUAAAGAGAUUCGCAAUAAUGUAUAUGAAAAUGACAAACAUUACAAGUAGCAGAUGAAAGUCUUUCAUGACAAGAAUAUUAUGAGAAAAUCUUUUAUACCAGGUUAGAAAGUGAUGCUAUUCAAUUCUCGCUUACAUCUAUUCCCAAGUAAAUAACACUCUUGAUGGUAUGAUCCAUUCAUUAUUCGCACUAUUUUUUCAUGUGGGCCAUUGAAAUUAAGGAUCUAAAGAAUAAUGUCACUUUUAAAGUUAACGGUAAAAAAUUAAAGUCCUAUAUAGAGUACCAACCACAUGAAGAUGACACCAGAGGAAAUUUGAAAGACCCAUCACAUCUUGAUUAGGUUUUUUUUUUGGGAUGAUUUAACUUUUUGUUAUUUUGUUUUAUUGAUUAAAAUUAUUUUGAUUGUUUCCUACUUUAGUGCAUUUGUUUAAAAAUUAUGCUUUCUUUUAUCAAUUGUAUUUUAGGUCAUGAGUAUCUCAAUGAGACAAAUCUUAUUCAUUAACCUUAACAAACUUCUAUAUAUGAAGCUUGACGUAAGUGGUCUACUCAAAAUUUGUAAAUCACAUCCUGUUUAGGAUCUAUGACCACUAGUGUUAGUAUCCUAUUUCGAAAGACAAUUCAUAGAAAUAGAAGGUAGUAUAUGUGAUAUCCAAUUAGAACUUACGAUAAACUCAAUAAGGAGAUGGUGGUGAGUUAACGCCCUAGUAUUUAUAUUGUUUGUUUUUGUUUUGUUGUUUGCCUUCACAUGCAUUUUGUUUUUGCUAGAUUAAUUAUUUUGUUUGGUAUGUUGUUAUUUCUUACCCUAGUUAAAUGGCAGAUAAUGGUACUUUGUAACCAUUAAAGUCAGUUCUAAUAAUUUUCCAUAAUAACUGACAUUUCCAAGCCAAGGUAUAAAUAAGAAUAUAAUUCUUGCAAAACUUCAUAAGUGAUUUCCCUCUCUCUCUUAGAAUGCAAUCCUCACGAUCUUUAAAACUUGAUCCAAACUCUUACAAUUACUUAUGAGAAAUACCGUUCUUGUUCACAUACUUUGGUUAAUUGAAACCAAAGUAUGAUUAAGAAGGGAGUUACCUCUCAAAUUUGUUGCUUACAUGUCUGGCUACAGGAAAGGAAAUUAUUCAAGAAAAUGAAGAGCUAGACGGCUCCAAGUUUCUUAUCAUAAGUGUGCUCGAACAAACUAUAAUGAAAGUUCUAGUAUAUGUUUAAGAAUGAUGACCUAUAUUAGGGAAGAAAAGAUUCAAUUUAUUAGGAAUGACUUGAAUAAAAAGUCAUUAGAUGGCAUCCUUUCGACCCAUAAAACGCAUCCCAGUGAAUACGUACAAUGUGAAAUUUCCUAGUUAUGGCCAUUAUUCCAAAAGAAAUAUGCACCAUAAUGUCUUCAGCAUUUUAUAUACACUACCAUAUUUACUAGUUUAUCAGAAAACUGGAUGAGAGCCUUUCUCGAUGUAAAAUAAAAGAAAGAUAUGAGCCAUAGUCACAACUAAUAGUAUAUAUCAAUUUGUUUUACUAUUCUUUUAUCAUUUAAAUUAUUGUUUACUAGUGUGAUUUAUCUCCAUUUACUUUUUUUUUUGCUAUUUACUUUUGACUCUUGAACUAGGAACUAUGACAUAAAAAAAGUGACAUAGAAAAUGAAAUAAUAAUAAAACAAAAUAACUAGUAAAAGCUAAAUUGUAUUGAAAUAUGAUUUUUUUUAUAUAUUUGUAAUUGUAAGUUGGUGUGACCUUAAUCCAUUUUUCUACUUGUUUAUUUAUUUUGUAAUGUCAUCAAAGGAUUUGGAUUCAUGGACAUUAAAAUUUGCUAAGAGCACCUUUCAUUUUAUAAAAUAUUUUAUUACAUAAGUGUCCUUAAAUCAAAUCACAUGUAGAAAAAUUACUCCCACCUCUUAAAUAUUAAAAUAGAAAAUAAAAAUGUAUUAAAAGACAGAUUAAAAAUAUAAAAAAGAGUAAAAUAUGCAUGUUAAAGUAUUGUUUAUAUUUUAAAUAACCCUAAUUGGAGAUAGACAUAAAAUAAAAAGGAUUUAGAUUUGGUGUUUAGCUAAAUUUUUAUUAGCUUUUGUAAAAUACUGUGACAUGUGCUUUUUAUGAAUUUUAAUGGUUAAGAUUUAGUUUCUCUUAAUAGCCUAAUGAAAAUAAUAUCGUUUUCUUGGUUUUAUUCCCCUUUUUCUUUCAAUUUUGUGGUUUUUUUAUUUCAUGAACGUAUGGAAACUAUGAAAUCAUUUUUUAAUCAUCCUAGAUAUUAAGAAAUUCCAAAUAAAUUCUAUCUUAAAGACUUUUCAAGCUUUUGCAACCGCUCAUACUGAGAAUAGCAAACUUUUUUAGAGGUGAAAUCAGCGAGGGCUUGGAGUUUGAGUAAGAACAUUGCCAGCUCCAACCAAAAUGAGAAAGGCCAAGAGAAGCAAAUCAUUAAUUAGCAUGUAUAGAGACUGAAAUAGAACAAAAACUAUCAAAAACCUUGGCUAAGCAUUGGACUCAAAUCCUAUAUAGGACAAAUGGUCCUAAUAAAGUAAUUAUAAUCGUUUGAUUAUUAUUAAUAUUUAACUGAAUGCUCUCUCAUAAAUUGAUUCAAAGAUAUACAAUAAAUUAGUACUACAAUAUAACACACACAACAUAUCAUAUGCUUAUAAUAAAUUAAUUCUUUAUUAUAUUAAAAUAUAGGAUCAAUUUCUCAACAAUUGAUGGUUAUAACAAAAUUAUUCAUAUGGCAAAAGACAAAUAACUAUUUAAAAAAAUCAUUGGCAUCCAAUAACAAGCUCUAGGGGUAUAAGGCGUAAUCAUUCUCAAGGGAAUUAGGAUAGAUUCUUUAAUUGUAAGUUCCAACCAGCCGCCAUUAUUUGGUGAUGUUGCAAAAUUGGUACACAAUGAAACAUAUAGUUUACAUUCUUGAUCAGUACAUUGAUGCUUGAAAUAAGUAUGUAUUAAGUGAAGUUGUUGAUUCUAUUUAUGAGUAUUGAAUAAGUUAGGAUGAUGAAACCAAGACUUUUUUACAUUUAAUAUUUUCUAAACUGAAACAUAAACAACCUAUUGAGAAUUAAAAGAGAGGUAAAGAAUAACAAACACAUGAGGCUCUGCAUAUAUAAAUGAAUAUUGAGAAAUGAGGUAUAAUGAAUUUUAUGAGGUUGUUGAUUCUAUUUAUGAGUAUUGAAUAAGUCGUAGUGCAUUUAUUUGCAUUAACUAUUGACUUUAAUAUCUUGUUGUGUUCUCAUUCGUGGUAAUUGAAACAUACAUCUAAUCAAUUUUAUCAUUUUUUUUAGUAUUACUUUUUGUUGAAUUUAUCACUUGGUUUUUUUUUCUUUAUUUAAUGCUUGUUAUAAAUAUUGGUAUUUUGUGAAAUACUAUUCAAAUUUAAACGAACUCGUUAAUCUCUAGACAUAGCGUGCAAGCGAAAAAUAUAACAUCAAAAAUAGUGACACAUAAAAUGAAAUGAAAAUAAUAAAAUAGUUAAAGAGCAUGGUACUCAAACGUAACCAAAAGAAAAUCGUAGAUUAACCAAAUUUUAAAAAAAUCUUGUGAAUAGAAAAUCCGAUCCUCUUCUUCUCUCCAUUUCUGCUAAAGAAUAUAUAUAUAUAUAUAUAGAAGGAAGAGAAAGCAAGAAGGCGAAAAUUAACAGUGUCAAUACUUCCAUUUGCAUCAAAUUCAAGCAUUAAAUCGUGCUCCACCACAUUGUCUCCUUACAGACUUAGGCUUAUUUCCCUUCAGUAUCAGCUCAAAUAUUGAUGAUUCCAUGAAUGAGCAUUAAAGAUGCUUUUAUUUUUAUUAAUUAUUAACUUGCACAAUUAAUUAAUUUUGUCAUUUUUAGUGUUAUUAUCUUUAUUUAAUUUAUAUGUCAGAUUUUUUCUCUUUAUUUAAUCUAUUGAAAUUAUUAUCAUUAUUGUGAAAGCAUUAUUCCAAAUUUUUGGAUUUAAAUUAAACUCUAUGCAUAGCGGGCAAAAAGUGACAUCACAAAAAAGUGACAUAGAAAAUAAAAUAAAAAUAGUAAUAAAAUAAAAUAACUAAUAAAAGCCACAAUACUGGAAUAGAGUCAAUAGAAAACCGCAAAUUACAUAUAUAGACAAAUGACACCUCCUCUAAAAUAUUAGAGUAGAAGUAUUGACAGAAGUUUAGAAAUUAGGAAGGGUAAAAUAUUGGUGUUAAAAGUGUUUUUAAAGUACAAAUAAUUACACCCUAGUAGCAGAUAGAUAUAGUAUACAAGGGUGGGAAUGCUUGCACAUUUAAAUUAUCUUGUACAUUCCAUUAUUUUGCACACUCAUUUAUUAAUUUUAAAAUUAAUUAUACAUUGUACACUUUUUAAAAUGUCAAAAAAUUUCUCGGUUUUUAGAUUAAUUACCUUUAUUUACUCUCACACUCAUGAGAAAACACACUAAAAUAAUUUCUCCAAAUAUUCUUUUUAUUAAAAUUUAAUUAUUUGGUUAGAUAAUCAAUUUUGCCAAUAAACAAAUAAUGAUCGACAACAAAACUGGAUGAGCCAACAACUCGCAUCAAAAGAUUUCACCAUUCAAAAGAUCACAAGAAAUAAACAUUAUAAAUCAAACAAAUAAAUCAAUUAAGCAAAAAUGGUUAUCACUUACAUCACAUUGCUUUUAGCAGGCUCUUGCUUGCUAGUUGGAAAGACAAAAAAAUGGCAUGAAAGUAGCAUCCGAAAGAUUAUAAUUAAACAAUUGUACUUUCUGUGUUGCAAGGCUAUGAAAAAUUAAUACUUUUUGUGUUGUAAACUAGAGAUCAAAUGGAUCACACAUACCUCAUUGAAAUUAAAAUCUUCAAACAUGUUGAGCUACUCCUCUGUAAAUAUUUGUUCAAGGGGUUGGGAAGAAAAAUUUUAGGGGUCAAAUGGUAAGAAAAGUUAACAGAUAUAGAUAAAUUACAUACAACAAAUCAAUACCAUGUAACAAACACAAUAUAUCACAUGCUCAUAAUGGAUUAAUUCCUUCUUUUAUUAAAAUAUAGCAUCAAUUUCUUUACAAUUGAUGGUUAUUGCAAAAGUAUUCAUUUGGCAUAAGAGGAAAACUAUUUAACAAAAUCAUGGGUUAUAGAUGAUGGUGUAGUCUUGACUAUCAUGGUGAUACUUAUUGUAACAUUCUUCUGGUGUAAGUCCAAUGAACUUGUCGCUAUCAGGUGAUAUCGCAGAAUUAGAUUCUUGGUCGGUACUAGUGCUUGAAACAUGUGAGUUUUCAGUGCUUGCAACCAAAAGCAAAGCCAAGAUAAUGAAACUGAGACUCUUCGACAUGUUAUAAUUUCUAAACUUAAUUGUAAACAACUUAAUUAAAAUUAAAAGGAGGUGAUGCAUAAGAAAUACAUGAGGCCCUAUAUAUAUGAAUGAAUAUUGAGAAAUGCGUUAUAGUGGCCUUUAUGAUGCUUCCAUGAAUAAGCAUUAUAUAAAUCAUAUUAUGUUUACUUUUAUUAACUACUGACUUUAAUAUCUUGUUGCGUUAUCAUCAAUGGUAACCAAAACAAACAACUAAUUAAUUUUAUCAUUUUAGUAUUAUUUUAUUCUUUUUUGUUGUUUUUUUUUUUCUCUUUAUUUAACCAUAUUCAAAUUAUUAUUAUUGCUAUUGUGAAAUUAUAAAUCUGAAAGUCAGUUUUUGCAUUAUUUUAUUUACAAUAACUUUUUAGCUAUGUCUAUAUUAGUAUAUAUCUUAUAUUCAAUUUUUAGAUUAAUGUAUUUUAGUAUUAAUAAAUUCAAUCACGAUAAUCUGAUAACCGCUUAAUAUUAAAAUUUAGUUUCCAAUAUUUAUGUUAUUUUAUUAAUUAUAAAAAUACUUUUUAGUAGAUAUAUGUAAAUUUUUUUAACUAUACUUAUUGUAAUAUUUUACUUUUAAUAUGAUAUUUAUAUAUUAUUUUUAUGUAAUGUAUGUAUGUAUCUAUGUCAGUUUACAGUAAGUAUAUACUUAGAUAAUGAUCAAAGAAUAUAAUAGUAAAAAGGGGUUCUAUGUGAGUGAUCGAUCUAGAAAAGUAAUUUACUGGGGGCUAGAAUACAUAAGAACAAGAUGUAAAAACUAAAAUUUUAGGGGUUUUCAGGUUUAUGUUGGUUCAUUUUUUUCUAAUAGAUUUAAUAAAGGGAUUAAUUAAAUAAUAGUAAGACCACCCAUAUGAGUUAUUGUGGGCUUUUAAUUAAAGAGUGGAUUUUUAUAAUUCUUAUAUUUAAAACUUAAUUUUUAUGAAUUUAUGAGUUUAUCGGAGGCUGUUUUUAUAAAUCCAACAAGGAAUAUUUUUAUAGAUUUGAAGGGGUCUAAUUAGAAACUCAAGUAAUUUUCUCUUUAAUUUUUAGAAUUUAUUUUCUAGAGCGAAACUCAAACCCCACUGGUCAUGUGCUAGAUCUUUAGAACGAUCUAAUCUAUACAAACCAAAUAUCUUCCUCUCUUUAUGUAGUUAAAAUUUAAUUUUUAAGGGUUUUUUGUGUUUAUGGGGACUAUUUUUAUAAAUCCAACAAGGAGUAUUUUUGCAGAUCUAAUGGGUUCUAAUUAGAAAUUUACCUAAUUUUCUCUUUAAUUUUUGGAAUUUACUUUCUUGAGUGGAGCUCAAACCCACUGAUCUGUGCUAGGUCUUAAGGACGAACUAAUCUAUACAAAUCAAAUAUCACUCCUCCUCACUCGUUCCUCAUAUCUUUUUUGCGAUUUUGUCUAUUAUUGGCCAUAUUGAACCAUUCAGUCAUAUUCAUUGAGACUUUGAAAAUGGUUGUUUAUCAAAUGGGAUAAAUGAAAAAUCAACUUGGCAGAAUUAAUUUUUUGUUUUACAUAUAAGCAUGUUAUAGAGAAGACUUGACUAGAGAAUUGAGUAAUAAAAGGGCUUUUCCUUGAACUAGUAGAGUUGGCCAAAGCAAAUCAAAGGCCCAAAAACAAACUGAGCUGCCGAUUAAGUUUUGAAUGAUUAAUAGUUGCUUUCAUUAUACAAAAUACACCUACAACCACUUAAUUUAAAAGGCCAACAAAGUGGUGUUGUUGGAGGUUUUUAUUGUCUGUAAGGAGUUCUGUAAGAAUAUGAGAGAAUUAACAUGUUAUUUUGAAAAAAAUAAUUAAUGUUGAUCACGAGUGAGAGCUCCCAUAUUCUGGAAACUCUCAAACGAGAAAGAGCUUUUGAUAUCCCAAUAUAAUAAUAAGUGACUGGCUAAUUGUCGUGAGGAAAAGAAAAACAAAGAGAUGAAUCAUGAAUUUGAGUUUAAUUUUGGAAUUUUGAUAAAUUGAUUAAGUAAACACUUAAUUUUCUAGUUUAGUAAAUAAUGUUUUUAAAAAAAAUGAAUAUUCGAAGUACAUUGCAGAGUGCAAAUAACCUCACUCAUUCCUAAAUUACCCACAUGUUAAUUUACCAUUAAAAACAAUUUUAUGAUAAUUUCUACUCUAGACACCUACUGACUACACUCAUUAAUAAUUUAUAAAUAAACUAAUAUUAUUUUCAUCUUAACAAUUUACAUCCCAGAUUUCUUUUGUCGAUCACAUGCGUAGAGAUCUCAUGGUUUCUAUUUUUUCUGAUCCAAUCUGUAAUAUUUUUCAUGCAAUGAAAAUCUUGGAUAUUCUUCUGCUAACUAGCUUUUAGUUAUGGCUUAAGUGAAAUAUUGAAGAUAAAAGGUCUAGGGUUUUAAAAUUAUUUUGGUGGUUGUAGUGAGAAAAUAAAAACUACGCUAUGGUAAUUGAUAAGCAACAAAAGCAUCAGACAAAUCAACAAGAACCAAGGUCACCAGUUGUGACAAAUAUGGCAGUAUUGUUUCCUUAGCUAAAGGGUUUACUGAGGACAGAUUAAGGAAAGAACGACGCUGGUAUACACUUCUAACGGACACAAGAGAAAUCAGUGUACAUGAUUGAAGGAGUCCAACGGCCACAAGCCAAUUUUGAUAUAAAGCGCUCAACGUCAUGAUUCUCGGAAGUUAGUGUAAUUGAUACAAUUGUGAGAACCUUUCAUUUGUGCAAGCUUGAUUUUGAUAAUCUGUGUAUAUAAUGUAAUGAUCGAGCAAAUACAAAAACAAGAAAACAAAUUGUUUUCAAUCAAUCCUGUAUUUCUUUAUGGUAUCAGAGCCUAUGGCUACAAAAAUACAAACUAAGCCCAAACUCUCGAUCCAAUCAUUCCACCAAUGUGCAAGCCUAAUUUCCAUCAAACUCAACAACAAUAAUACCAUCUUUGAAGUCGCAAGUCCUGCCACUGCCACUCAUAAGAAGCCUUGAUCUAGAGCAUCACAUCAAUGAUGCAACAGUUCCACCAAGAAAUAUUUCUAGAUGGAAAAAAGGUCAACACUCCUGAAUUUAAUGCAUGUGGUAGCUUGUAGAUAGUUCCAUGUAAUUAUUGAGAUAGGUAGAUAGUUUUAAAGCAUCAUCCAUACAUUUCCUUGUACCCUAUAAAUAGGAGGGGCCUCAUUUGGCUCAACACACACAAGAAAUCCAGCACUGACAUUACUUAAAAGCACUGUAGGCUUUCCUUGAGUAAUAGAGUUCUUUCCUCCCAUCUUGAGCAAGUUUGAGUGAAUACUCUUUCCCACUUUCGAAUCCAGUAACGUUGUGAGUGAGCAAGGUUCACUUAGGACCAAGAGAGUGAGAUUUAGCACCUAAGGCCCUGCGAUUCAGUGAGGGAUCAAGAGGGUCGUGAUAGUUGGUAUCAAAGCCGUAAUCACUCUUGGGGUAAUUGCGUCAUUUAAAAGGAAGAAUGUCGGACCUCACUUAUGAUGACCAAAGGGGUAGGGACCAAAAUCCCAACUUGAAAAAGAGAAAGAACAACAAGGAGAAGUCCGUGGAUAGGCUGAACGCCAUUGAGAAUUGGGUUGUUCGUAGGGAGAUUGUUGUCUUUGAGAUAAAGGAGCGCCUCGAGAUCUUCAAGCAAAAGAUGAAAGAGGUUGAUAAUCUUGAGGGACAAAUGGUUGACUUACUUAAGCCAAGACAUGAUGGUGCAACACUAAAGUCUCAAGAAGUUCCAAGCUGUAGUGAUGAACUAAAUCGAGGGGCUAAGAACUCAAGUGGAGGAGCUUUACACGGGUCAUAAGGAGACCAAGAGCAAUAGGGCACUUUGAAAGAAGGCGGUGGCCAGCGAAGUGUUCACCACUAAUGCCGUACCUUUAAUAAAGAUUGAGGUUCUUGAGACCAAAGAGGUACAAGGGCAAACGAAAUGCCCAAGAGAUUGACAAUUUUCUGUGGUCCAUGGAGAGGUACUUCGAAACCACCAAUGUUCAAGGCGAGCAAGAAGAGGUAAAUAUGACGAUGGGGUAUCUUGAAGAUCACGCAACUACUUGGUGGCAAUAGAAGCAUGCAAAGAUUAUACGCAGGAUGUGUAUUAUCAACACAUGGGGCUUGUUCAAGCGCGAGCCAAAGAAGCAAUUUUAUCCAGGGAGUGUAGCGUAAGAGGCUAACAAAAAGAUGAGAGAACUGAAGCAUACAGGGUCCAUCUCGAGAACAUGAACCCAAAUGACCUGUUGUUCAUCUUUAUGGAAGGACUCUAACCAUGGGCACAACGGGAGCUUCAAUGGUACCAAGUGAAUGACACCUCCACUGCCCUCACUGAGGUAGAUAUACUUGUAGAAUUUCGAAAUGAUGAAUCAUCUAAGCCAAAGAAGGAUGAUAAGCCCCAACAUAGGAAAUGUGGAGGUGCAAAUUAAAAGGAGAUAAGCUACCACAUUAUGAUGGCUAAGAAAAACUGUCACAAAAGAAGGAUGGUUUGAAGGACGGUAAGGAGAAAGUCAAGCGUAAGCAUAACUACUACCUUUGUAAUGUGGACUAUUGGGUGACAAACUGCCUGAAGAAGAAAGCUUUCAACGCCAUGUUCAACGAGCUCGAAGAGAAACAACUAAAGGUGCCACCAGCUACAGCCGCCAACAUAAGUUGCCUCUGAAAUUUUAAGAGCUUAUUGGUCCUAAAAAAAUUAUAUUUAGAUAUUUCUAUCAAAUGACAAAAAUUUGGUAUGUAGACAGUGUGCCUUGAGAUAUAUAAUUUUUAAAUGAAAAUUGCUAAAGGGACUAAAGGCUGAUAAAAUGUUAAUAAAUAAUGCCUUGUAGUGUUAUAGUGUACGUUAAUUGACGAUGUUAUAUAGUUCAUUUUAUUAGUGCUUUGUCACUUUUUUAAUCCAAAUAUCUAAAUGAAAAAUGCUGAAAUGAUUUCCUACAAAGUACUACAAAGAUGACAAUGAGAUAAGAAAUGGAAACAACAUUUAUUUAUAAAAAUAAAAAAUUUGCAAACAAAAGGAUCUCACUAUGUAACCAUAUAUAUCAUUUUAUUGAAUUAUUAUUAGCCGGAGCAUCAUCAUGUUUUUUCUUUUAUUCAAGGCUUAGUUAUAUAUAAUUAAUUAAGCAAUGGGAUCAACAAUUAAAGAUAAAACACGAGCUUUAGUAAUUUCUUGAACACCGUGUCCGUGACCUUCUCCAAAUUGGUACAUGCAUUGAGACAUCCUCGCCAAAUUCAUUGCAAUCCCAACAAAAACGUCGGACACGAAAUGUGGGUUUCCAAAUCGAUCACGGUUCAUCUUCAUCCAUGUCUGAGCAAUCAAAUCAUGUAUAUGUUCACGAGCUUCUCUCUCUGAGACUCCAGCUUCAUGCAUGUAACAUUGAAUUGAUUUAUGAACAUCUCCCCUCUUCAGCUCAUCCUAAUAAUUAAUUCAAUCAAACUUAUUGUCAACAACAUUAACAAUUAACUAAUUAUCUAAUAAUCAGAUUGUGAGUACUACAAUUUGUUAUGGAGAAUAUCCUAUACUGCUGAGAAUAAUUCCUCAACUAAUAAUAAGAAUAUAUUAUGUUGUCAGUGGAUAUGAGAUAUCUUCUAUAACAAAUUUAAUAUUAAAAAUGAAUUCAUUGUACCGAUGAUUUUCCCAAAUCGUCUGCAAGUCGUAGAAUUAUUGAUGACCAACGAAUUAUGUUGGGAUAAUCUUUCACGAAUUCCAAGCCCUCCGUUGUUAUUGGAUUUGCUGUAGAAGUGUAUGCAUGGACUAGAAUUACAGGUGCUGCUACCGAAAUCCAAGCAUUUUCCAUGUACUCUUGGAGUGUUGGUAUGUAGCCGUUGUCGUACCACUUGGCCUCCACUAAAUAUGUUUUGCGUAGAUUUGCCCACUGAAAGUUUUAUUUUUGUAUAUCGAAUUGAUUAAUAUAAUAUCAAAUACAAAAGCAUAAAUUAAAUUAAUUAAAGGGAAAUAAUUUCCAAGCACCUCAAGAAUAUUAUAAAUAUAAUUAGUCACCAUAAAUUUCUAAUAAUAUCUUGGCACUAACUCAAAUUUUAGUUUUAUAUCAACCAGACAUUUUUUUAUUAACUCUAUUAGCUAUCAUUAAAUAAUUUAAGGUAAAAGACCAAUUUACCCUAAAAUGAAAAACACAUGGUAAAUUGGUGGUGCAAAAUAAUCUUUUAUCUUAUAUUAUUUUAAUAGUGACUAACAGAGUUAAGAGAAAAGUGAUCGGUUUACAUAAAAUUAAAACUUGAAAUGAUGUAGAGAUAAUACUAGUUAUCAUAGCAGUUAUUAAACUUUUUGAUAUUCUUAAGGUGAUUGGAGAAUAAUAUUCCUUAAUCAAAAUGAAAGGUUUAAUCUACUAGUACCGCUUUCUUAAGAUAAGAAAUGACCAUGCCAACUCCUUGAUCCCGAAGAGCAUCAAAAGCCAUUUCAUUUAUGGAAUUAUGGAGAGCAAGAAAGCACAACUUCGUAUAGUCUGGAAGUUGCUCUAUUGUAGUAGCGUCCCACCUAACAAUGUAAUACAACUAAAUUAAAAUAAGAGAGGUGUAUAAAUUUAUAAAUUCCUGAGUAAUGAUCUAGUGAAUAAUGUGCUCGCUUUAUGCUGGGCAAUACUAUCACAUAAUUUAUAUAAUUACUUCAUAAUUUUAACAAUAUUCAUUAGGAAUCACAAAAUUAUAUCAUGUGUCCAAGUGUUUAUCAUACGAUGAGUACUAAUCCUCACUAAAUCAUUUUCCAUACACAAUCAUACAGAUAGAAAUGACAUUAAAUAAAAGUAACCUCUCAAUUGCAUCCGUGAAAAGUUCAAGUUCGUCCAAAGUCCUAUAGACAUCAUAAACAUCAUCUAUUGUUGUUAUUAAGGCAUUGACCAUUGUAGACAUCCGUCUACUAUAUCCAAAAUCCGGUUCGAAUAUCACCCCCACGGUCCAGAAGAAAUUCUCCAUUAUUCUGUCUCUUGCAAAAUUCAACCUCUCCCCAAGUCCUGUUUUCUUCCACCACCUGACCACAUAAUUAAUUAGCAUGAAAUUAAUUGAGUUACAUAAAUACAUGCUCAGUUAGAUUUAAUUAUUCUUGAGUGCGGAUCUCCACAUUUUUACAAAUGCUAUUGUGAAGAUAGCUCAUUAUGCAGAAGUGAAGAAGAAGAAUCAGCAUGGUGUUAAGCCUUGUAACAAGAAUGUCAAGUUACCAGCUGUCAUUAGUGCCACGUCAGAAGAUCCAAGCCAGCAGCAGUUACCAGCUUAACUAACUUCACAAUGCACACUCUGUAUUUUGUUAUUGUUAGUUGAGUGAGCUUGUGUUUAAUAAUUAGUUAGUGAGCAAUUAGUUAGAGUAUGUAAAGCAUGUAUAAAUAGCUACAUAUUCGAGAUUGUUAACGUGUACAAAAUAUCAGUUCAUUAAUGAAAUAAGAAAUUUUCCUAUGUUUUUCUCAGCUGCCAAACAGCAGCACUUAUCAACUUUUACAAUUUCUUCAUGGUAUCAGAGCCAUUCAUGGCAACCUCAAGCAAUCAAAAUACAGUAGCUACAAAUCAAACAACUUUUUCUUUCAUCACACCAAUCAAAUUAGAUAGAUCUAACUACAUGCUUUGGAAAAAUCAAGUGCUGGCCUCCAUUAGAGGAAAUCGACUUGAAGGAUACAUUAAUGGAGAAAAGAUUGCACCAAAUCGAUUUAUAGCAUCAUCAAGCUUUGCUGGAGCAACUGCUGGAGCUGCUGGAUCUUCUCAACAGAUCGAGAAUCCUGAAUACACAGUUUGGAGAUCUCAAGAUCAAACAUUACUCAGCUAGCUUCUUAGCUCAAUAACCGAAGGUAUUCUCAGUCUAGUUCACUUAUGUAAUACUUCAUUUGAUGUAUGGAAAACAUUAGAGAAAAGGUUUGGUGUACAAUUUGAGGGUAGAGUUCUUCAACUUAAGUAUGAGAUGAGUGUCUUAAGAAAAGAAUUACUAAGUAUUGAAGAAUAUUGCUUAAAAAUGAAACAAGUUACAGAUAAAUUGGCGUGUGCUGGUAGUCCUGUAUUAGAUAGAGAUAUGUUGCAACAAAUUCUCAAUGGUUUAAGAGCUGGCUAUUUGGAUUUAGCUACUUUUAUCACAACAAGCAAGUUGGAUUAUGAUGAUGCUUAUGCUUUAUUACUCACUCAUGAAGCCAGACUUGAACAAAGUCAAAGUGAAAAGCACAUGUUUAAUGCAAACUAUGGUAAUAUGUCUAACUGGAAUAAUAAUAGUAUGAUGAAUGCAUACUAUGCUCAAAUAAGAGGUCAAGCUAGGAGAGGAGGAUAUACAGGAGGUGUCCAGGGCAAUUAUAAUGGUCAUUUAGGUGGUAGAAAUGGCAUGUUUAAUGGUAGAUGAAUAUUUUUAAACUCACAUCCAAGAGGUUUUCCUGCUGGAACUGGUCAUUUUGGUAAUCAUGGAAGAAAUCAAAUGAUGAUGGGAAGUAAUAGAUUUGGUUCUUCUGGAAGAGGUUCAUUUGGAAGUAUUGGUUUUUCUGGUACUGGUAAUUUGCCUUCUUUUGAAUCACAAGCAUCCAACAGUGAUGAUUCGAUGAAUACAUGUCAGAUUUGCUUCAAAGCAGGACAUACAGCUGUUGAAUGUUGGCACAGAUUUGAAGAAAAUUACAUACCUCAGCCACCAAGACAAUUUCAGAGAGAAAAAGGUUCAAAGUCUGCUUACAUAGCUAAUUAUGAACCUGCAUACAUGCCUUACUAUUCAACAAAUGAUGAUCCAUGGCCUGUUAAUAGUACUGGAUUACAAAUGUCACAUUCUGGACAUUCUUGUGUAUAUGACUAUUCUGGUAUACCCUAGGCUGGAGCUGCUUUUGCUGCACAUUGUGAAGGACCUGCAGAUGAAGGCUGGUACCUGAACAGUGGUGCCACAUAUCAUCUGACCAACAGCAUGGGAAAUCUGAAUAUCAGAGAUGAGUUUAGAGGUGAUGAUAAGCUCAUUAUUGGUAAUGGUGAAGGUUUAUCAAUAACUCAUAUUGGUGAUUCUUAUUUUUCAUUCAAGAGUUCAAAAUCUCAACCUGCAGAUUCACAUAUUGCACUUAAAGAUAUUUUGCUUGUUCCCUCUAUCACAAAGAACCUAAUAAGCAUUUCCAAACUUACCACUGACAAUAACAUUUCUGUUGAAUUUCUUGGAUCAUUUUGUGUUGUGAAGGAUUUGCUGAAAGGACAAGUUCUAAUGCAGGGCAUUGCUGAGAAAGGAUUGUAUAAAUUGCUGGUCAAACCUAUGUCUUCCACCAAGAAUUUUGAGUCAUCAUCUGUUGUGUCUCAUAGUCAAGCCAAUAAACCUCUGUCAAUGUUAUCAUUCUGUCAUCUUGCUUCUCAUAUGCCAUCUGUAGAGUUCAUAAAUAAUCCAAACAUUUGUUUACAGAAUGGUAUUGAUGUAUGUUCUGAUAAGCUUAAUAAAAUAGCUCUUUUACACAGAAGAUUUGGCCACCCAAAUUCUCAAAGCUUAUUGCAUUUACUCAAACUUCAUCAUGCUGAUAAGUUCUCUAUGAAUAUGGUUAAACAAGCAACACAACAUUUCUAUGAAGCAUGUCAGUUGGGUAAAAUACACAAAUUGCACUUCCCAAUUACGGAAAUCAAAACCAAAUCAGCACUUGAGCUUAUACACACUGAUCUUUGAGGUCCCUCACCAGUUAUUUCAAGAGAAUGCUUUAGAUAUUAUAUUAGCUUUGUUGACGAUUUCACUAGAUAUACUUGGAUUUACCCAUUGAAAUUGAAAUACGAAGCUUUAGAAGUUUUUAAGCUAUACAAGUUGCAAGUUGAAAACCAGUUCCAAACAACCAUUAAGAUACUGCAAUCUGACAUGGGGGGGAGAAUACAGAUCAUUCACUGAAUUUUUAAAUCAGUGUGGCAUUUUAUUUAGGCACUCUUGUCCACAUACUCAUCAUCAGAAUGGCUUAGUUGAGAGAAAGCACAGACAAGUGGUAGAAUUGGGUCUUACAUUGUUAGCUCAAGCUAAGCUUCAUUUAAAUUUUUGGUGGGAUUCUUUCCAUGCUUCAGUUUAUCAUAUCAAUAGGUUACCAACUUCAGCUCUUAAAAUGUUGACACCAUAUGAAAAACUUUUCAAACAUAAAGCUGAUUAUAAGAUGCUGAAAUGUUUUGGUUGUGCUUGCUAUCUAUACUUGAGAGAUUACAAUAAGCAUAAGUUUGAUUUUCAAACAAGUAAAUGCAUAUUCAUUGGUUAUAGCCCUGCUCACAAAGGAUAUAAAUGCAUGCAUCAUUAUGAUCGUAUAUACAUAGCAAGGCAUGUCAUAUUUGAUGAAAAUGCAUUCCCUUUCUCUUCAGAUCGUAAUUUCAAUUAUGAAAGCAAAAUACAACCAAUAUCUAGCUAUACUUUGUCUCCUCAUCAAGUUUGUCAUUUGUCCACUCUCUUGUUGUGUCAAAUCCUUGUGAUAGCAGUUUUGAAUCCUGUCCUCCAGCAUGUUCCAACAACACAGAACUGUUCCCACCAGCAGAUCACCUCCAAGCAAAUGAGGCUACACAACUUUAAACACCAAAUCUUAAUCCUGCUCUUGAACCUACUCAUGAUCAAAACUCACCAAACACUUCAAAUUUUACUCCAAUUCUAUUACCAUCUCAAUCUCAAAUAACCUCAAACAGUAUUCAACCUUUACAAAACAAUCACCCUAUGAUCACAAGAGGAAAAGCAGGUAUUUUUAAACCAAAAAUGUAUACUGCAGUGUUAGUUCACAAAGAGCCAGAUUCAGUUGAUGAAGCUUUGCAAGAUACAAACUAGUUUACAGCUAUGAAAAAUGAGUAUGACGCACUAAUCGAAAAUAGAACUUGGUCUUUAGUACCAAGAACAGAAAACCAGAAAAUUGUUGGGAAUAAGUGGGUGUAUAGGAUAAAGUAUAAUACUGAUGGCAGUGUAGCUAAGUAUAAGGCUCGGUUGGUGGCAAAAGGGUUUCAAUAGAUUGAGGGUGUGAAUUAUUUUGAUACCUUUAGUCCAGUGGUAAAGCCAACAAUAGUUAGAGUAGUUCUUAAUUUUGCAGUGAUGAAUCCGUGGAUAGUUAGACAGGUGGAUGUCAACAAUGCAUUCUUAAAUGGUGAAUUGUCAGAAGAGGUGUUUAUGCAGCAACCUGAAGGAUUUGUUGAUAAAAGCAAACCUAACUAUGUUUGUAGAUUACACAAAGCAUUAUAUGGUCUUAAGCAAGCUCCUAGAGCUUGGUUUGAAAAGCUCAGAGGAUGUCUUCUGCAGUGGGGUUUCAGAAAUUCCAAAUCUGAUUCUUCUUUAUUCUUAAGAAGAACUAAAUUGUCACUCAUCAUGGUAUUGAUAUAUGUUGAUGACAUAUUAGUUACUGGACCUAACAGUGGAGAAUUGGACAGCUUCAUUCAAUAAUUUAAUACUGUUUUUGCUUUGAAAGACUUAGGAAGGUUGUCUUAUUUCCUUGGUAUAGAAGUGUUGUAUGGUCAGGAUUGCAUUUAUUUGUCUCAGAAGAAGUAUAUAAGAUAUUUGCUUGCUAAAGUAGAUAUGCUUGAUUGUAAAGGAGUGAUAACACCAAUGUGUAGUGGCAAAGACUCAAAGUUACAGAAGAUAGUUAAAGAAGAAUUGGGUUACUAUGUUGAAGAUGCUACUCAUUAUAGAAGCAUUGUAGGUGGUCUCCAGUACCUGAUCUUGACAAGACCAGAAAUUGCUUAUUCUGUUCAUAAGCUGAGCCAAUAUGUAUCUGCACUAACUAUGCAACAUCUUAUGGCUUGCAAAAGGGUUUUUAAAUAUCUAAAGGAGACACAGGAUUAUGGCUUAAAGUUUGUUAAGGAUGGUGAUAUGAAAAUUACUUCAUUCACUGAUGCAGAUUGGGGAAGUGACUUGGAUGAUAGGAAAUCAAUUGGAGCUUACUGUGUGUAUCUUGGAAAUAAUCUGAUUUCAUGGUCUUCGAAGAAGCAAACAGUAGUCACUAAGUCUUCAGCUGAGAGUGAAUAUAGGGCACUUGCUUUAGCUGUUUCAGAAAUAGCUUGGUUAAAAUCAUUGUUUCUGGAAAUGGGAGUAUGCUGUGUAGAGAGACCAACAAUAUGGUCUGAUAAUAUGAGUGCAACAGAACUAGCAAAGAAUCAUUUAUUCCAUUCAAGAACUAAACACAUUGAGAUUGAUGUUCAUUUUAUUCGAGAUAAAGUGUUAGCUGGUGACCUCAAAAUCUGUUAUGUGCCAAGUGAAGAUCAGAUUGCAGAUAUCCUAACCAAGCCCUUAUCUUCUCCUCAGUUCAAUUACUUAAGGGACAAACUCAAUGUCUUUCCAUGUCCUUUGAGUUUGAGGGGGCUGCGAAGAUAGCUCAUUAUACAGAAGUGAAGAAGAAGAAUCAACAUGGUGUUAAGCCUUGUAACAAGAAUGUCAAGUUACCAGCUGUCAUUAGUGCCACGUGAGAAGAUCCAAGUCAGCAGCAGUAACCAGCUUAACUAACUUCACAAUGCACACUCUGUAUCAACUUGCCUAAUUGAUCAUUGAUUCAUCACUGCAAGACUUAGCACAACUCUGACAGUGGCUGGUUUUAUCACUGGAUUGAAAGUCUCAAAAUAGUUCACCCUUGCAAUCUGCUGAAAACCCUUUGCCACUAACCUAGCUUUAUACUUAGCUAAACUGCCAUCGGUGUUGUGUUUAACUCUGUAUACCCACUUAUUGCCAACUAUCUUUUGAUAACUUGUUCUUGGAACCAAUGACCAUGUAUUGUUACGAGUUAAAGCGUCAAAUUCAUUUUUCAUAGCUGUAAACCAAUUUGGAUCAUGUAAUGCCUCAUGAACUGUAUCUGGUUUCUUAUGUUCAAGAAUUGCUGUGUAUACUUUGGGUUUAAAGAUACCAGCUUUACUCCUGGUAAUCAUUUGGUGUGUGUUUGGUUGAGAUGAAGGUUGUUGAAUGAUUAUUGAUGUUUGUAUAUUGGAUGAAAUAGGUAUUGGUUGAUUGUUAGGUGAAGUGGAUGGAGACGAUGUAGGUUGAAUAGGUAAAAUGUGAGAUUGUAUAGGUUCUUCUGGUAUAGUGUGUUGGGUUGAAGCUGAGUUAACCAAGUGGUCAGAACCACUGCAAUUGGAACUUACAGAGUCAGGAUUAGUCAAGCUGCCAUCAGGAGAAAAAGAAGUUACAGAUAGAGUAGUGAGAUGAUAGACUUGUUGAGGAGUAAGAUGAAUAGGAGAGCAAAAAUUGGAUUUCUGUGACUCGUAAAUAUUUGAAUAAGGAAAUGUAUUUUCAUCAAAAACCCGGACACAUACGACCAGAAUGUCCUCUUCUCAACAAACUCAAGAAGAAAGCUAUGGUGGCCACAUGGGAUGAUAACGAUGAGGAAACAAGUGAUGAUGAUGAGCAACAAGAAAUGACAAAUUUAGCUCUCAUGGCCGUUGGGGAAGAAUCAUGUGAUGAACUUGAUGAGGUAAGUGUUCUUCUUACGUAUGAUGAAUUGCAUGAUGCUUUUAAAGAUUUGCAUGAUGAGCUAAUGAAGAUUGGUAAAAAGAAUAUAUGUCUUAAUAAGAAGAUGAUAGAGCUUAAGAAUGAAAAUGAUUUAUUUAGUACAAAGAUUACAUGCCUAAAAUUAGAAAAUAAAACAUUGCAUGAUAGUAUUGCAUCAUUUAAGAAUUCUAGCACUUCACAUGAGCACUUAGAGUCACACAUGAAUGACUUGAAAAAUGAGAAUGAAAUGCUUAGAAAGAAGAGCAAUGAACUAAAUGAAAUUUUGCUAAAAUUCACAAAUGGGCAAAAGAUGUUGGACAAUUUGCUAAACUCACAAAAAUGUGUAUUUGAAAAAAGUGGCAUACGUUAUAAACCGAACUUGAAACAAAAAUUUUACAAGAGUUAUUUUGUGAAGAAUACAUCUAUUAACAAUCAAAUUGUAUGUCAUUUUUGUAAUCAAGAUGGUCAUAUGAAAAAUAGAUGUGCAGUAAAGAGAAAUGCAUAUUAUGGUGUGAAAUGUGUUUGGGUUCCGAAAGGAACCAUUGUUAACUCUCAAGGACCCAAAAAGGUUUGGGUACCUAAAACUUGAGAUUUUCUCUACAAGGCUUGAAGAAGAAGAAGAAGAAGUGGUACUUGGACAGCGGUUGUUCAAGACACAUGACAAGGAAUUAUUCUUGGUUUUCAAGUUUCACUAAGAUCGAAAAUGGUGGAGAUGUAUCGUUUGGAGAUAAUUCAAAAGGAAAAAUCAUUGGGAUUGGAAAUGUCGGUAAUGUAUCCUCUACUCUCAUUGAAAAUGUGUGUUUGGUUGAAAACUUGAAACACAAUUUGCUUAGUAUUACCAUAAACCAAGCCACGUACGUGAAAGAUCUACUCAAAAGAUUUGGCUAUGAUAAUGGAAUUGCAAAAAGCACUCCUAUGAGUACUACCAUCAAGCUGGACAAAGAUGAGAAAGGUAAGGAAGUUGAUAUCAAGACAUAUCGAGGUAUGAUCGGAUCCUUACUUUACUUGACUGCUAGUAGGCCUGAUAUUAUGUUUAGUGUUUGCUUGUGUGCUAGAUUUCAAUCUUGUCCUAAAGAGUCUCACAUGCUUGCUGUCAAACGCAUUUUUCAAUAUUUAAUUGGCACUAUUAAUCUUGGCCUUUGGUAUCCUAGAGGAACUCAUAUUGAUUUAACUUGUUAUUCGGAUGCCGAUUUUGCUGGGUAUAAGGUUGACAGAAAAAGUACUAGUGGAACAUGUCACUUCCUAGGCCAUUCUCUUGUCUCUUGGUUUAGUAAGAAACAAAACUCGGUUGCGCUUUCAACCACUGAGGCAAAAUAUAUUGCUGCAGGUAGUUGUUGUGCACAAAUUCUUUGGAUGAAACAAACCCUUAGAGACUAUGGUAUUAAGCUUGAUCAAAUACCUAUCUUAUGUGACAAUACUAGUGCUAUAAAUCUUUCCAAGAAUCCCAUUCAACAUUCUAGGACUAAGCAUAUAGAAAUUAGACACCAUUUCCUUAGAGAUCAUGUUAAAAAAGGAGAUGUCGUAAUUAAAUUUGUUUCCACUGAAAAUCAACUUGCGGAUAUCUUUACAAAACCUCUUAGCGAAGAGCAUUUUAUAAAGAUAAGACAUGAGCUUGGAAUGAUGAAUGUUGAAUCUUAAUUCAUGUUUUACUACAUGACUUGAUAUGUUUGUUAUCAUAUUAAUUUAUGCUUCAUGAAUUAGAUAGCUUGAUAUGCUUGUGAAUUUAUGAUUUUAUGAUUUUGUGUUUCAUGCAUUAAAUGGCUUUUUGAAAAGUUUUAAAUCUCAAAAUGAUUUAAAAUUAAUCAAUUUUUAAGGCUGGAAAUAAAAUGGUGUGUGUAGUAUAAGUAUAAGAGCUAGCAAAUAUUCCCUUUCCAUUCAUCAGGAAAAAUAUUUUUUUUUUAUUGAUUUCUCUCGGGACAAAUUCCGGAUAACCGAAUUUUCAAUCCACAAAACCGGAUUAGCUUUGGUUGCUCUCGGGACAACAUUCGGAUAACCGGAUUUUCAAUCCGGAAAACCGGAUUUGCUAAGCCACCUCUCUACCUCAUAACCGAUCUACGGGUUCUUCAAUCCGGAAAACUGAAUUUGGAAGGGGACUCACUGCCUCACAACUGGUCUACCGGUUAGCAAAACCGAAAAACCGAAUUCGCAUGCAUGCUUGCUGGAACAAAACCGGAUUUCCAAUUCAAGACAAUCCGGAAAGCCGGAUUUUUGGAAGCUCUCGAAAUUGGCCAGCCGGUUAAGAAAACCGGCAAGCCGAAUUCCCUCAUGUUGCUCUCGGGUUCAUAUCCGGUCAACCGAAUUUCAAAUCCGGCAGAACGUUUUCGCUUGUUUGGUUUCUAUCCAAUAACCGGCUUGCCGGUUAGGAAAUCCGGCAAGCCGGAUUCGUGAGCCUUUUGUGCUGUUCAUCCUCUUCCUCAUGCAUUCGGCAAUCCGGCUCUUCCUCUCUCUAAAAAUCGUUUGCUUCUCUCUCAUUUUUCAUUCCAAAAUCCACCAUUUCUACUCGGUUUUGAUGCAAAUCAAUCCAUAAAUCUUGAUCCCCAUCCGUUCUUAUACCUAAAAUCACACUCAAAACUCAUUUUCAACCUCCAAAUCCCUAGAUCCGAAUUUCAACCUAGGUUUUGGGCCGAUUUUUCUCUCUCUAGAUUUCUCACUCUCAAUCCGUUUUUGAUCCAAUUUGUUUCUCCAAAUCACUUUCAAUCUUCAUCAUCUUCAUUCUCUUUGGUGUUUUUAUCUUCAAAUCCAUCAAAAUCAAAAUGUCAAGCUCUCGGUCGGUUCGAAGAAAAGGCAAAGAACCGGUUCAACAAACCACCCGACCACGAGAAGCAAGGGGCACCUCAAAUCAAUCCACUUUUGAGUCCAUUCAUUUUCAGAACAAGCAACAGUUGAUCAAACGGUUUCAACAAAACUUUCGGACUCGUGAGGUACUCAACACUUUCUUUGUUUUACCGGAUGUUAUGCAUACUCUCAAGAUUAGUUAUAGAAAUAUAUUUCAAUUGUUGGGAGAUGUUGGUUGGAUUGAUGCAUUGUUGAUUGAGGAGAAUGUGUAUCCUGACUUGGUGAAAGUAUUUUACUCGAAUAUGAAUUGUUCUGCGGAGAAAGAGAAUCGAGUAAUCACCACAGUUGGAGGAGUUUUAAUUGAAUUUGAUGAUUCGGAGUUGAACUCCAUCCUAGGCUCUUUCGAUGAUGGCCUGGACAUUUUUUCUCUUAGGAAACCUCCUGAUAUUGAUGAGUAUGUUCAUGUUGAUGUCAUUCGUAAUAUUUGUCGGCGUAGUGAUCUUUCUGUUGAAGACUGUACCAUUCAUUUUCGUACUUAGUGUCUUUGUCUUCAAACUCGUAUUUUGCUUCGUAUCAUCCAGUCCAUUGUACUUCCUAGAUCAGGACAUUUGGAUGAGGUUUCUCACAUGGAUGUCGCCAUGAUUGACUGUAUUCUUAGAGGUUGCCCGGUUAACUUGGGCUAUUUCAUCAUCCGCACCAUGUUGAGCAUUCCUGCCUUGAUUACCCGCUCUCUUCCUUAUGGUCACUUCAUUACCCGAAUUCUUAAAUUCUUUGAAGUGCCAAUUUUAGAAUCAUCUUGUAGGCCGUCCAAGAGUAUCGGGGAUGAGGUUAUUAUUGGGUUAAGGCUUUGAGUAUAAGGAUGGCACUUGGGUCAAAUACAGCGAUAACAAGUUUACCUUUCUAGUCCCAAGUGAUGAUCGGCGACUUAAUGCUGUGAUUCCAGCCGAUUAGCUUCCAGUUUUCUCACUCUCAUUUCGAGGGCAGCGUAGACGCCGAGUUUCUUCCACGGUUGCUUCAGCUCCUAGUGCAUCUGCAUCCGCUUCAUCACCUCCACAUCCUCCUACCUCUGAAGAGGUCACUCUUCAGCAGAUUAUGGAUGAAGUGCGGACACUCUCUGUGCGGCAUACUGAGUUUCAGCAGCGGCAGACUGAGUUUCAGCAACAGCAGCAGCAGCUUAUUCAUGGAUAGCGCCUCCUCUUCGGGCACUUCGGCAUUCCAUAUCCGUUUCCACCUCCAUCACCUCCAUCCUCACCACCUGAGUAGUAUCUUAUGCUUGUACUUGGACACAUCUACAUUUCAUUUACUGAAUUGUGUGUUCGUUUAUUUUUGAAUCUAUGGAUGGUUAUUAUGCUUUUCGGUUUAUGUCUUUGUUUUGGAUGAUAUAGAUUUGUUGUGACUAUUUAUGUUGGAUGUUAUGGAUUUGUUUUGAUUGAUCAUUAUGAAGUAUAUGGAUUUUCUUAUGCUUAUGGAUAUUUUUUUUUACUAAUGUGCUUAUGUUGCGAUUUUGAUGAUUGAUAGGGGGAGCCUUUAUUCUUUUUUAUGAUGAAGGGGGAGAAUGAUUUAAUAUGUGUUAUGAAAAUAUGCAUGUAUCUGGGGGGAGCAUGUAUGCAGGGGGAGUUUUUGUUAAAUAAUUUUCAAAUCAUUUUUUAACUUGCAUUGAUUAAGGGGGAGCUUUUCAUAACUAGAUUAAAUUUGAAUGUGCUUUGUCAUCAUCAAAAAGGGGGAGAUUGUUAGCCUAUCUGGCUAUAAAUAUUGAUUUUGAUGAUAACAAACCACAUGUAUUUAUUAAGCAAAGAUUUAUGAAUUGUGCUUUUAUAAUAAGAAAAUGAUGUUAUGGAAUUAAAGCAUUUUGGACUAAAAUGAAAGUAAUUUCAAAAUCUUUGAUAGUGUUUUAAAUUUCAGAUUUGGACCUAUUUGAAACUAUUUAAAUGUUUUUGGGCCAUUCUAAAAUUUCAAAAAGUUUAGGUAAAAUCAUAAUUUCAAAAAGUUUUGGGAUUAAUGAAGCAUUACUUAGAAAUUCUAAAAUUGGACCUAUUUGUAAAUUUUUAUAACGUUUUGGGCCAUACUAUAAUUUUAUAAAGUUUGGGGUCAAACUGAAAAAUUGGAUACGGGGCAGUAAGCAUCCAGAACGCAAACAGCUUACCAGAUUUCGUAACCGGCAAGCCGGAUAGGCAAAAUUCAAAAUUUUACCUUAACGGUAACAUAAAUUCAGCUUACCGGAUUCCAUAAACGGCAAACCGGAUACGCCCAGAAUGUGAGUAACGGCUAGUUUUUGAGCUCAAACUAUAAGAACUCAAAUCCAACUCAUUUUAAAGCUCUCCCAACAAGCAAAAAUAAAAAGCACACGUGGUAUCUUGAGCCUUCAAACUUACGAAAUACAAAUAUUGAAUCAUUUCUUGUUCUUUAUUUUUGAAUAUCUACUCAUUAAGUGAGUUUCAUUGUAACCUUCAUUUAUUCAUCUCAAUUGUAAGAGUUUGAGUGUGUGUGACACUUGAGUGAAGAGAUUAGGAGAUAAUCUCUUUGUUGUAAAGGUUUAUUGACAUCUCGAAGUCAAUUGUAAUCGUUGAAGCCUUGGAAAGGCUUGGAUAGUGAAAUCCUCAAACUUGGAUCGCUUGGAGGCGUGGACGUAGGCGGGGAUUGCCGAACCACGUAAAAAUUCGUGUGUUUGUUUCUCUUCUCCCUUACUCUUUAAUUAUUGUGCUUUUCUUGAACUUAUUGCUUUCAAUUUUUAUUAAGACAUUAGAUUGCUUGUUGUGUGGAUUUGCUAGGAUAAUUUUUAAAUUUCCAAUUCACCCCCCCUCUUGGGUUGCACACUUAUAUUUCAGCAGGAAAAUGCAAUCUAUGUGAUUUUCUCAUUUGACAUUCUUCACAAAUGAUUGCAAGUGCUUGCUGUUUUACAUUGUGAGAAAUAUUAAUAGACUUGACUUGUUUGAGCAAAUGCAUUAGUGUAUGAAAAUUGGGAUGGCCAAAUCGUUUAUGCAAAAGAAGAAUUUUAUUCAUUGCUGAAUUGCAUGAAUCAACAACAGUAUGAUGACAUAUCUUAUUAUCUGAGACUUUGCUCUAGACAAUGGAUUGACAAUUAAAACUGGAAUGACAAACAAAUAACAUUCACAAAGGCCUAUUAGAAAUAGUUUGACAUAGAAAAGAAGAAGGAAGUGUUUGUGCAGAUGGCUUUAAAAGCAGCUGGUAUAAUCCUUUCUCAGCAAGACCUUGCAGAGGAACUUGCCCCCCUCAGUGUAUCCUUCACAUAACAAACAUCACCAGAAAAUUCAACUGUCAAGUUAUUAUCAGUAGUGAGUUUGGACAUGCUUAGCAAGUUUUUAGUAAUUGAAGGAACCAGUAGGAUAUCUUUGAGUGCUAUUUGUGUAUGAAUAGAUUUGGCAUUUGAAUGUGAGUGUUUAUAACAAAGGAAAGCAUCACCAAUAUGAGUAAUAACCAAACCUUGACCAUUGCCAAUGAUGAGCUGAUCUGACCCUUUGAACUCCUCUCUGACAUGCAUGUUAGACAUGUUGUUGGUCAAGGGAUGAGUGGCACCACUAUCGAGAUACCAUCCAUCAUCAGCUGGUCCUUCAAAAUUAGCAACAUAUGCAGCCCCAGGUGUUGUGAAAUCUUUUGAUGCAUAAGGUGAGAUGGAGUUUGGAGAGUAAUACAUUGGUUGUUGACAGUUCAUAUCAAAAGAUUCUUCAAAUAGACAUGUAGAAAAUUGUGGUUCAAAAGCAGUCAAGUAGGUAGACUUAGCAGCUCUACCUCUACCAAAAGGUUUUGGUGAAGGUACAAAAUCAUCUCCAUACCUAUGCCAACAAGCAUCAGCAGUAUGCCCUUGCUUGUGAUAAAUUUGACAUACAGGUAGUGUGCCGUCAGAAUUUCCAGUAUGCAUAGAAGGAUUUGCAGGCAUUGAUCUGUGAGUAUGCAUUGGUUGUCCUCUUCCAUAACUACUGAAAUUACUAUUUCCUGAAGGAAAACCUCUAGGAUAAUGUUGAAAGAACAUGCCUCUACCAAAAUUUGGUCUUCUACCACCACCAAAAUUACUAUUAACACCACGAUAUCCACCUCUAUAUGAACCUCUUUUACUAUUACCCCUAAUCUGAGAGUAAUUUGCAUUCAUCAUGCUAUAAUUAGCGUUGAACACAUUUGUAGCAUUCUGAGUUUGUUUUAAUCUAGCUUCAUGUGUAAGGAGUAAGGCAUAUGCUUCAUCAUAAUCCAUUUUGUUUGCAGUGAUAAUAGAUGCUAAAUCCAAAUAACCAGAUCCUAAGCCAUCCAGACUCAUUAAUAGAUCCUUUCCAGUUAUAGAGUCACCAGCACAUGCAAGUUUGUCAGCAAGCAUUUUCAUUUUGCCACAGUAUUCUUCAAUAGACAUUGAAUCUUUUCUUAAAAUAUUCAUCUCAUAUCUAAGUUGCAUCACUCUAGCCUCGAAUUGCACUCCAAAUUGUUUUCAAUAGAGGUCCAAACAGCAAACGAAGUGUCGCAACCUAAAACAGAACUUAAAAUACCUUCACUGAUUGUAGAUAACAGCCAUCCAAGAAGGAUCUGAUCUUGAGUACACCAGUUGAUGUAGGCUGGAUUCUCAACUCUUUUUUCUGAAAUUUCAUAUGAUGUUGAAGCUGGAUCAGGAAGAUACUAAUCUAGUACAGCUCGAUUUCCAAAAAUAUAAUGUUCAAGUCGAUUGUCUCUUAUGGAUGUGAGAACUUGUUUGCGCCAUAGUAAAUAAUUGGAUCGAUCAUGCUUUACAGGAGUAGUGAAUGUGAAUGAAACAUUUAAAGGUUGAUUUUGAUUAAGAAAAUUUGGAUUUGAGUGAGUUGUACUUGAGUUCGCCAUGAUUAUUGCUCUGAUACCAUAAAGGAAAUAUGAAACGAAGUGUUUGGCUUAAAAGAAAAUAACAGAGAAAAUAAUCUUCUAAUUUUGCAGAUCUUUUAUUUCUUAUUAAGAAUGAUUACAUCACUUCUAUUUAUACUAAAUAAUCAAUAACUAACUAAGAAUUAAAUCCAGCUAAUCAUUUGUUCAGUAUACACUGUGAGUAAAAACAAACUUUAACUAACUGUGCUGAGCUGGCAGUCUGGACUGUUGCGUUUCUUAACAGCUUCUGAUAGUUUGACUUGAGUUGACCCAAGCUAUGUUUUCUCAUGCUCUGCAUAAUGUACUUCCUUAACAAGUUGAGAUUAUUUUCAGAGGAAAAGUAUGUAAUUUCACUGAAAUAUUUUUACUUUAUUUUCCAAUAUUGACUGCUAGAAACUGAGAAGAAUGCUAAAUCGCCGAAAAUUUUACGACUAUAAGCAUUUUUUCUAUUGACUGGCAGAUCUAAAGGGGCCUAAAUGAUAUGAGAUACGUUAAGCUUAAUUUACUCUAAGAGAAUUGCUACGACAUCUUGAUUUGUCAUCAUGAGUUUAUUUUGUGAGAUGUGAAAUACAAAGCUCAGUUAGGAAUUGGGUUAUAUUUGUUGACUAUUUCUCACAUCGGUUGUGUACGGCUGGUUAAUAUGCUGUCAUGGCAAGUUAUUUUAAAAAGUAUUAAGUUUUGCAGCUUUAUCUGUUUAUAUUCAGAUGUAUCUCUAUAUGCUUGAAUGUUGUCUUCCAAUUAAUAUCACUAGUAUUCUUUUUAAAAAAAAAAAAAAUUGAAUUUAAUCUGUACUGUUUGCCCUAUGCUGAAUUGCUGAUGUCUUCAUAUUUUAAUGACAGGAAGAAGGAAACCACGUACCAAUUAAAUUCAACAUUCUAGUCUAAUCUCUGGAAGCAUUUAAUAAAUGGGUGAGUUUUUUUGCAAGGAGGUUCCCUUCUGUAUGUAUUCUGUAGGGCCAUGCAAUUAAAAGGUUUGAUGUGUUGGGAAAAUAUGCUUUUUAAAAGCAUAUGUAUUUAUUUAAUUGUAAUAAAAAUUUUUUCUGAUUAAUAAAAUUAAUGAGGUAUUUUAUUCAAAUAUCUUAAUUGCAUUAAUAUUUUGAUCAAAGUCCAUUUGAUCAUAUUAUAUGUAUUUAUGUGAUCACCAUGUGGAUUCACAAAAGACAUAAAUAGAAGUUAUCUUAUGAUUAAAUAAAUUUAGUUCGCAGUUGAUAAAUAAAAUUGGGCACUUUAUUUAGGUAUAGACUGUAAUGAAUUCAUUAAAUGAUUUAUCUUAAUCAUGUAUGAAUUUAUUGAUAUAGUACGACUACAUUGAACAAGAUCACAUAUGAGAUUUAAUUAACUUUGUAAUAACUAUUAGACUUAUUAAAUCUCAUAGGCAUUGAUUUUACUGUAAUCUUAAUAUUGAGUUAAUUAUAAUUUCAUGAUUGUAAUUGUUAUUCCAUUUGAGUUACCAAUGGGCACGACACAUACUUGUGGUCAAGAUUACCCGGUAUCUUGGUGAGAGCAAUUAUGAGUAUUGGAGUUAUGGAUUAACAAUAUAGAAUUUGUACAACACAUCUCUUGAUGGGUUUUCGGCACUUGAUCAUAGAAUUCUCUGGCCAGAGUGUGUCAAACAUAUUUAGUAUGUUGAAAAUGAUCAUUAGAGAAAACCAGUAAGUAUCAAGGAACAAGAUGUAAUUAAAUUGAUUGGACAGUUGAGAUAUCGAUUUAAUUAAUGAUGUGGUACAAAGGAUUGUGCAGUAAAGAAAUCAAUGUGGCUUGGGAUGAAUUAUUAUUCGAGCAUACAAUUAUGGAGGUCAAUUCCAAUAUUUUAGUGGAGUAGAUUUAGAAUUAAAUAAUUAGGCUAGUUUAAUUACAGGCCUAAUUGUUAUAGCCACUAUUGUAUGUUCCCAAAUAAUCCUCAGGUUAGCUCAUUUAAUUGACUGCACCACUACUGGAUUAAUAAGCACGAUAACUAGCUAUUUGGGUCAAAAGCCUAAAUAUAUCAUUUAGUGGGAGGCUUCAUUUAAUUAGCUUGUGUGUAAGGGGCCUUAUGUUAUUUUACAAGGUGGGUCCAGGCUUAUUUUCUCUAAAAGAAAGAGAGAGCAGCCACUUUAUACAGAUCAGAGAAAAAUAUUUUUCUCUCGAUUGUUGAAAGAAAAAUUUUCUCGUGCUAGUUGCUUUGGUAGUAAUAAAGGCGCCCACACGUCAAGUGCAGAUCAAACUUGAGUUAUAACCUGGAAGAUCAUUGGUGACAGUUCAUGAUCUAACAAGCGUGGUGGUGACGGAUCGUGAUCUAACAGGCGUGGUGGUGACGGAUCGUGAUCUGGGAGCCUAAAUCACUUCAGCGGAAAAAACUAAAUCGGAUUUUCAAGGUACGAUUUCUAGAUUACAAAUUCUUAUAUAUUAUAUGAGAGCGAUCUUAAAAAGGUUUUAUAAAAAUUAAAAAAACUGAUUUUUCUCCAACAUGAUGAUCAUAAUUCACUGAUUGACUGUCCUUCAAAAUUUUCAAACCCGAGUUAUACAUUUCAUUAUCUUAAACUUGAACAUAUGAGAUUGCAUUGGUUUUGUAGCUACUUCCAAGUUUGUUUCUGAGCACCUUUGAUCACAUUUUAUGUAUAAAAUUAAUGAUUCUAAACUUGUAGUGGAGCUUUGCCAAGGGAACCAAUGCCUUCUGGUAUUACUGCAAGGCUUCCAACCUUGGAGGACCUUGAGGCCUAUGCCAUUGGACAAUGGGAGGUGUGAACUUUACCUGUUCUGUUCUUUCAUGUUUAAGGAUUUUUCAUGCCAAUCAUGCUGACCUCAAGGAGAUGCGAUGACAUAAUUAAUUACAAUUGGUGUAUCAAUUAAGCUAUUAUCUUAAAUCUUCCAAUUCUAUUAAUCCAGUGUUUCUUGCUGCAACUUAUUAGUUCAGCCCAAGCUGAAAGGCCGACAAAUUUCAGCUCUUCCACGAUGAAGGUUUUCCAGCGUGGUCUUUUGAUUCAAAGGUAGGAUUUUCUGUCACAUUUGUAAUCGUCAGUUUCUUGAUGCAAACAGUUGAGAAUCUUGGUUCUUGCAUUUGGUAUCAUGUUAUUUAUGUGCCUUAUUUGCAGGGAAAAAGAAGCCCCAAGGUUAACAGAGAGUGGUUUUCAAUUUUUGGAAUGUGUGUUAAUCACAAGAUUUUGGAUUCCCUCUUGUUUGAGCUAGUGGAACUUAUUUUUCAUAUGUUUAAAUUUGCAGCUGAUGGAUACUAAUGCACAGCUCUGGUACAUCGUUAGAGAAUAUAUCUCCAAUUCCCAGGUGUGGCUUUUGAUAUUCUGUUCAGUGGUUUCUCUGCAUCAAAAUUUCUGCGGGUCCCUGUCUUUGAUUCACUGGUAUAUUCUCUCUUUGUAAAAACUGAACUGAGUGAAGUAUUCAAAGGGCAAAAUAACGGAUUGACUUAUCUUUAAAUCUCAUUACGUUACCCAAUUGUUCAUUUUAGAACUUUGAUUUUUAUAUUAUGCACAUGUUUAUGCGAUUAAAGAGUUCAUAUUUAGAUGUAUGUAUAUCUUUUUACUUUUAGAAUAUUAAUGCCUUCUUUGAUUUUUAUUCUAUUUCUCAAUAGAUUUGUAUACUUACUGCUAACACAAAGUAGAACUAAAAGAUUUUCUUCUUUGGUAUUUCAUUGGACUAUUUAAUAGAGAUAAAAGUUCACCGGCGAUCUAAUUAUAUGUAGGAUAGCACGACUCUAUGCUUGCUUAUGGUCUACAAUACCAAUAAUAUAUCAUAUAGCUUUUCUCAUUUUCUUGCAGGAACGAGGCAUAAAUCAAGCAGAUCUGAUUUCUUUUCUUCUGGAGCUUAGUUUCCAUGUCGCUGGGGAGGUAGCACAUAUACGUUCUAUAGCUAAACACAUUAUUAUUCAGUUAUUCCAUUUAUUCAAGAAGUAUGAUAGAUUUCUGUUUGGCUAAUACUUUUGGUUUUAACAGAAUUUCAAACAUUUUUUGGGGUAUCAUUUUACAUUGAAUAUUGUCUUUUGUUCUCUUAUUCAUUUUUGUAAGCUUAUGUCUAUCUUAGUAUUGCUUUUAACUUCUCAGCAUCUUGAGGUCCUUAAUUUUUAUGUCAAGGAAUUCUCAAAGUGGUUUGAGAUCUCACUUUAUUGCUAUACUCUUUGCUUCUUCAUUUAUAGGCAUAUAAUUUAAAUACACUGAGUGAAAUACAAAGAAGUAUGAUCAAAGACUUUGCAGACUUGGGAUUGGUCAAACUUCAGCAGGUUGUACUAGUCUGUGCUACAGAAAAUGCUGGUUAUCUCUGUUAAUUUUGUAUUAUUUUGCUGGAGUUCUCAUAUGUUUUCCAUGGCUAUUCAGGGCAGGAAAGAAAGUUGGUUUAUACCUACUAAAUUAGCUACCAAUCUUUCAAUGAGCUUAACUGAUUCAUCAGCACGGAAAGAGGUAUGCUGUUUGAGAAAUCAUUGACUCUCACUCUGAAUAACGAAUAUGAAAGAAUAAGUAAAAUAAUUGUAAUUCCCCUUAAUGUCGAAUGUUGCAGACAAUUGUGUGAUUGAAUUUUUUUAAAAAUUAUAAUUUUGUUUUGCAAACUAUUAUUGUCAGAAACCAAAAUGAGGUCUCAUUUUUACAUUCUCUAAUUACAUAGCUCAUUCUACAUUUUCUUCUCUUUAGGGGUUUGUUGUAGUGGAAACAAACUUCAGGAUGUAUGCUUAUUCAACAUCUAAGCUACACUGUGAAAUUUUGCGUCUUUUCUCAAAGUAAGCCAGCCAUCUGCUUGAUAAAUUGUUUCUCUUCUAGGUUAAAGUUCUGAAUUACAUUUUGUUAUUGAACUACAUUGGUCAGUCCUAAAACCUUUUGUUUAAUAUUUUGCCAAUGUGCAGGAUAGAGUAUCAACUUCCAAACCUUAUAGUUGGGGCAAUAACGAAAGAAAGUUUGUAUAAUGCUUUUGAGAAUGGCCUUACAGCUGAGCAAGUGAGUUUGGUAUUUAGUUGAUCUGGUGAUCUGUUUUUCCAUAAAAAAAUGUCCGAUGUGGUCAAUUACCUGCAUAUAUGCAAGUAACUUCUGACAUUCUUAAUAAUUUGCCCCUUUACACCUCUUUUUCGGUCCCAGCCAUCCUCAUCUCAACAUACUUUUACAUCAACCUAGAUUAUUAUUAUUAUUAUUUUUUGGGUGGAGAAGGUUUUUUGCGAGCUUACAUACUGUUUCUGAUAUUCUUGUAGCCGAAAUAGUUUUUUCUUUCAAAGUCGCCUUUUUUUUUUCAAUUACUUUUGCAGUCAUUCUAACUCCUCUAACUCCAUGAUCGUUUGUUUUGCAGAUAAUUAGUUUUCUUCAGCAAAAUGCACAUCCUCGGGUUGCUGACAGAAUACCGUCUGUACCAGAAAAUGUUUCUGAUCAGGUCAUAAUUCUUUCCUGCGUUCAGAUGUAUUGCACAUAUCAUUGCUUCCUGACCUUCCAUAGCAAAAUUCUCGAUAUUUUCUACAUAGUACAUAUCAAUUAACAAAGAUGAUUAUUUAUAUUCUAAUAUUUCAAAUUCUGAUGUUUCUUUGACAGAUAAGAUUGUGGGAAUCCGAUUUGAAUAGGGUUGAAAUGACCCCUGCGCAUUAUUAUGACGAGUUUCCCUCGAGGGUAAUCUGCGCAUUUCAAUUGGAUUGAUUUCUCAUCUCACAUCUUUCAGGGAUUACAUUUUAAAGUUACGUCAUAAAUCUUGUAGGAUGUCUUUGAGGCUGCUUGUGAUUAUGCAAGAGAUCGAAGUAGUUUGCUCAGGGAGGAUUCAAAGAAAAUUCGUCUAGUUGUUAAUGCAUAAAUUCAUAUGCACAUGAGAGAGUUCCUUCGGGGUCAAAACAAGUAGAAUGAUAUGUUUUCUUGGCCAUGCAGAACUUACUGAACAAAAAGGAUGACAAGCCAUGUGUCGCUUGGGAUUGUUGCAUGGUAGGGUUGUCAUAAUUUGGGUUUUUCUUGCUCCGUUCGUAUCUGCAUUAAAGCUACCAGAGGCAUUUUCCAGAUUCAUUGCAAACCAGAUGGGGAAAAAAGAAAUCAAAGAUUCUUUCUACCUAAAAUAAACGGAGGUAUGGUUGAAGUCUACGAAAAGUCAUCCAAUCCCUACAUUGAGGGAUGAUGUACACUAGAAAAUACGAAAGGAGGAAAUUGUUGUGUUAUCUUCUCUGUAUAUUUGAUCUUUAAUUUAACUUAAUAUGACUGAAAUAUGAAUGAUGG